CCAUUUAAAUUAAGGAAGAAGAAGCCACCAGACCGAUCGAUCGACAGAGAAAAAAAAAAAGAAAGAAAAAUGCCAAAGUUCACUCUUGCUAAUUCCUUUCGUUUUGGCAGCAAAAGAGAAACCGUCUCUAACUUUCAUUCUGAAUCUAUUGAGACGAUACUACAGAAGCUGACUAAAGAUUGGCUUGGGCACUUUGCUCGACAAGCGCAGAUCCAGGCCGAUCUGAUUGGGUGGAAGACGAUGAUGGUGAAGAUUAAGGAGGUCCUAGAUGAUGCCAUGGAGAAGCAGACGAAGGAGGAGCCAGUGAAGAUAUGGCUAGGCAAACUUCAGCACCUGGCUUGUGAUGUUGAUUACUUGUUGGAUGAGUUUCAAACAGAAGCUUUCCAGAGGAUGUUGCUGCAAGAUGCUGAUGCGAUGUCUAAAGUAAAGGAGGUCAAUGCUCGAUUGCAAGAUAUUGCAUGGCAAAUAAACGUACUAGGUUUGAAAGAAAGUUCCGGAGGGAAGUCUACAAAUGUCAGGCAAAGAUUUCCCACGACCCUGUCGGUGAGUGAAGCUACCUUAUAAAUAUUGAAAUUCAAACAGAAAAAUUUUACAGCAAACUGACAGAAAUAGUGAUAAAUCGGCAUCAAUUUACUCAGUUAAUUAAAAAUUAAGACAAUAGAUGAUGAUUUGUCACUGUUCUUAUUAUUUUCUCGAUCUCCUUAGUAAUUUUUCACCAAUGUAAAUGGUAGGGAAAAAGAUAAAGAAGAGAUAUUGAACCGUGCAUGCUACAAAAAUAAAGACUACAUACAAAUGCUAAUUCAAAAUGUUUUCUUUUGUUCUGAAGCUAAUCUCAGCGGCAGUAAGAGGUGGAAGUCGAGAUCGUGGUCCUACAAUCUUUAGUCCACUAAUCGAGAAAGAGGACUUGGCUUUUUUGAAAAAAGAAGAUUGUUUUGCUUCUUUGGAGAAAAUAAGAUCAUGUUGGAAUGGAGAAGUUUACAAAGCCGAGCUACCAGGAAGCAGUGGUAGGGUGAUUACUAUUAAGAAGGUUAUCCAACCCCUAAAGAGUGAAGCAGAGUUGAUUAAACAAGAUAGUGAACCACUGCACCAUAAAAUGAUCCAAAUUCAGUCUGAGAUUAUAACUGCAGGUCAAGUGAGGCAUCGGAAUAUUGUUCCUUUGCUGGCUCGUAUUGUCCGGCCUGACUGCGAUUUACUUGUCUACGAAUUCAGGAGGAAUGGAAGUUUACAAGACAUUCUAUAUGAUGUCUCACAAGGAAGAAGAGAAUUAGAUUGGCUAGCUAGACACAGGAUUGCGCGAGGAAUAGCUUCUGGGCUUGAGUAUCUGCAUAUGUCCCACAGGCCUCGUAUUAUCCAUAGAGAUAUUCAGCCAGCGAACGUGCUUAUAGACGAUGAUAUGGAAGCCAGGAUUUCUGAAUUUGGUCUUGCAAAGCAAAUUCCUAAUGGUUGGACACGAACCACAACUUGGAGUCUGGCGGGAACGGUGGGAUACAUAGCCCCAGAGUGUCACCAGACGGUAGCACUCUCUGACAAGUGUGAUAUAUACAGCUUUGGGGUGUUGCUAGCUGUUUUAAUGAUGGGAAAAUUUCCAUCCGAUGAUUUUUUCCAGCAUACCAAAGAGAUGAGUUUGGUUCAAUGGAUGAAAAAUGUCAUGACUUCUGAGAACCCUAGCCGGACUAUCGAUUCGAAGCUCAUCGGCAAUGGGUAUGAGAAGCAAAUGCUUCUUGUUUUGAAGAUUGCUUGUUUUUGCACUUUGGAUGAUCCAGAGGAGAGACCUAACAGUAAGGAUGUUAGGUGCAUGUUGUCUCAGAUUCAGCACUAAUUAAGGAUGUGGAUUUUUUCUGAAAAUGUACAAGAGCAUAACAACGUCACUUGUGAUGAACAAUGUAUGCUCUCUAAUUAAGUUGUACAAUUGCGAUCCCCUCUGAGUUUUUAGUUAUCUGAUCGAUACAGAGUGGUUCAGGUCAUUAUACAAAGUAGAAACCAUUUCUGAAAUGCGGCAUAUUUUCUAUGUUUCAGCAGUCAUACGUUUCUGGCAACACGCCAAGCCUUUCACUUUGCAUAAGAAAAAUAGCAAGAACAACUCAAUAUCGGUACUUAGUCCCUUCCAUGAGCAUAUUCUAACACGUAUUCUGAGAAAAGGGAAAGUUGCAGGCAAGUGCGUUUUAGAAAAAAAAAAAAAAAAAAAAGUUUCCUUCAAAAAGCAACUAACCGUGUUUCACAUUUCGCUUCUGAUCGUGUCUCCAUUUUUUAUUUACAAACCAGUUCAAAAGAGCUUUCAAAAAUUCAGAAUCAUGAAAAAAAAAAAAUAUUGUCUGGCCAGUGGGAACACUUAAGGCCUUUCAAACAGCACGUUGUAAAAAGUAAAUCAAAGCACAAAUAUGAAAGGCUAAAAUAUUGGAAAGUGUUCUCCAGUUGUGAGAAGGGAGAUCAGAGAUACCACAACUGGGGCUAGAUAUUGGAAAGCAGAAAAGUAUCUCAAAGGGCAUGGGACCUUAUGUUUUGAAUGUUGCAACUAGAGGAUGCAUCUAAGCCAUCCAGCCCACUUUCAUGCUCAAUACAUCAAAGCCCAAUACAGAGUCGUGACUACAGCCCAACAGAGAGGAAAUGUAAAAUGACGGUCAGGAGAAAACAAUACCAGAUGGGGAGCUAGAGAGGUUCCGUACUUAUAUGUUAACGCCUUGAUGGACUUGGAAAACCGAAUGCACUGUAUUGCUAGACAUACACACCUAAUUCACUGAAAGUGGCUAAUAAAUACAGAGAAUAAUCCAAAGCUAGAUAUUUUUCCACAAUGUAGCUCAACGGACUGCAAGUUGGGUAGCAACCUUUCCGUUUAUUUAUUUGUUUGGAGAAGUACUGCCAUAUUUCAUCCGAAAAAUGUAAGUCUAGUGUGAUUAAUAAUAUUUACCCUUCUCUUCAAAAAACAAAAAAACAUUAAGUAGAGGUGUACCAGCACCCUGUUCAAAUCAAACUUGUUUUGGGCUUAUGGCACAGCCUAAAAUAACUAGGCUCAGUGGGGAAAACGGAAAACCGAAGUCAUUUUCAAAUAUUCAGAAAAAGAAAUUUGGUCUCACACCAAAUGUUUGAAAGUCCUCAAUAGCAUUAAAAAUGUAGUACCGUGCUUACUCUCAGAAAAGCCGCACAAUGAACCAUGAAAUUCCACCAUAUUCUAUGAUUUUAUAAUCAGGAUCAUUAUAUAGUCCUACAACAUAAGUCAUACAAAAAUACAUUUAUUAGCUUUGAUUAAUUAGAAACAGAGAAAAACAUAAUAGAUCAACAUGAACCCACCACCAGAUAAACAAUAAUGUUGUGCGACUGCAAUUACUUAGUACAUCCUCAAUGACCAACUAUUUCACAUACUGCAGUCCCUUUUGCCCGUUUGAUUUUAUUGAAGUCCACUGCCUACAUACAUAUACAUACAUACAUACAUAUAUAUAUAUAGUUAUUCUGAGGUGUGGCCGCUCUCUUUUUUUUUUAAAAAUAUAGACGCAUUAUUAAACCGUGUGGGUUAAUAGAGUCAAUUUUCAAUGCACUAUAAAAUUGUAUGGUUUAAUAACAUAUUUGUACUGACUCUAUUAAACUUUAUUGUUUAACAGCAUAUCUGGAUUUUUUUUAAAAAAAAAGAUGCCCACACUAGAGAAGGAUUGUGUCUGUGUAUGUGAGACAUUUUAACAUAAACUAUAUACAAAAGACAUUUUAACAUAAAUUUUUUACAUAUUUUUAUUAGCAUUUUAUAAAUUUUUUAAUAUAUUGUCUUAUAUAUGGUAACUCAAUUCCUACUUUAUUCAUGUGAAUGGGUUAGAACCUCAAAUGUAUAUAUCUCACGUCAAUAAAUUUUACCAAUAAAGUUAACUAGUAGUGUUAGCCUAAAGGGCUACACAUAAUAUAAUUUUGAUGAUAACAAACAUAUGUAAUAAGUGAUUUAAUAGAUAUUGUAUUUCACAUUUUCACUAGUUUUUGAAGGGUAAUAUUUAUGCAAGUGAAUUUUUUUUCUUCCUCUUCCUCUUUUUACUUUAUGCCUCCUCACGCUCUUUCCCCCUCCACAUUUUCUAUUCUUUCUUCUCCUAUUUUUUUUCUUUCUUCCCCCUUCCCUUUCUUUUUCUAUUCUCUUUUCUUCCCCCCCCUUUUUAUUUUCUUUCUUCUUUUCUUUUUCCCUCUUUCCUUUCUUUUUUUUUCCCCCCCUUCUACCCUUUUCCCCCACUUUUUUCCCCCCNNNNNNNNNNNNNNNNNNNNNNNNNNNNNNNNNNNNNNNNNNNNNNNNNNNNNNNNNNNNNNNNNNNNNNNNNNNNNNNNNNNNNNNNNNNNNNNNNNNNNNNNNNNNNNNNNNNNNNNNNNNNNNNNNNNNNNNNNNNNNNNNNNNNNNNNNNNNNNNNNNNNNNNNNNNNNNNNNNNNNNNNNNNNNNNNNNNNNNNNNNNNNNNNNNNNNNNNNNNNNNNNNNNNNNNNNNNNNNNNNNNNNNNNNNNNNNNNNNNNNNNNNNNNNNNNNNNNNNNNNNNNNNNNNNNNNNNNNNNNNNNNNNNNNNNNNNNNNNNNNNNNNNNNNNNNNNNNNNNNNNNNNNNNNNNNNNNNNNNNNNNNNNNNNNNNNNNNNNNNNNNNNNNNNNNNNNNNNNNNNNNNNNNNNNNNNNNNNNNNNNNNNNNNNNNNNNNNNNNNNNNNNNNNNNNNNNNNNNNNNNNNNNNNNNNNNNNNNNNNNNNNNNNNNNNNNNNNNNNNNNNNNNNNNNNNNNNNNNNNNNNNNNNNNNNNNNNNNNNNNNNNNNNNNNNNNNNNNNNNNNNNNNNNNNNNNNNNNNNNNNNNNNNNNNNNNNNNNNNNNNNNNNNNNNNNNNNNNNNNNNNNNNNNNNNNNNNNNNNNNNNNNNNNNNNNNNNNNNNNNNNNNNNNNNNNNNNNNNNNNNNNNNNNNNNNNNNNNNNNNNNNNNNNNNNNNNNNNNNNNNNNNNNNNNNNNNNNNNNNNNNNNNNNNNNNNNNNNNNNNNNNNNNNNNNNNNNNNNNNNNNNNNNNNNNNNNNNNNNNNNNNNNNNNNNNNNNNNNNNNNNNNNNNNNNNNNNNNNNNNNNNNNNNNNNNNNNNNNNNNNNNNNNNNNNNNNNNNNNNNNNNNNNNNNNNNNNNNNNNNNNNNNNNNNNNNNNNNNNNNNNNNNNNNNNNNNNNNNNNNNNNNNNNNNNNNNNNNNNNNNNNNNNNNNNNNNNNNNNNNNNNNNNNNNNNNNNNNNNNNNNNNNNNNNNNNNNNNNNNNNNNNNNNNNNNNNNNNNNNNNNNNNNNNNNNNNNNNNNNNNNNNNNNNNNNNNNNNNNNNNNNNNNNNNNNNNNNNNNNNNNNNNNNNNNNNNNNNNNNNNNNNNNNNNNNNNNNNNNNNNNNNNNNNNNNNNNNNNNNNNNNNNNNNNNNNNNNNNNNNNNNNNNNNNNNNNNNNNNNNNNNNNNNNNNNNNNNNNNNNNNNNNNNNNNNNNNNNNNNNNNNNNNNNNNNNNNNNNNNNNNNNNNNNNNNNNNNNNNNNNNNNNNNNNNNNNNNNNNNNNNNNNNNNNNNNNNNNNNNNNNNNNNNNNNNNNNNNNNNNNNNNNNNNNNNNNNNNNNNNNNNNNNNNNNNNNNNNNNNNNNNNNNNNNNNNNNNNNNNNNNNNNNNNNNNNNNNNNNNNNNNNNNNNNNNNNNNNNNNNNNNNNNNNNNNNNNNNNNNNNNNNNNNNNNNNNNNNNNNNNNNNNNNNNNNNNNNNNNNNNNNNNNNNNNNNNNNNNNNNNNNNNNNNNNNNNNNNNNNNNNNNNNNNNNNNNNNNNNNNNNNNNNNNNNNNNNNNNNNNNNNNNNNNNNNNNNNNNNNNNNNNNNNNNNNNNNNNNNNNNNNNNNNNNNNNNNNNNNNNNNNNNNNNNNNNNNNNNNNNNNNNNNNNNNNNNNNNNNNNNNNNNNNNNNNNNNNNNNNNNNNNNNNNNNNNNNNNNNNNNNNNNNNNNNNNNNNNNNNNNNNNNNNNNNNNNNNNNNNNNNNNNNNNNNNNNNNNNNNNNNNNNNNNNNNNNNNNNNNNNNNNNNNNNNNNNNNNNNNNNNNNNNNNNNNNNNNNNNNNNNNNNNNNNNNNNNNNNNNNNNNNNNNNNNNNNNNNNNNNNNNNNNNNNNNNNNNNNNCAAGAAAUUAAUUCUUUUGUUGAGCUCUAAACUUUAUUCUUGAUUUCGCCGUUGUCCGUUGAGUGUCUUGAGCUUGAUUUCACUUGAUUCACUUGCAUAAAUAUUACCCUUCAAAAACUAGUGAAAAUGUGAAAUACAAUAUCUAUUAAAUCACUUAAUACAUAUAUUUGUUAUCAUCAAAAUUACAUUACGUGUAGCCCUUUAGGCUAACAAUCUCUCCCUUUUUGAUGAUGACAAACAUUUCAUGUACUUUGACAUUUAUACUCCCCCUUAAUACAUGGCAUAUAUAAUUAAACAUAUAAAUUAAAUUCAAAACAAAAACUCCACCUGAAUAUUUCAAAAUUAUGCACAAAUACUUUAAGAUCAAAAUACAUAUUAUACGUCUUCAUAUUCAAAAUACAUGACUUCGAUUACUUUUUAUAAACUAAGAGGUUUUAUUUCUAUAAGAUAAAGUACCUUGUGGUUUUGAGUAAUUUGGACUUAAAUGUAAACUUUUGAAAUCUUUGAUUUUAAUAAGUAUUAUUAUUGAAUUUCAGAGUUGGACCUUGUUACGAACAUUUGAAAUGUUUUUGGGCCAUACUAUAAUUUAUGAAUAUUUUGGACUAAAGUGAAAGGUUUUUGAGAACUUUGAAAAAUAUGGGUAUUAUGUUGAAAAGGACCUUUUUGUGAAAUAAUAAUAUCUUUGGGGCCAUAUCAUAAUUUCAGAAAGUUUGGGAAAGACAACUAUUCUUAGGAAAUUCUAUAAUUAGACCUAUUUACAAAGUUUUAUGACGUUUUGGGUCGUAGUAUAAUUAUAGAAAGUUUUAGGCCAAAGUAUAUUUUUAGUGAGCAUUGUUACUGUAGCAAAAUUCAAAAAAAAUAACGGUAAUAUUACUGUUCAUGAGCGGCUAGCGGGAUAAAUCAAGCGUCUAACCGCGUGGGUGCUGAAAUUUGCCUAUAACGACUAGUUUUCAGGCUUUAACUAUAAAAACUCAACUCCAACUUCAUUUUAAGAACUAAUGCAAGCAAAAAUACGAUCAUAUAACAUAUAUUGAGCUUCCAUUUCGCAAAUCAUCAUUUAUUGAAUCAUUAUUGAGCUAUAAUUUGUUAUCCACUCUUAAAGAGAGUUUCAUUGUUGUGAUUUUCAUUUCUCAUCAAAUUGUGAGUGUACAAGUGUGAGAAACACUUGGGGUGAAGAGAUUGGGGAUAUAAUCUCUUGUUGUAAAAGUCUAUUGACACAUUGGAAGUCAAUUGUAAACAUUUGAAGCCUUGGGAGGUUUGAAUAGUAAAAUCCUCAAGCCGGGUGAGCUUGGAGGCGUGGACGUAGGCGGGGAUUGCCGAACCACGUAAAAAUCCUUGUGUUUGUUUUCUCUUCCCUUAUUCUUUUAAUAUUAUGCUUGAUUGAAUUUAUGAUUUUGGAUUUGAUUAAGGCAAUAGAUUAAAUUGUUGUGCGAAUUGUAUUGCAUAUUUUUAAAAACCCAAUUCACCCCCCUUCUUGGGUUGCAUAACUUGCAUUUCAUUUGGUAUCAGAGCAAAGUGCUCUUAUGUAGACUUAACCGUCUAGAGUUAAAGAUCCAUGGCAACCCAUAAUGACUCAACUUUUAGGGAAGGACAAUCCACAAUUAGACCACCGUUCUUUGACGGUAAUGACUACCCAUAUUGGAAAACUAGGAUGAGAAUUUAUUUACAAGCUUUAGAUUAUGAAAUUUGGGAAAUUGUUUGUGAUGGUCCAUUUAUGCCUUUGACUAAAAACGAAGUUAGGGAAGAUAUUCCAAAACCUUCACGGGAAUGGAAUGAAUUGAAAAAGAGAAAAGCUUCUCUAAACUCCAAAGCUAUGAAUGUCUUGUUUUGUGCACUAGAUAAUAAAGAAUUUCAUAGAGUAUCUAGUUGUGAAAGUGCUAAUGAAAUUUGGUACAAACUUGAAGUUGUUUAUGAAAGCACGAAUCAAGUGAAAGGGUCUAAAAUUAGUAGGUAUACUCGACAAUAUGAAUUGUUUCAAAUGGAACAAAAUGAGAGUGUGUAUUCUAUGUAUACUAGAUUUACGGACAUAGUGAACACUCUAGGAACCCUAGGAAAGACCUUUUCAAAUAGCUAGAAAGUUAAGAAAAUCAUUAGGUCGCUACCUAAGGAAUGGAGACAAAAAAGGACUGCCAUUAAGGAAGCCAAAAUUUUAAAUAUUUUACCUAUUGAUGAUUUAAUUGGUUCUCUUAUUUCUUAUGAGGAAGACUUGACAGCCAAAAGAGGCAAUGAGGAGAAGAAGAAAAGCAUUGCUCUCAAAGCCUCGAAACAUGAGAGUGAUGAGGAAAGCAAGCUGGAUGAGGAGGAGAUGGAUAUGCUGGCUAGGAGGUUUAGAAAACUUUUUAAGAAAUCCGGUGAGCGAAGAAAAUUUAGAGAUCUCAAGAACCGAAAGGAGAAGAAGAAAGUAAUCAAAUGUUAUGAGUGCAAGAAGCCUGAUCAUAUAAGAACGAAAUGCCCUCUUCUCAACAAGCUCAAGAAGAAAGCAAUGGUAGCCACAUGGGAUGAUAGCGAUGAGGAAACAAGUGAUGAUGAAGAGCAUCAAGAAAUGAAAAAUCUAGCUCUCAUGGAAAUUGGAGAUGAAUCGGAUGAUGAACUUGAUAAGGUAAAUGAUCUCUCUACUUAUGAUGAAUUAUAUGAUGCUUUUAAAGAAUUGCAUGAUAAUUGGAUAAAAAUUGGUAAAAAGAAUGCAUGUCUUAAAAAGAAAAUGGUAAAGCUCACAAAUGAAAAUGAAUCUCUAAGUGUAAAGAUUACAUGCCUAGAAUUAGAGAAUAAAACAUUGCAUGAUAGAGUUGCAUUAUCAAAUGAGAAACCUAACACUUCACAUGAGCAUCUAGAAUCAUAUGUAGAUGACUUGAAAAAUGAAAAUGAUGCUUUACAAAAAUGUAAUGAUUCAUUAAAUGAAAAGAUUAAAGAACUAGAGUUAGAUAAUAAAAUGUUGCAUGAUAGAAUUGCAUCAUUUAAAGGUAAACAAAGUAUUUCAUAUGAGCAUGAAAAAUCACAUGUUGAUGAAUUGAUGAAAGAAAAUGAAGUGCUUAAGAAAAAGAGUAAUGAGCUCAACGAAAUUGUGUUAAAAUUCACAAGUGGUCAAAAGAACUUAGAAAAAUUACUAAGCACUCAAAAAUGUGUGUUUGAGAAAGGAGGACUUGGGUAUAAACCUAACUUGAAACAAAAAUAUUAUAAAAAUUAUUUUGUUAAGGCUACCUCCACAAGUGAUUGUAAGAUUGUUUUGUCAUUAUUGUAAUGGAAAUGGUCAUAUGAGUUUUAGAUGUCCAAUUAAGAGAAAUGUAUAUUAUGGAGUCAAGUGUAUUUGGGUUCCAAAAGGAACCAAAUCUAACACUCAAGGACCCAAGAGUAUUUGGGUACCAAAAUGCACAACUUGAAUAUUUUCUUUGUAGGUACCACAAUCAAGGAAUGGCAAAGAGUUCCUUGAUAAAAGCUUAUGAGGAUAAUCAUUUGAUCAUGGUGUAAGCAAAAAUGAUGAGAUAAUAUGAUUUAAUUGUUUUGGUAAUAAUUAUUGCCUUAUUGAUUAUAAGUGAUGGUCUUUUAAUCUUAGUAAGUAUCUAAUAAUUCAUCUGGUAUCAUAACAUUAAGUGCAUUAACAUGAAGUGGAUAAGUUUAUUUUGCAUAUUUAUUAUAUUGAGUGGAUCAUGAAAAAUGGAUAGUAGCUUGAAUUUGUGAAAGUAUGCUUGUAUGUUUACAUGAUUGAAUUAUCAUUGUGUUUAACAUUGAGUGUUUUAUCAUGAUGGAUUUGUUUGAUUUUAAUGAUUAUGUAAUGCCUAAGUAUGAUAAAUGAGUAAUAUGCUUGAAUUAUUAAUCUUUGAAUACUUAUAUGUUUCAUGAUUGAGUAAAAUAUAUACAUGAUGGAUGAAUUAUAUGUGUGAAUUAAUCAUGUCUUAAAUGUUUAUAAUUUCAACCAUAAAGUGUUAUUGUAUCUCAUAAUUGUGAUGGAUAUGCAUGAUGAAUAUGUUAUAAAUUUGAGUUUUAUGAUUUUUUGGAUGUUUAAAAUCAUGAUUCAUGCAUUAAAUUGGCUCUUGAGAUGUUUCGGUAUCACGAAAUGGUCUUGGGAUUGCUCAAAUUUCAGCCGGACAGCAAAUUGGUGCAGGGGAGCAGAAACCAGGCGGCUAGCCGCCUGAAUCAAGCGGCUAGCCGCUUGAAAUCUGCUCAAACCCGAGAGCAAGUGGCUAGCCGCUUGCCCCCAAGCGGUUAGCCGCUUGGUCACGGGUUUAAGAGAUUUUCCCCCUAUUUUUCAUGUGUUCUUUAACCUCUCUCCAUUCUCUCUCAAAGCCGAACAUAUCCCCUCCAUUUCCACUUAAUAUUUCUUCAUUUCUCACUCUUUUUCAUGGCAAGAUCAAAUCUUUCAAACCGUUACCCAUGUAUUUAACCUCUCAUUAAACACUUCUCAAUCAUCAUUUCUUCACUUGUUCUUCAUCAUUUCAUCAUCAUCUCUCACGCGUGAACAGUACUUCUCCAUUUCUCUCUCAAAUUUCUUCAUCUUUCACUCAUUUUCUUGUUAAAAUCAAUCAUCCAAAUCAUUAUUCAUCCAUUACUCCUUCAAUUUUCAUUCUCAAAACUUCAUUUCAUCAACUCUCCACAUAAAACCCAAAAUAAAAAACCUAACUCUACCCUGUUUCUCUCUCUUCAUUUUCAAGCUUCCUUUAGCCCAUUUUUUAUCCAAUCUACAUCAUAUAUUAGCUUUAUUCAUCUCUAGGAUCGAUUUUCUUGGCUCAAACAAAUCCAUUUCACUCAAUUUUUUGUAAACCCGAAAUUGGAUCUUUAAGCUUGUUUUUGUUCCAACAAUGGUGGGUGGUGAAAAAUCCAAGAGCAAACAAGUUGCCAAGAGAUGCAAGGACGAUUAUGGAGAUAAUACGGAGUUCAUAUCAACUCACUUUCAGCAUCUACCUCUUCGGAAACGGUUUCACGACAAUUUUAUGUCGAGGUCGGUUAUCGCUCCCUAUUUUGUUAAUCUUCGUAAUUUGAAGAAUUUAGAAAUUUGUGACAAAUCUCUUAGUUAUUUUCUCAUUGCUAUGGGCUGAAAAAAUGUUUUAGUUAUUAAGGAGCAAUACUAUGAAAAUUUAGUUAAGGUGUUUUAUUCGAAUAUGAUUAUGGGAUCCUCGGAUAUAAUUGUUGCAAGUGUUGGGGGAAUUCAUAUUGAAUUUGAUGAUUGAUGAUUAUAUGUGUGUCGCUUGUUGUUGGUUUGUUAUAAUUGUUUCAGCUUAUAUGGAAGUGUUUUUAAUCAUGUUGUAUAUUUAAGGAUUUGUUCAUUUUAAGGGGAGACUCUGCCGAAAUUUUUGCUCGCACAAAAUUGGUAAUAUCUUUAUCGAAUUAUUUUUUAUGAAGGGGGAGAUAAAUAUGAUAUGUUUUUGGAUAAUAUCAUUUUGGUUAAAUUUUUUAAUUGGCCAUAUAUUUAGGAGGAGCAUACAAUAUGAUUUUGGAUAAUAUGCAUUUUGAGCAUUCUUUUGAUGGCAUGAUGGUUCAUGAUCAUUUUAUGGUUAAUUGGAUGUUUGGUUAUUAUAUGUUUCUUGAUUAACCAUUCACAUAUUAUCGAUCUUAGCAUGAAUUUCUAGUAAUUUUGAUGAUGAACGGGGAGAAGUCAUGUAUUUUGAAUAUGAAGACAUAUAAUAUGUAUUUUGAUCUUAAAGUAUUUGUGCAUAAUUUUGAAAUAUUUAGGGGGAGUUUUUGUUUUGAAUUUAAUUUAUAUGUUUAAUUAUAUAUGCCAUGUAUUAAGGGGGAGUAUAAAUGUCAAAAUACAUGAGAUGUUUGUCAUCAUCAAAAAGGGGAAGAUUGUUAGCCUAAAGGGCUACACAUAAUGUAAUUUUGAUGAUAACAAACAUAUGUAUUAAGUGAUUUAAUAGAUAUUGUAUUUCACAUUUUCACUAGUUUUUGAAGGGUAAUAUUUAUGGAAGUGAAUCAAGUGAAAUCAAGCUCAAGACACUCAACGGACAACGGCGAAAUCAAGAAUAAAGUUUAGAGCUCAACGGACAAAUUAAUGCAAUAAAUUCUUGUAAAGCCGGUAUGAUUUAAUUGAUGCAUGAUUUAUCAUUUGAGAAGCUCAAGAGAUUAAUUUAAUUAAUUACUUUUUAUAAACUAAGAGGUUUUAUUUCUAUAAGAUAAAGUACCUUGUUACGAACAUUUGAAAUGUUUUUGGGCCAUACUAUAAUUUAUGAAUAUUUUGGACUAAAGUGAAAGGUUUUUGAGAACUUUGAAAAAUAUGGGUAUUAUGUUGAAAAGGACCUUUUUGCGAAAUAAUAAUAUCUUUGGGACCAUAUCAUAAUUUCAAAAAGUUUGGGAAAGACAACUAUUCUUAGGAAAUUCUGAAAUUGGACCUAUUUGUAAAGUUUUAUGAUGUUUUGGGCCGUAAUAUAAUUAUAGAAAGUUUUGGGCCAAAGUAUAUUUUUAGUGAACAUUGUUGCUGUAGCAAAAUUAAAAAAAAUAACGGUAAUAUCACUAUUCAUGAGCGGCUAGCCGGAUAAAUCAAGUGUCUAACCGCUUGGGUACUGGAAUUUGCCUAUAAUGGCUAGUUUUCGGGCUUUAACUAUAAAAACUCAACUCCAACUUCAUUUUAAGAACUAAUGCAAGUAAAAAUAAGAUCAUAUAACAUAUAUUGAGCUUCCAUUUCGCAAAUCAUCAUUUAUUGAAUCAUUAUUGAGCUAUAAUUUGUUAUCCACUCUUAAAGAGAGUUUCAUUGUUGUGAUUUUCAUUUCUCAUCAAAUUGUGAGUGUACAAGUGUGAGAAACACUUGGGGUGAAGAGAUUGGAGAUAUAAUCUCUUGUUGUAAAGGUCUAUUGACACAUUAGAAGUCAAUUGUAAACAUUUGAAGCCUUGGGAGGCUUGGAUAGUGAAAUCCUCAAGCCGGGUGAGCUUGGAGGCGUGGAAGUAGGCGGGGAUUGCCGAACCACGUAAAAAUCUUUGUGUUUGUUUUCUCUUCCCUUACUCUUUGAAUAUUAUGCUUGAUUGAAUUUAUGAUUUUGGAUUUGAUUAAGGCAAUAGAUUAAAUUGUUGUGCGAAUUGUAUUGCAUAUUUUUAAAAACCCAAUUCACCCCCCCUCUUGGGUUGCAUAACUUGCAUUUCAAGUAGUAGUGUUCACAAUUGUUUGUUGAUAGGUGGGCUUUGAUAUUUAAAAAAAAUUAAAAAUUAGUAAAAACUACAUCAAUAAAACAAAUUUUCUUAGUUUUCCUUGUUGAACAUAAAUACGUACACUAACUGACAAUGAAUUGUGUAACUCCUUUUCUUCUAAGUUCUUUUUUUUAUAUAUAAUAUAUAUAUAUAUAUAUAUAUAUAUAUAUAUAUAUAUAUAUAUAUAUAUAUAUAUAUAUAAAAUAAAAACAAUGAGAUUUUAAGAGAGUUAGUAUUUAACUCUCUUAAACUGCAUGGUUUUAUAGUUCAUUAAAAAACUAACUCUUUUAAACCGCACAAUUUAAAGUGUGUCCGCAUUAAAAAAAAUACGGACUUCCGCACCUAUAUAUAUAUUAGAAAUGUUCCAAUCCUGAAUUUUAAAGUGUGGGUGUUGUGAAAAUUUUAAUAUACUCGCAAGCGCACGAAUCUAGAAAUAGAGUAGUGGUAACGAGGUCGAUCCCACAGGGAUUGUUAUAAAUUGAAAAGUCUAAUUUAAAUCUAAAAUUAAUAUUAAUUCUAACCUAGUUGACCAAAUUGAGUUUCUAAGAAAAUUAAACCAAUUAAACUAAGGAAGCAAUUAAAAUAAAGGAGAAUUCAAUAAGAUAAGAAUUACCAAGGUUUCAGAAUCCACCACUAUUCAACUAGUAAUUAUCUAAUUAUUAAUUAAUCCCCAAUUUUAGAGUGACAACUCGAAAUCAAUCUAUGUCAUCUCAUGGAUAUAACAAUUAAGCCCAAGUAAUUAAAUCUAAUGUAGGUUCUUUUUCUGCUUAAUAAUAUGACAUCUAAGCAUCCCAUGUAAACAUAUUGAAUAACAAAGAGUCAAAGUUUUCCUAAGCACUCUAUGUAAACAAUUUAAUGAAAGACAUAGAAUCAAAGAUAAUCAUGUAUAAACUUUAUAAAUCCAAGCAUAGAUUUAAUCGAAUAUUAAUCAUAACAAUCAAUAAUGCAUGACAGAAUUGAUGAAAAGAUUUUAAUAACAUCCAAUUAAUCAUGUGAAAUAAAAAUCAUAAUCAUUAAAGAACAUAUAUAGGGAAUUAAAUAAAUAAAAAGAUAAUUAUUUCAUUGAAUAGAGUUUCAUCCUUAACCUCAGUAUAAGAAAAUUAGCUAGACAUACUUGAAUUGAGAGCAACACAAGAAAUAAAAUUAGCCAUGGAAGCUGAAAUAUUGCUACUGUCGAUUGCUCUCUUCCAGCUCUUUUGUUUCCGUCCUCUGGCGGCUCCCCUCUCCAAAAGCCAAAACUCCCUUUUAUAAUCUUUAAAAUGGACCCCACCUCUUAAAUCCUAAAGCCAAAAGGCUUGGCCUUUUACUUGAUUUGCUCUCUCACACGUCUUGGGCACUUAGAAUUGCUAAAGGACUCCUUUUUCCAAUUAUAAAAGCCAAGUGUGGGUCCUUUCUUAAAGCUAAAUCAAUUUCUCUCCUUUGUCCACAUGUACAUAAUGAAUUAAUUUGUUGAAUUCAGUUCCUUGGCUUGAUUUUCGCAUGCAUGUAUGUCUAAUUGCUUCCAAAAAUCAAUUAAUCAUUAAUGCUUACAAAUUGAACUCCUUUAUGCUCUUUUUAUCCAUAAUCUCCAAUUAAUUCCCUAUUCAAUAAAAUAAUUUAAUUAAUUAAAAAUAACAAAUAAAAAUGACUAGCAAUUAAAUAAUUAAGGGUAAAAUAUGUAUAUAAAUUAUGCUCAUCAGUGGGAAUGUUCAAAAAAAUGUAUAAACUGUGCGGUUUAAACGCUUUAAGUUUUUAAGCCUUUAAAGUCCUGCGGUUUUAAAGAUUUCUUGGACUUUUCCCGCACUUUAAGAUCUCGGACUCUCUCUCUCUCUCUCUCUCUCUCUCUCUCUCUCUCUCUAUAUAUAUAUAUAUAUAUAUAUAUAUAUAUUCUUUUUUACCACUUUCUCUCACACUGUUUUCCUUGCGUUUGAUUUUCUUCUCCUUUCUUUAUCUCAAACCUGAACUUUGGUAAUAAUAAGAAUCUAUAUAUGUACAUGAUGGAUCUGUAAGCCCUUAAUGAGAAUAUAUAUGUGUUCUUUUAUCUAUUAAUAACAUCUUUAUUUUGUUAAAAUGAAGAUAUACUCAUUAACAAGUUAUUCUAUAUACAUAUCUAAUAUAUGUAAGACUUAAUUGAUUGUGCAAAUUAUUAGUUGUUGGAAUUUCAAACAAACCACAAGUACUUUAGUAUUUACUCUGCUAAUAAUUGGGCUAGGAAAAUAUAUUGCUUUCCUUCCAAAUAUAAGGAAAAGAAUCCACAGAUUCAUAAAAAAUUAUAAAAAUAUAUAGAUUGAAAACAACCUUCACAUUAUAUUGAAUUGGAAGUCAAAUAAGCCGGCGCCUUGUGUAAACCUUUCAUGAGAAAUUCUAGAAUACAUCAAAGGCACCAUGUUAGUCAUACAAUAAGCAAAUAAUGUUAUGACAUGUAUGCAUUUAUUUUGAAAAAUCAUUAUGCAAGUGAUGGUCAUAUUAAACUCAAUUACACAUGUCAUGCAUGCAUCAAUUGAUUGUAAUACAGGUAUUCUAGAAUUUCUUUGCUUUCAUACCGAGUUUUUAAAUUUUUUGUAAAUCUGCAAUCUAAUGAUGCUAUAAAUCAAUAAUAAUGUAUUUGUCUUGUAAAUGAAAAGUGGGACCAUAAUUAAAUGUUUCCUCCACAAAAAUGGUGCUCCUCUCGGUGUUAAACAAGGAAAAGCAAUAGGAAAUCUCCACGAAGCAAGUCUAGCUCAUGCUCACUAGAAGAUUUUCUUAAGUUAUGAAGAUUUGAACAGAGAAGUCCAGCGAAUAUUCCUCUAAGUCAAUCUGAAGAAUUGACUUGAUCAGAGUCAAGUCUCAAAUUUUCUCCUAAAAAUAAGGGUUUGAGCUCUAUCCUCUCAACGGUUAUCCCACAGUUUAGGGGGCUAAGGACUCUGACAUUUAUUAAAGCUUCCAAAAAUUUAAACCAAGUGAUCUUUUCUCUCUCUACCUCAAAAUUCUUUUUGAGAAAAUAGCAUUGGGAGUUCAUUCUUUCUUUCUUCUUUUCAUUUUUAAAGCCUUUCGAGUAUACUAGUUAUAAUCAAUGCUCAACAACUUAAUACACAUUAAUCCAUUAAACCUAAAGAACUGACUUGAGUAUUGAAGGAUUUAAUGCGAACAAGAUCCCCAACUUUCCUCUAAUCAUUUAUUGUGAAUGUAGAUAUUUUUUUGGGAAGUACUCGUGAUCGCCUGUGUUUGCUCGAGUGAAUAGGGAGUUUAUGGUCAAGAUCAUCUAUCCCAUCAUUAUAAAUUUUAAGUGUUGACAUUGGCAUCUAGUUAUUGCUCAACACGAUCAUAUUUCAGCAUCGACAAUAUUGAUUUCAAAUAUAGUAUUGUUUUUAUAUUAUUUAUAGUAUAAUUCAAAGUCUUUAUUAAUAAUUUAAUAAAAAUUUAAUUUUAGGGAUCCUAAUAUUACUUGAGUUAAUUGAUGCAUCAUUCAUCAAUUAGAUAGUAAAAUAAUAUUAUAUAAUAAUUAUGCAUUUAUCAUCCAAUAAAUGAGUAGAAAAUAUAAAAGAAAUUAUAGUUCUUAGCCCAAAUCUCUACCUUGUAGGCCAUGAUUUUGUGGUAUCUUAUAAUAGAGAUGGCAAAAAUACUUGGGCCUGGCCUCGCCUGGCUUGUAAAGGGCAGGCCAGGCUCGCGGGCUUUAGGCUUGGCCUGCAACAAAUGGGCAUGGUCAUGGGCUAAAAAUUUAAAAGUCCACAAUAGAUGGGCCUGGAUAUGGGCUCAUGGGAAAAGCACGAGCUUUAUUUUUUAUAAAUAAAAUUUUUUAGUUUAUAUAUUGUGUUGCUUUAUACUUUAAAUUUUAUAUAUUUUAUAUUUUUUGUAUUUGAUUAUUAGUCUAUUAUAUAUUGUACAUAUUCUUUUUAAAAUUUUUAUCUAAGCCCAUGCCCGGCCGUCUAAGUGUGGAUGGUUUGGAGAGUUUGAGCAUGCUGUCAAUAACUUAGGCCUAAGCAUGAGCUUCAAAAAGCCCGGCCCAGACCCUUAAAUUGCCAUCCCUAGUUAUAUGUCUUAAAGAUUUGGGGUUGCAACCCUUAAACCUAUACAUAGGGCCCUCCCCAUCCCCACCAUGAACCAUUUCACCAAUGAAUUUUCAUGAAUUACCACUCUCAAAACAAGCGUAAAGGCAAAGGAAUUUUCAUCAAUUAUCAAUUUAAGAAAUUGGUAAAAAAAUUAAGUAAUUUUAAAAUAUAAAACACUCAUCAUUAACCUAAAAUACUAUAUUUUAUAAAAUACAUAUAAAACAAAAUAAUAAUAAUAAUAAAACAAAAUACGGAUGUUACAUUUUGUGCUCUAUAGCAUUGUCCACUAAUAGGAUCACAAUACCUCCAUUCUUUCUAUUUGUAGGCAACAAAUCUUCUUCUCUACUUUGUUAAAAUAAGCUUAACACUAUCUUCCAAAGCCCAACUCAUAGAAGCUUCUAUGAGUGAGUAUAAAAAAAAAAAUUGUGGUGUGCGAUAUUAUUAGCGAUAGGUGUAGUCGGUGAAAUGUAUGGUUAUUAAUUAUUUGUAAUUUUUUAUUUGAAUGGUUUAGAUUUGUUCUCAUGUACUAAAAAUACCUCCUGUAUCAUUUGGUAAAGCAUCAAGUGAAGAGUGAAGAAUUAGAAAAGAGAAAAAAGAGUGAACCAUGAGUGUUGUAGUAUAUCUCUUGUAAAAUUUCAAUAAAGUCCUUUAGGUUUAAUCAACUUUACAAUUGCCCAAAUUGUUUUAGUUUUGUGUAGUUUAGUCCUCCACAGUUUUCAACAAUUGGUAUUAGAGUGUGAUUGGUCGAGGACCACUACAUCAGUGAUGCCAGAAGUUCAUGACAAUUGAGAACUAUCGUGGAGAAGUUGUAAGAGUAUAAUGUCGACGAUCGAGGAUAAUUUGGCGGAGUUGUAUUGAAUCAUGAAGAGUUUGAAACUCUUUAAGUUCGUUGGUGAAGAUCGAGCUUACUUGGCAUUGUCAAAAUCUUGCAAAUACAACUGAUGACCUUUAAGUUUACGGAGAAGUCAAGAAGCUCAACAACAAAAAUAAAAAUACAUAGACAACAUUAAUAGUCUUAUUCAUAAGGCCAAGACCUCUUGGGAAUUGUUUAUGGUAAUGAUCGGAAACCACCAACCUCUUGGAAAUCGUUUUUCUAUUGUCACAUUUUUUUUGUGAAAUUGAUAGUAACUCAUUCUUCAGAAGUUGUAGCCACAUUCCAUUCUUCUUUGACAAAAUAGUUGCGAAAGUGUCCUGAGCUUCCUUAGGGGCUUUAGCCUUUCUUUUGUGUUGUACAAUCUUUUCUUUAGUUAUAAUAUUAUAAUCAGUAUGGCCUUCCCAACUUUAAUGUUCCACUUUUUUAAAGUGGCAUCCUCAGUUGGUGGUUUUACAUCGUUAUCACAAAUGUUCUCCUAGAGGUCUUGGCCUUAUAAGUAGGACUCUAUCAAUGUUGCCGAUAUAUUAAAAUUUUUGUUGUUGAGCUCCUGGACUCCUCUAACUACUUGAAGGUCAUCGAUCGUGUUUGUAAGACUUGGAAAUUGCCAAGCAAGCUCGAUCUUCACCAAUGAAUUUGUAGAGUUUCAAACAACUCACAAAUCAACGAAGCCCCAUCAAACGAUCCUCGAUCAUCCUAGCUGCACUCUUAUAGCUUCUCCAUGAUAGUCCUUGACUAUUAGGGAUGACAAUUAAAUUUGGAUCCGGCCCGGAUCCAGAUAUGGAAAUUUGGGGUCCGCAUGGAUCUGAAUUCGGAUUUGGAUGCAAGUGCAUCUAAAAACCGGAUAUCCGGAUUCGGAUGCGGAUAAAUUUUAUUUUAAACUAAAAAUAUAUAUUAAAAAAUAAAUUUUAUUUGUGAAUUUAUGAAGUUGUUGUAUAUUAUUCAUAUUGAAUUAUUAAUUUUUAGAUUAUGAUUUAAUUUUAUUUGAUAUUAUUAGGUAAACUAUUGAUUUUAUUUUAAAUUAAAAACAUAAUAAAAAAUGAAAUAAAAAAUAAAUUUUAUUUAUAGAUUUAUGAGAUUAUUGUCUGUUAUUCAUGUUCAAUUAUUAAUUGUUCAAUUAUGAUUGGAUUUUAUUUGAUAUUAUUAGGUAAAUUAUUGAGUUUUUAAAUUAUAUAUUAAAUUAUUGAAUUUUAAUUUUUGUGGAUCUAGAUGUCCGAAAUAUCAGCCUGCAUCCAUUGCAAAUGUUACCCGUUUUCGGAUUGCAUAUUUUUUUGCAGAUCCGAAUAUAGAAAUAUGAAUUUGGAUCCGGAUUUUGCCAACCUUAUUGACUAUUGUGAAAUUCCCACAACAUUACUACAGUGAUCUCCAACCAACUGCUCUCUAAUACCAAUUGCGGAAGACUAAACUGCAAAAAAAUAAAACUAUUUGUUUAUAAUCUACUAAAUCUAAAGGACUUUAUCAAUAGUCUAUAAGAAAUAUACUAUAACACCCACUGUUUUCUUUUAUUUCUCUCUUCUAAUUCUUCACUCUCCACUUCAAAUUUAAACAAAUAGUACAAGGGAGUAUUUAUAGUAUAUGAGAACAAAUCUAAACCAUUCAAAUAAAAAAUUACAAAAAAUUAAUAGUCAUACAUUUCCACACUUAUCACCAAUAAUAUCACCUACCACUAAUUUUUUUUUCAAUACUCAUGGAGCCUUCUAUAAAUUAGGCUUAUUAAUUUUGGAUUUGGAAGAUGGUGUUGCACUUAUUUUAACAUCUCAGUCAACGUAAUAAACUCAGAACUCAACGAUUUCCAAUGUUCUGAUCUUGUCCAAGAAACUUCAUAUUCUGCCAACGAUUUCCAGUAUUCUGAUCUUAUUGAAAAUCUCAAGGCCUAUGGCGAACAUCAUUGGCAUAGGUGGAAGGCAAUCUUGAAACAAGAUUAUUUCAACAAUCCUUGGGCAUAUAUCUCUAUUAUUGCAGCAGUUGUUCCCCUUAAACUCACUGCCAUACAAGCAAUUUGUUCUAUUGUAGAAUUAUGGGGUUCGGAAAAUGGUUUGCUGGAUCUUCAUGUUUCAAGUAGGUAAUAUGUGUUUAUUAUAUCCACCGUAUUAUGUAAUCAUUUUUUGCUUUAUUCUAUAUACCGACAAUUUGUAAAUACCUUGUGAAUGAAGCUCUCGAACAAAGAAGAAUUAUCAAAUUCAAAGAAUUAAAAAAUUAAAUGAGUGAUUAAUUUAUUUCUUUAUAUCUUCAUGAGAAAGAGAGAGAAAAAAAUGGAAACAAAGAAAUUGGAAAAAAAUACUGAGAAUCAAAGGACAAUGAUUCAGUGUUGAGCUGAGUUUUUACUAAGCACUGAAUCAAUAUUUGUUAGGUAAGAGAAAUUAAAAAAUAAAAAUAAAAUAAAUCUUAACCAUUAAUUCUUUACUUAACAAAAAAUAAGCUCAAUAUUGAAUCCUAACCUAGAAUCAAAAUCGAUAGUAUUUGUGAAAAUAACAAUAAUUGAUUUCUAAAUAUGAGGUUGGCAGUUUUUUAAACAUUUUUUUUGCCUAUAGUUUUUUUAACACUUAUGAUGUUGACAAUCAUAAAGCAUAUUGACAAUUAUAUGGGCACAAAAAGUAACAGUGAUAUUGUUGGUUAAUUUUAUAAGCAAUUAAUAUCAAUGCCAAUGUGCAAGUAUACACAACAAGUAAUAAAGUGAUUAGUAUUCAAGAUCGUCUCCACAAGGAUUGAUGUUACUCAAAAUGCUAAAGCAAUCACAAUAGUGCAACUCAACUUAAAAUCGAAAUAAACAAUUAACAAGCAAAGUCUAUCGUAAUCAAUUAUUGAAACAAGAAUUAAAUAAAAUAAUACCGUAAUGAGAUAACUAGGUUAAGUGUGUCCAAGAUUCUAUUAAAAUUAUGGUAGUUGAAUGAUCAAACUCUCCUUAUGGGGUGACUGUUGUUUAUCAAGUUAGCAUAAGUUGUUAUAACAAGUGCUGCAGCACUGGGCAGAAUAAAUCUGCAUCCUCAGCUAUCGCAUGUUGGACGUCUCAUACCUUUAAAUCUAUUAACAAUGACCAGUUGCUAAUUUAUCUAUGAUACGACAUUAUAACAUUUAAUCUCUCCACCCUACAAGGUGAACACCUAUGUCUAGUGUACCACAAAUCUUAACUUCAAGUAUUGCCCUUAUGGGAUUUAAGAUAACUUAAUCCAGGAAACUUGACUUAAGAUCAAGUAAUACUCUAAUAAUAUCCGUUAAGACAUGCCCUUUUGCUGCUCUAUCUUAACUGAAACUAUUAUAUGGGUGGUCAACCGAAAUAACAGUUAUAUUCAUAAAAACUACUAGAGUAUAAUGCUACAGCAAUGCCAUAACAACAUAUAAGAACAGUCAAGAACCCAUUGGAUUGUUUGUCACUCAACUACAAGUAAAUUUAGUUCAUAAUCUGAUUGAAAAAAGUAAACAGAAAUAUAUUGACCCCGGAAUACAUCCAAACAACUAAAGGAAGAAUAGAAAUAUAAGUUGAGCACGAUGAAAGACAAAUAAUUAUGCACGGUUCUUUAAUGUUGUCGAACAGCACUCCUCAAUCUUGAUCUGCUUCUUCUUGCCUUUGUAAUUGUUUUUUAUGAUAAUUCCUUGCCGCCUUUCUUAUGUGAUGCACGCCUCCUUUUAUAUUGCAAAUUAGGGUAAAAACCAAAGCCCAUGAGAGUGCAUGCAUUUUAAAUUAGGAAACAUGCAGAUCAAGAUUUUAUGACUGACUCGCGCUUUAAGCUUUCUCUCGUAUUGCUCCCAAAUUGCUGCAGCACUGGUUGCUCUAACAUCCGCAACAGCACUGCAUUAUUCCCGAUUGUUCUUUUCUUCUUUUGUGGCCAUCUUCUUUCAUCCUCUUGCUCAUUUAAUGUCUCAGUAUCCCCUCAUGAAUUUAAAACCUACAAUUAUGCACCUGUUUUUAGCACAAAUUACUCUGAUUUAAGCAAAACUUAUUAAGACCCAACUAAAAUGAAUGUUUAUGCAAAAGGUAACCAAAAUGUAAUAAAAACACCUUAUUUGCUCUCUAAAUGAUCUUGAUUCAAGUCUAGAAUUGAUGUAAUAACUCUCAUUUCCUAGAGUUAUCACACCCCCAAACUUAAACUAUUACUUGUCCUCAAGUAAUGACAUAUACAACACUUCACACAAACAAUCAUUCACACAAAUUUAGCUCUUUUAUCAACUUUGCAAGGAUUCUUCCACAUUCAGAUCACAUUCUUAAUCAUGCAAGAUGACCAUAGUAAAUUAGUUCUAGACUUAAGCUUCUUUCUAUCCAUAGUGUGUGUGUGCUCUUUCGAUUGAAUUCUAGAUAUGCUAUAGCAUCACCAAGGAAUUGAAUGAAUUUCAGUAGUGAGUACACUUCAUUCAUAAAUGGGGUAAUCAUAACUUUCACAUACUCAACUGUGAUCAUUUUAGGAUUGACAAACUAGGGAAUAUUUGACCUCCUCACUGUAACAUUUAUCUUUCAUGUGAAUGUCAAUCAAUUGUAAUGAUGACACCCAAUUACUCAAACCAUGCCCAGAUUAGAGUUGUUGCAGCAGUAACUGUAAUGUAAUCUUAUCUAGAAGUAUCUUUUACUCAAGGCUGAACAUGGGGCUUAUGAGCAGACCUGGCUACUCAAUGCCUUAGACAGAGGAUUUUUUUUUAUAUAUAUGUUACAGCAUUGCUCAUAACUCUCGCUACCUUUGAACACAAAUCUGCAUAUGGGGUAUAUACUCAGAUCUGGUUACUCAGCACCUUGAGCCAUUGGAACAGAUUGUAUUUCAUAGAUAUCACAGUUAUUCAAACUUGCUUCCCCCCCCCCCCCAAACUUGGGAUCUUUUCUAUUCUUUUGGCUUUACUCUAACAGUCUCAUACAAUUCAACCAAAGUCUAAGUGUCGGGAUAGAAUUUCACUUUCAUCUAUAACUAUCUCUACUUGGCAUAUAAAUAUUGAAUAGCACUCAAUUUAUCUUCAUUAGAUUUUUAAAUCCAUACACAAAUAUUAGAUAAUAGAGCUCCACACCACACAAACAUAAACACAUGCAUACAAAAUAUAAACAUAUGCAUUCGGGAACACAACCCCCCCAAACUUGAGAGGUGAUGUGUCCUCACAAGCAAACAGAACAAAGGCACACAAACGGACAAGGAUAUGAAAAACCUUAGAAAAUACCACACAAAUUGACAAACAGAAGGUAGAUUUUUUUUUUUGUAAUGAAAACUAGUAAGGAAAGAAAACUCCCCUGGGGUGGGGACUGCAUCACAUGAUGGGAUGCUAUCAGCGCUUCUUGAAUGCACUGCACAACUUAUCCUUUGGUGAAGCGUGGGGGGAAGUAACUGGCAAUGUCUUUGUCUUUUUCUUCACGGGACUGAUGAUAGGAGUUGAGGCUGGGGUUGCUGGAGCAGUGCCUUUCGACGUACUGCCUUUUCUUUCGCUGGAUUGCCGCGGACUGGUGCGAAUAGGCUGGCUAGGAGUUUGUUGUAGCAGUAACAAAUUGAAGCUAAUGUUCCUGAGAGUAAAAUGAGAAAAAGAGGGUAAGAAUUAGGAGAGGUGUACUUGCGAAGGAGAUGGGUAAUAGUAUCGUAGAGCACUAAGCACAGUGACUCAUUUUUAUAGUGGACUUUAAUUGAAGAUAAAUAAGGUAACUAGAGAUAAUUGAGGGAAUAAAAUAUUUUGAAUUAAAUGUGCAAAUCCCAAAAUCAUCGGCCAAUGAAAUUAAAGCUUUAAUUUCGGAGAUUUGUUUCCGCAAUUUCUAUCUAUAUCCAUGCGUCCAUCUGUCACGAUUUUGUCUCCAACGGUAAUUGAAAGGCUCCAGCUUUUAAUUUACUGUAACGGUAAAAUUAGUUGCUGCAGCACCCAUUCGCUUACUUUAACAACGAAUACAUGCUCCAUACUAAAGCUUCUGACACGUGGUUCACCUCUGCAUUCUAUCACCAUGCACUCUCACUUGUCAACAUGGAAUUCAAUUGUCACACAUACUUCUCACAAACUAGAAUUAAUUCUAAAAUUAUUAAAAGAAAUAAAUAGAUUAAAUUAAAGCGAAAAUAAAGAAUGCAAUAAUGUAAAAGGAUAAAAGUAAAUGGCUAACAUAGAAAAAUAGAAUUAAAUAAGAUGGUAAAGAGGAAGAGCUGUCUACAAAACCAAAGAAUAUCAAAGUUGGUUUGAAGUGGCUGUCUCCCCAAUGGGUUGCCUCUCAUGAAGCGCUUAAUUUAAGGUCCUUCAACCUGACCUUCUUUCCUUGGUCAAUAGUUGAGUUCUUCAAGGAGUAACACCUCAUUUGAACAAUCUGCUACUGGAUGUAUGUAGUGCUUAAUCUUGUGGCCAUUAACCUUGAAUUCCUGACCUGUUUGUUCAUCUAGAAGAUCAACAGCUCCAUAAGGAUAAAAUUUGAGUAGCUUAAAUGGGCCAGACCAUCGUGACUUGAGCUUUCCCAGAAAUAAUCGUAGUCUUGUAUUGUGGAGCAACACUGAUUGACCAGGGUUGAAUUUCUUGUACUGAAUAUGCUUGUCGUGCCAUUUUUUUGUCCUCUCUUUAUAGAUUCUUGCAUUUUCAUAUGAAAAUAGCCGUAAUUCAUCAAGCUCACAAAGUUGAAGCUUCCUUUGCUCUGCUGCAGCAUGAAUAUCCCAAUUUAAUUUCUUCAGUGCCCAGUACGCUUUAUGUUCUAACUCUAGUGGCAAAUGACAAGCCUUGCCAUAAACAAUUCGGUAAGGGGACAUGUUGAGUGGAGUUUUAUAUGCUGUUCUGUAAGCCCAUAAAGAGUCAUGUAAGUGUAAAGACCAAUCCUUCCUUGUUGGGAUUACCACUUUUUCUAAGAUCUUUUUAAUUUCUCUGUUGGACACUUCAGCCUAACCAUUGGAUUGUGGGUGAUAUGUUGUAGUUAUCUUGUGUCUGACUCCAUAUUUUACCAUUGCUACAGCAAAGACUUUGUUGCAAAAAUGUGUACCCUCGUCACUAAUAAUUGCUCUAGGAGUGCCAAAUCUGGAAAAAAUAUUUUUCUGAAGAAAAGCCACCACUGUCUUAGCAUCAUUGGUAGGUAAUGCUACAGCUUCUACCCACUUGGAGACAUAAUCCACAGCAACAAGGAUAUAUAAGUUCCCAAAGGAUGGGGGAAAAGGUCCCAUGAAAUCUAUUCCUCAGACAUACAAUACUUCCACUUCCAGGAUGUUGGUCAAUGGCAUUUCAUGUCUUCCAAUUAUGUUCCUUGUCCUUUGACACCUGUCACAACAUUUAACAAAUUCAUAAGCAUCUCUGAAAAUAGUUGGCCAGAAAUAACCUGAUUGUAAUACUUUGGCAGCUGUUCUGUGACCACCAAAAUGUCCUCCAUAUGCUGCAGCAUGACAUGACUCCAGUAUGUGGGGGAUCUCUCCUUCUACAGCACAUCUUCGUAUUACUUGAUCUAGGCACAACUUAUAUAGAUGUGGGUCAUCCCAUUGGUAACUUCUAACAUCAUGAAGAAAUUUCUUUUUCUCUUGAAACUUCAACUCAGGUGGUAAUAACCCACUUACUAAAUAGUUAGCAAAGUCUGCAUACCAUGGAGAUUCUUGCUGCUGCAGCAUCUGUGCUUGUUGUACCACCAACAGCUGUUCAUCAGGAAAAGUUUCAAUGAUGUCUUUCCUUGUCAAUGUGCUUGUGUCUGCUUCCAGCCUUGACAGGUGGUCUGCUACUUGAUUCUCAGUCCCCUUUCUAUCUUUAAUUUUCAGAUCAAAUUCUUGUAGCAAUAAGAUCCAUCUGAUUAAUCUUGGCUUGGCAUCUUUCUUUGAAAUCAAGUAUUUGAUGGCUGCAUAGUCCGUAUAUACAGUCACUCUAGUACCCACCAAGUAGGCUUUGAAUUUGUCAAAAGUAAAUAAUACUACUAGAAAUUCUUUCUCUGUAGUGGUGUAAUUGAUUUAAGUUUGAGUAAGAGUUUUACUUGCAUAGUAUAUGGAGUGAAAAACUUUAUCCCUUUUUUGUCCUAGUACUGCUCCCACAGAAUGGUCACUGGCAUCACACAUCAAUUCAAAUGGUAAAGUCUAGUCUGGAGAUAUGAUGACUGGAGUAGUGAUCAGAGCUUUCUUUAAUUCUCCAAAUGCUUGAUGACACUCUUUGUCAAAGUGAAAGGGCUUAUCGUGUUCCAGCAAUGAGCACAAUGGUUUAGCCACCCUGGAAAAAUCCUUAAUGAAUCUUCUGUAAAAUCCAGCAUGUCCCAAAAAACUCCUGAUACCCUUUACUGAAGUUGGAGGUGGCAAUUUAUCUAUUACUUCUAUCUUGGUUUUGUCUACCUCAAUGCCAUUCUUGGAUAUCUUAUGACCCAACACUAUUCCUUCUUGCACCAUGAAAUUGUAUUUUUCCCAAUUGAGUACUAAGUUGAUCAUCUCACAUCUUUUAAGAACUUCUUCCAGGUUGUGUAAGCCAUCAUUGUAUGUUUUUCCAAAGACUGAGAAGUUAUCCAUGAAAACUUCUAAAGUCUGCUCUACCAUAUCAGAAAAUAUAGACAUCAUGCAUCUCUGAAAGGUUGCUGGAGCAUUACAUAACCCAAAGAGCAUUCUUCUGAAGGCAAAUGUUUCAUAGGGACAAGUAAAUAUAGUUUUCUCCUGAUCCUCAGGAGCUAUAGCAAUCUGGUUGUAGCCUGAAUACCCAUCUAAGAAACAAUAGUAUUGUUUUCCAGCAAGUCUGUCUAACAUCUGGUCUAUGAAUGUCAGUGGAAAAUGGUCUUUCCUUGUGGCUUUGUUUAGCUUCCUGUAAUCCAUACAUACUCUACAGCCAGUCACUGUCCUUGUAGGAAUAAGUUCAUUCUUCUCAUUAACUAUUACUGUUAUGCCUCCCUUCUUCGGAACACAUUGAACUAGGCUCACCCAUGAACUGUCUGAUAUUGGGUAUAUGAUUCCAGCAUCCAACCAUUUGAUGAUUUCCUUCUUCACCACUUUUUUCAUAAUAGGAUUCAACCUUCUCUGGUGCUCAACCGAAUUACUGGAGCAAUCUUCUAACAAGAUUUUAUGCAUGCAUAUUGAUGGGUUUAUCCCCUUUAUGUCAGCUAUAGUCCAUCCAAUUGCUUUUCUCUACUUUCUAAGUAAAUCUACUAGACUAUGUUCUUGACCUGCAUCCAAAGUAGAAGAGAUAAUUACAGGGAGUGUGUUAUUUUUACCAAGAUAAGCAUACUUCAAAUGUGAAGGUAACAGUUUUAAUUCAAGACUAUGAGGUGAUUCAAUAGAUGGUAAAGUUGUUUUUACUUCCCUUUCUGAAAGAUUCAGAUGUUCAAUAAACCUGUUGUGCCUAUCAUAUUGCUUUGCUUCCAUCCAAUUUGACUGAAUUGCUGCAACAUCUUCCUCUUCUACAUCAUCAAAGGUAGUGACUUUGUCAACUGAAUUACUGCAGCAUUUGUUCAUUCUGUCUGCUACAACAAAAUCCACUACACUCAGGAAAUUGCAGUCUUCUACUUCAUCAGGGUUUCUCAUAGCCUCUAGUACAUUAAAUGUAACUUGCUGAUCAUUUACUCUCAUGGUGAGCUCUCCUUUUUGCACAUCUAUCAGGGUCUUUCCAGUUGCUAGAAAAGGUCUUCCAAGUAUAAUGGGUACUUCUUUAUCAGCUUCAAAAUCCGGUGCAAUGAAAUCCACUAGAAAGAUGAAUUUGUCAACCUUCACCAGUACAUCUUCUAUUUUUCCUUCAGGGUAUGUGAUAACUCUAGAAAAUGAGAGUUAUUACAUCAAUUUUAGACUUGAAUCAAGAUCAUUUAGAGAACAAAUAAGGUGUUUUUAUUACAUUUUGAUUACAUUUUGCUUAAACAUUCAUUUUAGUUGAGUAUUAAUAAGUUUUGCUUGAAUCAUAGUAAUUUGUGCUAAAAACAUAUGCAUAAUUGUAGGUUCUUGGAAAGUCUUAAUUCAUGAGGGGAUGUUGAGACAUUAGAUGAGCAAGAGGAGGAAAGAAGACGGCCAUAAAAGAAGAAAAGCACAAUCGGGAGCAAUGCAGUGAUGUUACGGAUGUUAGAGCAACUCGUGCUGUAGCAAUCUGGAAGUAAAUGCGGGAGAAAACUUAGGUGCGGGUCAGCACAUGUUUCCUAAUUUAACGCAUGCACGCUCAUGGGCUUGUGUUUAAUCUAAUUUGCAAUAUAAAAGGGAGGCAAUACCACAAAAAAAGGUUGCAAGGGAAUUAUCAUUAGAAUAAUUACAAAGGAACGAAGAAGAAGAAUAUCAUAAUUUAAGAGUGUUGUUUCGGCAACAUUGGGGAAUCGUGCAGAAUUACUUGGCUUUGAUUUUCACUGUGUCCAACUUAUAUUUAUCUUCUUCCUUUAAUUGUUUUGAUGUAUUCCGAGAUCAAUAUAUUUAUGUUUAUUUUUCUCAUCCAGAUUAUGAACUAAAUUUACUUGUAGUUGAGUGGCAAAUAAUCCAAUAGGUUCUUGACUGUUCUUAUAUGUUGUUAUGGUAUUGCUGUAGCAUUUUACUCUAAUAGUUUUUAUGAAUAUAACUGUUAUUUCGGUUGACCACUCAUUUAAUAGUUUUAGUUAAGAUAGAGCAGCAAAAGGGCAUGUCUUAGUGAAUAUUAUUAGAGUAUUACUUGUUCUUAAGUCAAGUUUCCUGGAUUAGGUUAUCUUGAAUCCCAUAAAGGCAAUACUUGAAGUUAAGAUUUGUGACACUCUAGACAUAGGUGUUCACCUUGUAGAGUAGAGAGAUUAAAGGAUAUAAUGUCGUACCAUAAAUAUAUAAGCAACUGGUCAUUAUUAGUAGAUUUAAAGGUAUGAGACUUCCAACAUGCGAUAGCUGAGGAUGCAGAUUUAUUCUGCCCAAUGCUGCAGCACUUAUUGUAACAACUGGUGCUAAUUUGGUAAACAACAGUCACCCCAUUAGGAGAGUUUGAUCAUUCAACUACUAUAUUCUCAAUUGAAUCUUAGACAUAUUUAACUUAGUUUAUUUCAUUACAGUAUUGUUUUAUUUCCAUCUUUCGCAAUUAUUAAUUACGAUAGAAUUAUUUGACAAUUGUUUGUUUUGGUCUUUAGUUGAUUUGCACUAUUGUGAUUGUUUUAGCAUUUUGAGUAACAUCAAUCCCUGUGGAGACGAUUUUGAAUACUCAUCACUUUAUUACUUGUUGUGUAUACUUUUACAUUGGCAUUGAUAAUAAUUGAUUAUAAAAAUCAAUCAACAGUAUGCAUGAGAUCUGUCAGCUAAUUGCAGAGUGACUGUUGUUGGUCUGCAUUCCCCUACUCCCAACUGCUUAAAUACAAACAAUGGCAUCAGAUUAAUGCUAGCUCCCAAGUCACAAAGUGCUCUGCCAGCAUACCUAGUUCCUAUAGAGCAGGGUAUUGUAAAAUUCCCUGGAUCUUUCACUUUUGUUGGAAUUUUACUCUGGAGCAUAUGACUGCUCUCCUGUGUUAAAACAACAGUUUCAAACUUUCCCAGCCUUCUUUUCCUUACUAAGAUAUCUUUUAGAAACUUCACAUAAUUUGGCAUUUGCUCCAAAGCUUCCACAAAAGGUAUAUUUAUGUGCAAUUGCUUCAGCACUUCCAGAAACUUACUGAAAUGCUUGUCUUGUUUUUGCUUCUGGAACCUUUGUGGGAAAGGUGGUGGAUGUCUAAACUGCUGGGUGGCUUCAGAAGAUAUCACACUUUGUUUGUUUGGUUUGGUGCAGGUUGUGACUACUGGUGUUGCAACUUCUUUUUCAGCAUGUUCUGGUUGAAUUUCCUCUGCAGUUGCUGUAGCUUGGUCCAUGUAAUCAGUGCCUUGAUGGGGAGUUUGUUGUAGCAUGCUUCAAUUUUGGAGUGGUUUUUGUGCUGAAUUGCCUUCCAUUCCAUUUUUAGUCACAUCAACUGAGAUAUCAACAUUCUUUACAGAUCUCAAAUUAAUUACUUUACAGUGUUCUUUGCUCUCUCUCCUAGGGUCUUCUGUGUUGCUAGGUAAGCUUCCUUGAGUUCUGCUGCUCAUUGCUGUGGCUAGUUGUCCAAUUUGGUUUUCCAGGUUUCUCAAGGAUACAACUUGACUCUGCACAAUUGCUUCAUUCUUUGCAAUAUACUCCUUAAUCAGUGCUUCCAGUGAAGUGAUUGGAUCCUGACUGAUAUGCUUUUGCCCUUGACUCUGCUGAUGAAAACUAGGUGGUUGUGUGUUUCUAUUUUGUCCAUUUAAUGCUGGAGCAUUUCGAUUCUGACUGCUCCAUGAGAAAUUUGGGUGUUGUUUCCAGCCAGGGUUGUAAGUUUUCGAAUAUGGGUUGUUCUGAGGUUGUCGAUUGAAGUUACCCACAUAAUUUACUGAAGCUGGAUUUCCAGGACAAUUAUCAAAAUCAUGUUCUUCACCACAAUAUACACAACAAAGUUCAGUAACUUGCUUCACUGUUGCUGGUGCAUAUAUCAUGGCCUUUACCAUGUUAGUCAAUGAAGUUACUUGUGCUGAUAAGGCUGUAAUUGCAUCUAUAUUAUGUACCCCUACUGCUCCUCUUGCUGCUGGUUGCCUGGCUGAAGGCCACUGAUAAUUAUUAUUAGCAAUUCUUUCCAGAAUUUCAUAAGCUUCAGUGUAAGAUUUGGAUAACAGGGCUCCAUUUGCUGAAGCAUCCACCAUCAACAUUGUACUUGAAUUCAACCCAUUGUAGAAAGUUUCCAAUUGAAUGCAACAAGGAAUACCAUGAUGAGGACACCUUCUGAGCAAUUCCUUGAACUUUUCCCAAGCCUCGUACAAACUCUCAUAUUCAAGUUGAUGGAAUGAAGUAAUCUCAUUUCGCAAUUUUGCAUUCUUUAUCGGUGGGAAAUAUUUCAUUAGGAAUUUAUCAGCUAAUUCAUUUCAUGUAGUGAUGGAAUCAGAUGGUAAUAAAUUUAACCAUGCUCUUGCUCGAUCUCUUAAGGAAUAAGGAAAGAGCCUCAGCCUUAAGGCAUCUUGUGCUGCUCCAGCAAUCUUGAAAGCAUCGCUUACUUCCAAGAAUAAUUUAAGAGGGAGGUGAGGAUUGUUGAGUGUUAGAAAAUGUAUAUUUAUACGGUACGGUACUAUUCACGUGUAAGGUACUGUCUACGUUACUGUUCACGAUACUGUUCACGAUACUGUUCACAUAGACGGAUCGAUGAUGUGGCAUUGACCGAUGAUGUGGCAUUGACUAAUGAGGUGUCACGAUCCUGUUGGACUAAAAUUUUAUGUACUGUUGAUGGUGACGUGGCAACAUAUCAGUGGACCAAAAAUCUUGCGUACGGUACAUGCAUCACACAUGAUUAUUUUCAACCAAACCGCGUCACUGUUCAACCCGGGUCAAACUGUGUUACUGUUCAUCCGCGUGGUCAAACCGCGUACUGUUGACUGAUGACGUGGCGCAAUUCUGAGCAUCCAAACUGUUUUUAAUCCGAUGGCCACGAUUUACUUAAUGUAUCUAUAAAAAAGGGGCCUCCCCCCCUAAUUUGAUAGCUCUGAAUCCAUUUUUGGACUCCAUUUUCUGUAAUUCCUUCUCCAUCUUAUAUUUUCUAUGUAUUUUAAUAAAUUCCUAUUUUACCCAUAGUUCAAUUAUGAGUAGCUAAUUUUCUUUCAAGCUUGGGUUGAAGGUGAAGUCUCAACAUGUGUCAUGGGCUUUAUUUGGUAAAUUUAUUUUCUUUUCCCCUCUAAUUUUUGUGGAUGAUUUGACUUUUCGUCGACAAAUAAUAAUAAUCUUGUCUAGAUACCGCCCUGGUUACACCGGCUCCCUAGUACAAGGUUAUUAUUAUUUGGCACGAUAAGCCCUUAGCAUCAUAUUGAUUAGAGUGUGGUUCAUGAGGUGUGGAUUCCCCCCUCAUGAUUUAAUUGGUAUUCAUAAGGAAUAUUUAGCUCAUGAUGCAUGUUGAUACGGAUCCAGAUACCCAAGUACGUCAAUUUAAUAGAUUUUUACUUCAAUUUAUUCUUGCCAUUUCAAUUCCAAUUUUAGGAUAAUCCAAAUCACUUUCACCAAAAAUCCAACUACCCUCAUACAAAAUAAAUUCUACACGCAAUUAAAAUUCAACUCCUCGUGAGAUCGACACUCGUCACCAUUGAUCUAUACUACAAUAGAUUCGUGCACUUGCGAGUUCAAUAAAAUUUGCACAACAAGUUUUUGGCGCCGUUGCCGGGGAGGUAAGUUAUUUUAAUUUGUAAAAUUAAUUUUUGUCAAUAAUUUCUUUUAUUUGUUUUCUUGUAUUUUUUUUCUUAUUAAAAAAAAAGAAAAAAAAAAGUGAAUCUACAUUUAAAGGUUAGUAUUUCUUUUCUUUUUCUCUUCUUUAAAAUUCUGUAAUUUAAUUUUUAAUUUAUUUUUCUUUGUACAUUUUUUUUUGGUUUAUCUUAUUAAUAUUUUUUAGUUAAUUUAUUUCACGUAUUUUUUUAGUGUGUUUUUAUAGAAAGAUUGUAACAGCGUGAUAAGGUUAGUACCGUAAUUUCUCAUUUUUCUUUAUUUUUAUUCGUUUUGUUCCCAUUUAUUUUUUUGCUCUUUGCAUGUAUGGUCGUAGGUUAUUAUUUCCUAAUCUUGAGCCUAUAGACCUUGAACUAGAAAAAACACUUCGCACACACAAGUACGUUAAAAAUAAAUUUAGAAUGGAUUUACAAGCACUACAGGAGAGGCCAUUUAAGGACUACUUCAGUCCUUUAGCUAAUUUGAGCACAUCAUGCAUAAGAUACCCAAAUGUAGCUGCUAGGAGUUUUGAACUAAAACCUAGUGUACUAAAUUGUCUCCCAACAUUCUAUGGCCUAGAAAAUAAGGACCCAUAGAAUCAUUUGAAUGAUUUUCAUGCUAUUUGUCAAACAUUUAAAUAUGAAAAUUUUUCAGAUGAUGAUGUAAAACUUAGACUAUUCCCAUUUUCUUUAAAGGAUAGAGCUCGUUCAUGGCUUAAUACAUUGCCUGCCAAUAGCAUUUCAUCAUGGGAACAAAUGGUAACAAAAUUUUUGAAUAAAUAUUUUCCUGUGCAUAAAACCAAUGCUAUUCGCAGGGAAAUUUCAGAGUUUACCCAGAGAGAAGACGAGCAGUUUUCGAAACAUGAGAGCGAUUCAAUGGGCUACUCUUGAAGUGUCCACAUCAUGAAUAUGAGAAAUGGCAUCAAUGUCAAUACUUUUUUGAGGGAUUAUUGCCGAAUGUGCAAGAAUGACUAAUGGCAACAAGUGGAGGAGAGCUAAUGUCAAAAAGUGCAUCAGAGAUUUGGAAAUUCUUCCAGCGACAAGCGGAUAAUUCCCAACAGCGGAGUCGGUCACUCAGGAAUACUAAAAGAAUCAAAGGAGUGAACGAGGUUCACAUUGGCGAGUCAAGUUCAGAAAUUAAAGAAGUCAAAGCUAUAAUUGAAGGUCUCUCUCAACAAAUAGCAUCGUUAUCGACUGCUAAAUCAACAGAACCACAUGACCAUGACUCAUACUCAGAUCAAGCCAAUGCCAUAGGUGUAAUGAGAAAACCAUCUAAUUACAACCCAUACUCCAACACAUAUAACCCUGGAUGGAGAGACCACCCCAAUUUUCAUGGUCUCAAGGAUUCCAACAGAAUGGACCAGCAGCUCCAGCUCCACCAAUGCAACCAAUUCCUCAAAAUCCUCAAGCCUCACAGCCCCCAUUUAGACCAUUCAAUCAGAACCAGAACUACUCUCAACUCAGACCAUGGGAGGAUUCAUUCCAGAAUCUCAAGAAUGUUACUCACUCUAUGAUUGAGCAACUAAAUCGCACCAUUGAUGGACUACGAAAUGAGUUGAGAGCAAGCUUCAACUCACAAUCCCAAUCAGUUUCAAGCCUCGAGAAGAUGAUGGGACAGCUUGCUUCUUCAGUUCAGACCUUGACAAUGACUGUUGAGAAAGGCAAGUUUCCAAGUCAAGCAGUGUCUAACCCUAAAGGCGUGCAUGAAGUAAGUACCAGUUCACCACAGCAGCAUAGAGAGGUCAAAGCUGUCAUGACCUUGCAAAAAGGAAAAGAAAUCGACAACAAAGUGGAGAUGCCGGUAACAAAAGAAAAUCAAAUUGUACCUGUGAAUGCUGAGGACUCACCACCGGAAGAGAAAGAAGAAACCAACCCACAAGAAUAUGUUCCCAAAGCUCCAUUUCCUCAAAGGUUAGCUAAAGGAAAGAAGAGAAAAUCCACAGGUGAGAUUCUUGAAAUCUUUAAACAGGUAAGUGUUAACAUCCCUUUGCUUGACGUUAUUAAACAAGUUUCAUCUUAUGCCAAGUUUUUUAAAGACCUUUGUACUAAAAAGAGAAACAUUCAUGUUCAAAAAAAGGCAUUUUUAACAGAAAACGUUAGUUCUAUCCUUCAACACAAGAUUCCGCUAAAAUGCAAAGACCCAAGCUCCCCCACUAUCUCAUGUAGCAUAGGGAACCACACAAUUGAGAAUGCUUUAUUGGAUUUAGGAGCUAGUGUAAAUCUGUUGCCUUACUCAGUAUUUUUGAAACUUGGACUUGGAGAAUUACACCCAACUCCAGUGGUGUUACAGCUUGCAGAUCGGUCCACAAAAAUACCUCGUGGUAUUGUGGAGGACGUGCUUAUCCAGGUAGACAAGUUUUAUUUUCCUGCUGAUUUCAUUGUAAUUGACACUCAACCAAUCCAGGAUUCAAGGAAGCACAUCCCCAUUAUUCUAGGCCGACCUUUUUUGGCAACUGCGGAUGCUCACAUUCAAUGCAGGACUAGAAAUAUGCAGUUGUCCUUCGGCAACAUGACUAUGGAGCUGAACAUCUUCAACAUUGCCAAACAACCUCACAAUGCAGAUGAUGGAAUUGUUGAUGUGGAUUUAAUAGAAACAAUAGUUGAUAAUACUUUUCUUUUAAACCUUAGUGAUGAUCCUUUACAAACAUGUUUAACUCACUUUGGUUUGGAUUUUGAUAUUGACAGAUCGGUCGAUGAGGUCAAUGCCCUACUUGACUCAGCACCAUCCAUGGACACUAAUAAAUGGAAGUCAAGAGUUGAACAACUAGCACCAUCAGAAAAGAAACUCAUCCCAUCAUCAGAAUCACCACCGAAACUCGAGCUCAAACCAUUACCCAACACUUUUGAAUAUGCAUUUUUGGGAGAAGAAAGUACUCUACCGGUAAUCAUCUCAUCAUCCCUAAAUGACGAACAAAAAGGUAAGUUGUUGGAUGUUUUAAAAGAGCACAAAGGAGCAUUAGGAUGGACCAUAGCAGACAUUAAAGGUAUAAACCCAGUAGACUGCAUGCAUUACAUUCAUCUUGAUGAAAAUGCUAAACCUACUAGGGAAAUGCAACGUCGGUUAAAUCCUAACAUGAAAGAAGUUAUUAGAACUGAAGUCCUUAAACUAUUAGACGCAGGUAUCAUUUACCCAAUUUCUGAUAGUUCAUGGGUCAGUCAUGUACAAGUUGUCCCUAAAAAGUCAAGAGUCACAGUAGUUACCAAUGCUGAUAAUGAAUUGAUACCAACUAGAGUAACUACAGGAUGGCGUGUAUGCAUUGAUUAUAGAAAAUUGAAUUCUGUCACACGUAAAGACCAUUUUCCUUUACCAUUUAUUGAUCAAAUGCUUGAUAGAUUAGCAGGCCAUGAAUUUUAUUGCUUUCUAGAUGGUUACUCAGGAUAUAAUCAGAUUCCCAUAGCACCAAAAGAUCAAGAGAAGACCACUUUCACUUGCCCUUUUGGCACUUUUGCAUAUAGGAGGAUACCAUUUGGAUUAUGUAAUGCACCUGCUACAUUUCAACGAUGCAUGUUAAGCAUUUUUUCUGAUAUGGUUGAACGAUUCCUUGAAGUCUUUAUGGAUGAUUUUUCUAUCUUUGGUGACUCGUUUGAUCAAUGUUUACAUCAUCUAACACUAGUUCUGCAGAGAUGUAUCGAGAAAAACUUGGUUUUAAAUUGGGAGAAGUGCCAUUUUAUGGUAAAACAAGGUAUUGUUCUCGGUCACAUCAUUUCAAGCAAAGGUAUUGAGGUUGACAAAGCUAAGGUGGAUCUCAUUUCUAAACUUCCUCCACCCAAAACAGUCAGAGAAGUAAGAUCUUUCCUUGGGCAUGCUGGUUUCUAUAGACGUUUCAUUAAAGAUUUUAGCAAAGUUUCUAGACCCUUAUGCAAUCUACUUGCUAAGGAUGCACCUUUUAUCUUUAAUGAUUCAUAUCUUGUGGCGUUUGAAAAAUUACAACAGUUGUUGACAUCAUCACCCAUCAUUCAAGCCCCAAACUGGAGCUUACCAUUUGAACUCAUGUGUGAUGCAUCUGAUUAUGCAGUAGGAGCAGUAUUAGGACAAAGAGUUGAUCGAAUUCCCCAUGUUAUUUACUAUGCUAGUAUGACAUUGAAUGAUGCACAGUUGAACUAUUCAACUACUGAAAAAGAAAUGCUAGCAGUAGUGUUUGCAUUGGAAAAAUUUCGAUCUUAUUUCAUUGGUUGUAAAAUAAUUGUGUUCACAGAUCAUGCUGCUCUUAAAUAUCUUCUCACAAAGAAAGAUGCAAAAGCUAGACUAAUUCGUUGAGUGUUACUGUUGCAGGAGUUCGACUUGGAAUUUAAAGAUAAGAAAUGCACAGAGAAUGUUGUGGCGGACCAUCUCUCUCGCCUCCAUUUUGAUACAAUUAUGGAACCAUUACCAUUGAAUGAGUCAUUUCCAGAUGAACAAUUAAUGAAUGUGGAAGUAUUACCAUGGUAUGCUGAUAUAGUUAAUUAUCUUGUUACAGGUAAACUUCCAUAGCAUUGGACUAAGCAAGACAAGGCUAAAUUCUUUGCAGAAAUAAAGAAUUUCUUUUAGGAUGACCCGUACUUGUUCAAGUAUUGUGCAGAUCAAAUUGUUAGACGAUGUGUCCCAGAAAGUGAAAUUCAAAAUAUCCUUUCAUUCUGCCAUGAACAAGCUUGUGGAGGUCAUUUCAGCGCUAAGAAAACAGCAACUAAAGUUUUACAAUGUGGUUUCUAUUGGCCAACUAUAUUUCGAGAUGCUUACGCUUUCUAUUCUUCAUGUGAUAGGUGUCAACGAAUGGAGAGCAUUACACGAAGGAACAUGAUGCCAUUAAAUCCAAUUUUAGUGGUUGAAAUUUUUUACGUAUGGGUAUCGACUUCAUGGGACCAUUUCCCCCAUCUUUUGGCCAUCAAUACAUAUUGGUUGCUAUUAACUACGUAUCAAAAUGGGUAGAAGCAAUUCCAUGCAGAACCAAUGAUCACAAGGUGGUAAUAGGAUUUUUGAAAAGCAACAUUGUUUCACGCUUUGGAUUCGCUCGAGCUAUAAUCAGUGAUGGUGGUGCCCACUUUUGUAAUAAAGCAUUCAAGGCUCUUUUGACAAAGUAUUCAAUCACUCACAAAGUGGCGACCCCAUAUCAUCCGUAAACCAGUGGCCAAGUUGAGAUCUCCAAUCGAGAAAUAAAGCACAUAUUAGAAAAGACGGUGAGGCCGGACAGAAAAGAUUGGUCAUUAAGACUUGAUGAUGCAUUAUGGGCAUAUAGAACGUCUUUCAAGACCCCGAUUGGGAUGUCACCCUAUAGGCUAGUGUAUAGAAAAGCUUGCCACCUACCUGUGGAACUCAAGUAUCGUGCAUAUUGGGCCAUCAAGAAAUUCAAUUUUGACAUGCAGCAAGCCAGCUCAGAAAGAAGAUUACAGCUGGCAAAACUUGAAGAAAUUCGCAAUGAUGCAUACGAAAAUGCCAAGAUUUACAAGCAACGAAUGAAAGUCUUCCAUGACAAGCAAAUUAUGAGAAAAUCUUUCACUCCAGGUCAGAAAGUGCUUUUGUUUAAUUCUCGCUUGCACCUAUUCCCAGGUAAGUUACGCUCUCGAUGGUCUGGUCCCUUUAUUGUUCAUAUUGUUUUUCCACAUGGGGAAUUGAAAUUAAGGACCCAAAGAACGGUGUCACAUUUAAAGUUAAUGGUCAAAAUUAAACCAUAUCUAGAGUACCAACCACAUGGAGAAGACACCAAAAUAAAUUUGAGUGACCCACCAGAUUUGAAUUAGAUUUUUUUUCUUUUCGGUGGUUUGAUUUUUCUUUCUUUCUUUUUAUUAUUCUUUUGCUAAUUGAAAUUAUUUUUGCAUAAGUGUGUUUGUUUUACCAUUAAGUUUUCUCUUAUCAUUGUUAAUCAAGAGUACCUUACUUAGACCGUUCCUCCUGAACAUUCUUAAACCACUUCAACGUGUUAAAACUCAUCUCAAAAGGCAGAUUCAAUUUUGUAAAACACAUCGUAUUUAGGCUCUGCAACCACCAGAGUUAGUAUCCUAUGUAGAGGGUUUAGAAAGCCAACUCAGAGACAUUGAGAGAAGUGUUUACGACAUCCAAUUGGAGCUUGAGGUAAAUUCAAUAAGAGGACGAUUUUAAUUUUCUUUGUGUGUUUUAAUUUAUUUUUCUGUUUGUGUGCUUUAGUUUGUUACCUCGGUGAAGUGGCAGAUAACGGUACUCCAUGACAAUCAAGUCGGUUACUUCAAUUUUCCCAUAAUAACUGAUAUUCUGAGGUGAAGGUAUAGACAGAAAUGAGAUUCUAGCGAAGCUUCACAAGUGAUUCCCUUCACUUCCUCAGAAUGCCCUCCUUAAUCUAUAAAGCCCGAUCCGAACGCAUGCGAUUGCUCAUGAGGAAUAACAUACCUGUGGACAUCCGUUGGUUAAUCGAGGCUAAAGUACGAUUGGCAGGUGAGUUACCUCCAAAAUUUAUUGCAUACAUGCCUGGUUGUGGUAAAGGAAAUUAUGCAAGAAAACGACGAGCUCGAAGAAUUUCUGUUGCUUGUCAUAAGUGUGCCAGAAUGAGUUGCGAUAAAAACCCAUGUUCUUUAGGAAUGGUGUCUGAUAAUAGGGAAGAUAAGAUUCAAUUCAUUAGGGAUGGCUUGAAUAAGGAGUCAUUGGAUGAUAUUUUUUUGUCUCUUGAAACGCAUCCCAGUGGAUAUGUGCAAGGAGCGAUUCUCCAAUUAUGGCCAUACACGAUAUAGUCUCGGGAAUCUGGCUGUAAACGACCCUGUUUGUCAGUUUAUAAAAAAACUGGAUGGGAAGCCCAUCCUCGACCCAUAGAGGGCGUUCAAGCCGUUUCUGGACGUAAAACCAGAGGAAGAUGUGAGCCACAGUCGCAACUACCUGUAAAUAUCUUUUUACUUCACUGUUAUUUUCUUUCACUGUUGUUUUAUCUUUUCCAUUAUUGUCUUUAAUAAUUUUAUCAUUGUUUCUUUUUCUUUUUACUGUUUCCUUUUUGACUCGCGAGCCAUGUGCUUUACGUGUUAUUUAACACUGACAUGCCACCUCAUACACAGUUGUGACCCACUGUCACCAAGAUUCUUAAAUAUGACUUUUUGUUAAGCACUCACAAAUUGUUUUUGAGAAAUAUUCCAAUGGCAGCUACUCCCAAUAGACAAUUCAAGAACGUUUGUGUGCUUUCUAGAUUUACCUAUGGCAAACAUAAAGAGUUCGUUGAUGCAGCCAUAGAUCUUGGUCGAAGCAUAGCAGAGAGAAAAUUACACUUGGUGUAUGGAGGAGGUAACCGAGGGUUAUCAAAAUUGGUCUCAGAAGCUGCUUUUGUCAGAGGAAGCCAAGUGUUAGGCAUCAUCCCAAGAGCUCUAAAACCUUUAGGCAGUUUGUCUGACUCAUCGACUGGAGAAGAGUUAGUCGUCUCAGGUAUGCAAAAAAGAAUAACUGAAAUGCUUAAUCAUGCUGAUGCUUUUGUUUUCCUUCCAGGAGAUCUUACAACAUUAGAGGCACUUAUCACACUAGCAUCUUGGGCCCAUCUGCACAUUCACCAGAAACCCAUCGGUUUGUUAAAUGUCAAUAACUUUUAUGAUGGCUUCAUCGCAUUUCUUAACCAUGCAAUAAAAAACUAUUUCGUUCCUUCCAAUGCGAAAAAGCUUUUUAUUUGUGCUCACACUGCUAAUGAGCUACUUGAUAUGUUACAAGCUUAUAGACCGGAGCCAGACCCUUGGACCUUUGUGUUGGAGCGUCCAAAUAAUGAUGGUAACAGUAGCCGCAGUAAGAAGUACAAAUUAGAUUUAACUCUCCGCCUGUAAAUAUUUUCUUCUGUGUUACACCACUCAGGUGAUGUCUUCUAAACUCUACUUCUUUCCUUUAAACAUUGAGGACAAUGUUUCGUUCUAGUUGGGGGGAGGGAAUAGUCGACAAUUGUGGAAUUUUGGUUAAGUUUUUACUAAUUUUUUGUUGUAGAAACUAACUAUUGCUAACUUUUUGUGUUGAAGAUGGCUGAAUAUGGAGUGUAGUGACUCUAGAAACGCAUCUUCAUCGUUUGAAAAAAAAAUUCAAAAAAAAUUUCAGACAUUUUCUGUUACUUUAUUAAGUUUUGAUGUUCAUUUUUCUUCUUCCUUUUAAUUUCUCCUUUAUAAAUAUACAUUUUCAAAUAUUUGAGUCGAAGAUGGCUGAAUAUGGAGUGUAGUGCCUCUAGAAACGCAUCUUCUUAGUUAAAAAUAAAAAAAAAAUUUUUAUCAUUUUAAGUGUAACUUUUCUAAUUAAUUUUUCUGCAUCAUUUUCACAUUUCUGCAUGCAUAUUUUCCUUUCAUGUUUAGAAUAGGUUGGGGGGUAGAAUGUUGUUUAAAAAAAAAAUUAGUGAUUUGUUUUAACAUUGGAUGACAUGAUUAAUUUCAAGUUUUAGUAUUUGUAUUAUCUUUGGUCUUAAGUGAUGUUACGCUAUGUUUGCUACUUUACAUGUUGAUGUCGGAGACAAAUAUGAGUUGCUUGAAGGAAUGAACAUGUCAUAAAAUGAGAGUUACAAUUGGGAGCAAUGCAGUACAUCUUCUAUUUUUCCUUCAGGGUAUGUGAUAACUCUAAAAAAUGAGAGUUAUUAUAUCAAUUUUAGACUUGAAUCAAGAUCAUUUAGAGAACAAAUAAGGUGUUUUUAUUACAUUUUGAUUACAUUUUGCUUAAACAUUCAUUUUAGUUGAGUAUUAAUAAGUUUUGCUUGAAUCAUAGUAAUUUGUGCUAAAAACAUAUGCAUAAUUGUAGGUUCUUGGAAAGUCUUAAUUCAUGAGGGAAUGUUGAGAUAUUAGAUGAGCAAGAGGAGGAAAGAAGACGGCCAUAAAAGAAGAAAAGCACAAUCGGGAGCAAUGCAGUGUUGUUGCGGAUGUUAGAGCAACUCGUGCUGUAGCAAUCUGGAAGUAAAUGCGGGAGAAAACUUAGGUGCGGGUCAGCACAUGUUUCCUAAUUUAACGCGUGCACGCUCAUGGGCUUGUGUUUAACCUAAUUUGCAAUAUAAAAGGGAGGCAAUACCACAAAAAAAGGCUGCAAGGGAAUUAUCAUUAGAAUAAUUACAAAGGAACGAAGAAGAAGAAGAUCAGAAUUUAAGAGUGUUGUUUCGGCAACAUUGGGGAAUCGUGCAGAAUUACUUGGCUUUGAUUUUCACCGUGUCCAACUUAUAUUUAUCUUCUUCCUUUAAUUGUUUUGAUGUAUUCCGAGAUCAAUAUAUUUAUGUUUAUUUUUCUCAUCCAGAUUAUGAACUAAAUUUACUUGUAGUUGAGUGACAAAUAAUCCAAUGGGUUCUUGACUGUUCUUAUAUGUUGUUAUGGUAUUGUUGUAGCAUUUUACUCUAAUAGUUUUUAUUAAUAUAACUGUUAUUUCGGUUGACCACCCAUUUAAUAGUUUUAGUUAAGAUAGAGCAGCAAAAGGGCAUGUCUUAGCGAACAUUAUUAGAGUAUUACUUGUUCUUAAGUCAAGUUUCCUGGAUUAGGUUAUCUUGAAUCCCAUAAGGGCAAUACUUGAAGUUAAGAUUUGUGACACUCUAGACAUAGGUGUUCACCUUGUAGGGUAGAGAGAUUAAAGGAUAUAAUGUCGUACCAUAAAUAUAUAAGCAACUGGUCAUUAUUAGUAGAUUUAAAGGUAUGAGACUUCCAACAUGCGAUAGCUGAGGAUGCAGACUUAUUCUGCCCAAUGCUGCAGCACUUAUUGUAACAACUGGUGCUAAUUUGGUAAACAACAGUCACCCCAUUAGGAGAGUUUGAUCAUUCAACUACUAUAUUCUCAAUUGAAUCUUAGACAUAUUUAACUUAGUUUAUUUCAUUACAGUAUUGUUUUAUUUCCAUCUUUCGCAAUUAUUAAUUAUGAUAGAAUUAUUUGACAAUUGUUUGUUUUGGUCUUUAGUUGAUUUGCACUAUUGUGAUUGUUUUAGCAUUUUGAGUAACAUCAAUCCCUGUGGAGACGAUCUUGAAUACUCAUCACUUUAUUACUUGUUGUGUAUACUUGCACAUUGGCAUUGAUAAUAAUUGAUUACAAAAAUCAAUCAACAGUAUGCAUGAGAUCUGUCAGCUAAUUGCAGAGUGACUGUUGUUGGUCUGCAUUCCCCUACUCCCAACUGCUUAAAUACAAACAAUGGCAUCAGAUUAAUGCUAGCUCCCAAGUCACAAAGUGCUCUGCCAGCAUACCUAGUUCCUAUAGAGCAGGGUAUUGUAAAAUUCCCUGGAUCUUUCACUUUUGUUGGAAUUUUACUCUGGAGCAUAUGACUGCUCUCCUGUGUUAAAACAACAGUUUCAAACUCUCCCAGCCUUCUUUUCCUUACUAAGAUAUCUUUUAGAAACUUCACAUAAUUUGGCAUUUGCUCCAAAGCUUCCACAAAAGGUAUAUUUAUGUGCAAUUGCUUCAGCACUUCCAGAAAUUUACUGAAAUGCUUGUCUUGUUUUUGCUUCUGGAAACUUUGUGGGAAAGGUGGUGGAUGUCUAAACUGCUGGGUGGCUUCAGGAGAUGUCACACUUUGUUUGUUUGGUUUGGUGCAGGUUGUGACUACUGGUGUUGCAACUUCUUUUUCAGCAUGUUCUGGUUGAAUUUCCUUUGCAGUUGCUGUAGCUUGGUCCAUGUAAUCAGUGCCUUGAUGGGGAGUUUGUUGUAGCAUGCUUCAAUUUUGGAGUGGUUUUUGUGCUGAAUUGCCUUCCAUUCCAUUUUUGGUCACAUCAACUGAGAUAUCAACAUUCUUUCCAGAUCUCAAAUUAAUUACUUUACAGUGUUCUUUGCUCUCUCUCCUAGGGUCUUCUGUGUUGCUAGGUAAGCUUCCUUGAGUUCUGCUGCUCAUUGCUGUGGCUAGUUGUCCAAUUUGGUUUUCCAGGUUUCUCAAGGAUACAGCUUGACUCUGCACAAUUGCUUCAUUCUUUGCAAUAUACUUCUUAAUCAGUGCUUCCAGUGAAGUGAUUGGAUCCUGACUGAUAUGUUUUUGCCCUUGACUCUGCUGAUGAAAACUAGGUGGUUGUGUGUUUUUAUUUUGUCCAUUUAAUGCUGGAGCAUUUCGAUUCUGACUGCUCCAUGAGAAAUUUGGGUGUUGUUUCCAGCCAGGGUUGUAAGUUUUCGAAUAUGGGUUGUUCUGAGGUUGUCGAUUGAAGUUACCCACAUAAUUUACUGAAGCUGGAUUUCCAGGACAAUUAUCAAAAUCAUGUUCUUCACCACAGUAUACAUAAGAAAGUUCAGUAACUUGCUUCACUGUUGCUGGAGCAUAUGUCAUGGCCUUUACCAUGUUAGUCAAUGAAGUUCCUUGUGAUGAUAAGGCUGUAAUUGCAUCUAUGUUAUGUACCCCUACUGCUCCUCUUGCUGCUGGUUCCUGGCUGAAGGCCAAUGAUAAUUAUUAUUAGCAAUUCUUUCCAGAAUUUCAUAAGCUUCAGUGUAAGAUUUGGAUAACAGGGCUCCAUUUGCUGAAGCAUCCACCAUCAACCUUGUACUCGAAUUUAACCCAUUGUAGAAAGUUUCCAAUUAAAUGCAACAAGGAAUACCAUGAUGAUGACACCUUCCGAGCAAUUCCUUGAACUUUUCCCAAGCCUCGUACAAACUCUCAUAUUCAAGUUGAUGGAAUGAAGUAAUCUCAAUUCGAAAUUUUGCAUUCUUUAUCGGUGGGAAAUAUUUCAUUAAGAAUUUAUCAGCUAAUUCAUUCCAUGUAGUGAUGGAAUCAGAUGGUAAUGAAUUUAACCAUGCUCUUGCUCGAUCUCUUAAGGAAUAAGGAAAGAGCCUCAGCCUUAAGGCAUCUUGUGCUGCUCCAGCAAUCUUGAAAGCAUCGCUUACUUCCAAGAAUAAUUUAAGAGGGAGGUGAGGAUUGUUGAGUGUUAGAAAAUGUAUAUUUAUAAAGGAGAAAAACGUCAUUUUACACUUCAAAUUUUACUAACACCCUUACUUUUAUGUAUUUAACCUUCUUUUGAUUUAAUUCCGUGUGUUUUAUUUUAAUUAAGUAUUUUAUGUAUUUUAGGGGCAUCAUAGUCAUUUCACAAUAAACGAGAGAUCAGACGGAAAAACGGACAUCACUUUUGAACUCAAGACGGUCAAAAACCUUAGGAGGAGCAUAAAAUGAAAAAUGGCACUGUUCACAUAUACGGUACUAUUUACAUGUACGGUAUUGUCUACGUUACUGUUCACGAUACUGUUCACAUAGACGGAUCGAUGAUGUGGCAUUGACAUAUGAUGUGGCAUUGACUGAUGAGGUGUCACGAUCCUAUUGGACUAAAAUUUUAUGUAUUGUUGAUGGUGACGUGGCAACAUAUCAGUGGACCAAAAAUCUCGCUUACGGUACAUGCAUCACAUAGGAUUAUUUUCAACAAAACUGCGUCACUGUUCAACCCGGGUCAAACCGUGUUACUGUUCAUCCGCGUGGUCAAACCGCGUACUGUUGACUGAUGACGUGGCGCAAUCCUGAGCGUCCAAACUGUUUUUAAUCCGAUGGCCACAAUUUACUCAAUGUAUCUAUAAAAAAAGGGACUUCCCCCCCCCCUAAUUUGAUAGCUCUGAAUCCAUUUUUGGACUCCAUUUUCUGUAAUUCCUUCUCCAUCUUGUAUUUUCUAUGUAUUUUAAUAAAUUCUCAUUUUGCCCAUAGUUCAAUUAUGAGUAGCUAAUUUUCUUUCAAGCUUGGGUUGAAGGUGAAGUCUCAACAUGUGUCAUGGGCUUUAUUUGGUAAAUUUAUUUUCUUUUCCCCUUUAGUUUUUGUGGAUGAUUUGACUUUUCGUCGACAAAUAAUAAUAAUCUUGUCUAGAUACCGCCCUGGUUACACCGGCUCCCUAGUACAAGGUUAUUAUUAUUUAGCACGAUAAGCCCUUAGCACCGUAUUGAUUAGAGUGUUGUUCUUGAGGUGUGGAUUCCCCCCUCAUGAUUUAAUUGGUAUUAAUAAGGAAUAUUUAGCCCAUGAUGCAUGUUGAUACGAAUCCAGAUACUCAAGUACGUCAAUUUAAUAGAUUUUCACUUCAAUUUAUUCUUGCCAUUUCAAUUCCAAUUUUAGGAUAAUCCAAAUCACUUUCACCAAAAAUCCAACUACCCUCAUACAAAAUUAAUUCUACACACAAUUAAAAUUCACCUCCUCGUGGGAUCGACACUCGUCACCAUUGAUCUAUACUACAAUAGAUUCGUGCACUUGCGAGUUCAAUAAAAUUUGCACAACAAGGAUCCUCAUUUGGUAAUCCAUUGAAUUGACCAACUGUUUGCAACAUUUGAAACAUCACUAGCUUCAACUCAAAAUUUGCAGCUUCUACUUCAGGUCUGAUGAUGCCAGGGUGUACAACUUGAGGAGUUAACACAGCAUAAUCUCUUAUAGCUCUGUCUCUGUCAUCAGCCAUGUAAAUAAUAUUGUUGCCUGGUUGUCUCCCGUUAGCAUGUUCAUUCUGCUCUUCUUGAAUAUUGACUGGUUGUACGGGCCCGUGAGGAUUCAAAUUUCCUGCAUCCUGCAAAUUAUUCAUGCUUGAAGCAAUUUCUGAAUUCCUUUGUUCUCUUCGCAAUCUCCUAACAGUCCUUUCAAUUUCAGGAUCGAAUUGGAAUACCACAGAUCUGUCUUUGCGCAUGCUUGUACCAAUCUGCCAAUAAAUAGAAUGAAUCAAAUUAAAUUUGGCGCUAUCAAGAUUUACUUCACACUUUAAAAAUAAACAAUCAAUCCCCGGCAACUGCGCCAAAAACUUGUUGGUUAAUUUUAUAAGCAAUUAAUAUCAAUGCCAAUGUGCAAGUAUACACAACAAGUAAUAAAUUUAUUAGUAUUCAAGAUCGUCUCCACAGGGAUUAAUGUUACUCAAAAUGCUAAAGCAAUCACAAUAGUGCAACUCAAUUUAAAAUCGAAAUAAACAAUUAACAAGCAAAGUCUAUCGUAAUCAAUUAUUGAAACAAGAAUUAAAUAAAACAAUACCGUAAUGAGAUAACUAGGUUAAGUGUGUCCAAGAUUCUAUUGAAAUUAUGGUAGUUGAAUUAUCAAACUCUCCUUAUGGGAUGACUGUUGUUUAUCAAGUUAGCAUCAGUUGUUAUAACAAGUGCUGCAGCACUGGGCAGAAUAAAUCUGCAUCCUCAGCUAUCGAUGUUGGACGUCUCAUACUUUUAAAUCUAUUAACAAUGACCAGUUGCUAAUAUAUCUAUGAUACGGCAUUAUAACCUUUAAUCUCUCCACCCUACAAGGUGAACACCUAUGUCUAGUGUGUCACAAAUCUUAACUUCAAGUAUUGCCCUUAUGGGAUUUAAGAUAACUUAAUCUAGGAAACUUGACUUAAGAUCAAGUAAUACUCUAAUAAUAUCCGCUAAGACAUGCCCUUUUGCUGCUCUAUCUUAACUGAAACUAUUAUAUGGGUGGUCAACCGAAAUAACAGUUAUAUUUAUAAAAACUACUAGAGUAUAAUGCUACAGCAAUGCCAUAACAACAUAUAAGAACAGUCAAGAACCCAUUGGAUUGUUUGUCACUCAACUACAAGUAAAUUUAGUUCAUAAUCUAAUUGAGAAAAGUAAACAUAAAUAUAUUGACCCCGGAAUACAUCCAAACAACUAAAGGAAGAAGAGAAAUAUAAGUUGAGCACGAUGAAAGACAAAUAAUUCUGCACGGUUCUUUAAUGUUGUCGAACAACACUCCUCAAUCUUGAUCUGCUUCUUCUUGCCUUUAUAAUUGUUUUUUAUGAUAAUUUCUUGCUGCCUUUUUUAUGUGAUGCACGCCUUCUUUUAUAUUGCAAAUUAGGGUAAAAACCAAAGCCCAUGAGCGUACAUGCGUUUUAAAUUAGGAAACAUGCAGAUCGCGAUUUUAUGGCUGACCCGCGCUUUAAGCUUUCUCCCGUAUUACUCCCAGAUUGCUGCAGCACUGGUUGCACUAACAUCCGCAACAGCACUGCAUUAUUCCCGAUUAUUCUUUUCUUUUUUUGUAGCCAUCUUCUUUCAUCCUCUUGCUCAUCUAAUGUCUCAGUAUCCCCUCAUGAAUUUAAAACCUACAAUUAUGCACCUGUUUUUAGCACAAAUUACUCUGAUUUAAACAAAACUUAUUAAGACCUAACUAAAAUGAAUGAUUAUGCAAAAGGUAACCAAAAUGUAAUAAAAACACCUUAUUUGCUCUCUAAAUGAUCUUGAUUCAAGUCUAGAAUUGAUGUAAUAAUUCUCAUUUCCUAGAGUUAUAUCAGAUAUAUACAUAAAAUAGCAUAUCAUCACUAAAAACAAAAAUAAAAUAAAAUAAAAUAAACUACGUGAUUAAAAAAAUUCAUUCUUAUUUUUAUGCAUUAAAAAUCCAAUAUAUUAUUUUCUACAGGAACAAUAUAUCGUUUCUUGACAGGCUUGCAACAUUCAAGAGUAUUAUGAUUUGCUUUCGUCGAUGCACAACGUAAGCAAACAAACAAGCGCUUCAUUGUAUCCUUGAGGUGUAUUUGCUUAACCCAUGUGCAUCACUUAAUUGGUGGGGCCAAAUAACAUCUUAAGGAAAGCGACAUUUGUAAUGUGUCUUAAAGUACACGUUAUUUUCUGUAAUUUACCUAUUAUUAUUAUUUUUAUUAUUUUCUUCCUACAUACAGAGUUGUAAACACAUUACUUUACACAACAAAGUUUUCACCAUUAUUGUUGUAUUUCUCUACAUUUUUCAUUCCCCACAAAUACAUACCACCAACAAUCUUAAGACAUUAUUUCUACAACAGUGGCACAAAGUUUCACACAUAACUUUAUUCGUUGGCAGAAAAAGUUGCAUUUCUUGUUGGCAAGCCUCAAUGUGGUCUAUGUUCUCACAACACCAAAGCCCCAAGGACGUGAGGAUGAGACAUUACCAAAAACCAGAGUGUGGCAGAAGUGGGAGCAAGAUGACUACAUGUGCAAGGGACACAUUUGCAAUGCAUGCCAUGUCUGAUACUUUGUUUGAUCAAUACCAUAACAAAUCCACAACAAAAGAAAUAUGGAACUCAUUAGAAGCUAAGUACAUGAUGGAAAAUGCCACAAGUAAGAAAUUCUUGGCUUCUAAAUUUUUUAAUUAUAAAAUGGUCGAUAAUAGACUUGUGGUUGAACAAUAUAAUGAGAUUUUGCAUAUUUUUAAUCAAUUCAACCAACACAACAUGAAAAUGGAUGAGUCUAUUAUUGUCUCUUCAAUUAUUGAUAAAUUUCCUCCCUCUUAGAAAGACUAUAAGAAAAGUCUUAAACACAUCAAAAAGGAAAUUAGUCUGGAAGGCUUAGGCCAAAGUCUUCGCAUUGAAGAGAAACUCAAGCUUAAUAGUCUUGAGGACUAGGCUGCUAUGUCCUUUAAAAUUAAUGUUGUAGAGGAAAGGAAGGAGUAUAAGCAUUUUAAUCACCUUAAGAAUAACCAAAAGAGAAAGUUUGAUUCCAAAGAGAAUAAAGUAAUAAGAAGAAAAAGAAGGGUACAUGCCACCACUGCAGAAAACCUGGCCACUUCAAAAGAGAUUGUCGACUUCUGAAGAAGCAAAAAGAAGUUUCGAACACAAAUUUUGUGGCCAUGAUAUCUAAGAUUAAUGUUCUUAAAUAUGAUAAUGCAUGGUAGAUAGAUUCUGGUGCAACCAAGCAUGUAUGCAAAGAUCAUAGCCUUUUCAAAUCCUAUAAAGCAAUGGAUGAUAGAAGUGUUCUUUACAUGGGAAAUUCCUCCACUGCAAUAGUUAAAGGAAAAGGCAAUGUGCAACUAGAGUUUACUUCUGGAAGAACCUUAACUCUUAUUUAUGUUUAUCAUGUUCCUGAAGUUAGGAAAAAUCUUGUAUCUGGUAGCCUUCUUAAUAAGUUUGGCUUCAAACUUGUUUUUGAGUCAAACAAAUUUAUAUUAUCUAAGGGUGGUACAUUUGUUGGGAAAGGAUACAAAUAUGAGGAAAUGUAUAAACUCAAUAUCAAUAAUAUGAAUGUUUCUUCUGCUUAUAUGGUUGACUCAUUAUCUUUGUGGCAUAAUUGUUUAGGACAUGUGAAUAUUAGAAGAUUGAAUGAUAUGGCUAAUUUAGAAUUAAUUCCUAAGCAUGAAAAUAGUAUGCAUAAAAAAUGUAAAGUUUAUGCACAGACUAAAAUCACAAGAACUCUUUUUCCAAAAUUGAAAAAUGAUCUUCUUUAUUGCAUUUAAUUCACAGUGAUGUAUGUGAUAUGCAUAGUAUUCCUACUAAAAGUGGCAAAAAAAUACUUUGUAACAUUUAUUGAUGAUGUUUCAAAAUAUUGCUAUGUGUAUUUAUUAUAUUCUAAAGAUUAAGUGUUAGAUAAAUUUAAAAUUUAUAAAAAUGAAGUUGAGAAUUUUUGUGACACUAAAAUUAAACGUCUUACGAGUGAUAAAGGAGGUGAAUAUGUUUUUUCUGAAUUUUGUGAAUUUGUUGGAGUUGUAUAUGAAACUAGCACUGCAUAUACUCCACAACAAAAUGAUGUAACUGAAAAGAAAAAUAGGACAUUAAUAAAAAUGGUAAAUGCUAUGUUUUUUAAUGCUGAGCUUGGUAAAAGUUUUUGGGGUGAAGCUAUUUUAACUGCAUGUCAUAUUUUAAAUAGAGUGCCUAAUAAGAAAAAAAAAUGACCCCUUAUGAAUUAUGAAAAAAGAGAAAGUUUAAUCUUUCUUAUCUAAGAGUUUGAGGUUGUCGAGUCAUUGUAAGACUACCUGAAUCUAAGAUAAAGAAAUUAGGAGAAAAGGGCAUUGAAUGCAUAUUCUUGGGGUAUGUUGAGCAUAGUAAAGUUUAUAGGUUUCUUGUAACAUAACUUAAUAGCUUUGUUGAGAUCAAUACUAUAGUGGAAUCUAGAGAUGCAAUAUUAUAUAAAAAUAGAUUUUUCGCUAUACCAAAAAGUAUUGAUUCUCAAGAAAAUGAUAAACAAAUAGCAAUUGGUCAAAAGUGUGAUGAUAAUAAUGAGCAAAAUCAAUUGAAAAGAAGUAAAAGAAUAAGCAAUAUAAAAUCCUUUAGACCAGAUUUUAUACUCUAUUUAGUUGAAGAGACAAUAGACUCACAAUCAAAACAAACCAUGAUCACACCUACUAUAUAGUCUGAUCCCCUCACCUACGAGGAGGCAAUAAAGUCUCAAGAUGCUGCUUUUUAAAAAGAGACCAUUAAUGAUAAAAUGCACUCUAUUAUGGGCAAUAAGACUUGGAAAUUAGUUGAUUUAUCAUUUGUCUCUAAUCCUAUAGGUUGUAACUGGGUUUUCAAAAAGAAUAAGAAAGUUUAUGAAACAAUUGAAGGAUUUAAAGUAAUACUAAUAGCGAAAGGCUUACACAAAAAGAAGGCCUUGAUUAUUUCGAUACUUAUGCACCUGUUGCAAGAAUUGCUACUAUUAGAGUCUUGAUUGCUUUGACUUCAAUUUAUCAUUUUGAAAUCUAUCAAAUGGAUGUAAAAAUAACUUUCUUAAAUGGAGAAUUAUAUGAAGAAAUUUAAAUAAAACAACCAAAAGGGUUUUUCAUGCUAGGACAAGAACAUAAAGUUUGUAAACUAGUCAAGUCUUUAUAUGGCCUUAAACAAGCUCCAAAGCAGUGGCAUGAAAAGUUUGACAAAGUGAUUAUUUCAAAUGGAUUUAAUAUUCAUGAGUUUGAUAAAUGUGUAUAUAGCAGAUUCAAUGGAAAUAAAGGUGUGAUUAUUUGUUUAUAUGUAGAUUGUCAUGUUAAUUUUUGGUACUGAUAAUAAGAGUAUUAAACUCACUAAAUCAUUAUUGUCAUCUAAUUUUGAUAUGAAAGACAUUGGGCUUGUGGAUUUAAUUUUGGGGAUUAAAAUUAUCAAAAAUAAGCAUGGCCUAGUAUUGACCCAAUCACAUUAUAUUGAGAAAAUUUUAAAGAAAUUUAAUUAUUAUGAUUGUAAGCCUAUGUCAACACCUUUUACUUCAAACAUAAGAUUGUACCUUAACACCAGCAGAGCAGUAUCCCAAUUAGAAUAUAUGUGUGUUAUUGGGUGUCUUAUGUAUGUGGUGACUUGUACUAGGCCUAACAUUACUUUCGUUGUGGAAAGGCUGAGUAGAUAUACUAGUAAUCCAAGCCAAGCACACUGGCAAGCAGUGUACAAAAUUGUAAAAUACUUAAAACAUACAAUAGAUUAUGGUAUAUGUUACACUGGAUAUCCUUCAGUUUUAGAAGAAUUUUCAGAUGCUAGUUGGAUUACUGAUCAAAAUGAUCAUAUAUCCACAAGUAGUUGGAUUUUUAAUAUUGGUGGAGGAGUUAUUUCAUAGGGCUCAAAGAAGCAAACUUGUAUAGCAGACUCCAUCAUGACUGCAGAACUUGUAGCUUUGGCUUCAUGUUGCAAGGAAGCUGAAUGGUUAAGGAAUUUGCUUAUAGAAAUUCCUAUUUGGCCUAAACCAAUGCCUCAUGUAUCCAUUCACUGUGAUAGUGAGACAACUUUGUCAAGGGCAUAUAGUCAAAUCUAUAAUAGAAAGUCUAGGCACAUUGGUCUAAAAUAUAGUUAUGUGAGACAAUUAUUUACAGAUGGAGUAAUCAUAAUUGACUUUGUGAAAUCAUGCCAAAAUUUUUCAGACCCCUUAACUAAAGGUCUUGCAAGGGAUAUUGUAUUAAAAACUUCUAAAGGGAUGGGACCGAAGCCAGCAUCAUCUUAUCAACAAUUAUGGAAACUCAACCCAACACUUGAAAUAUCAAGAUCUUGGGUCAAUGAGCAAAAGUAUAUCAUAUUUUGUGAUAGCCACAAGCACUAUAAUAUUUUAAAAUGUGUUCCAAAGGUCAGUGCUUGAUACCUAUAAUAUAUAGGAAAUGUUAAGCUACUUAGCUUUUAAUUGACUUAUAAAUGUUUUAGUUACAGGGACAUUCUAAAUAAAUCUACCUAUGCGAGUGUAGGAGGUGGUGCCGCUUCCUAUGUAACUUGGCUGGUUACUAAAGUGCUCAUGAAAACAAGAUAUAGACACGGGGCUAAUCCAAGUGUCGGCUAAAGAAUACUGAGAAUUUGAAAAGUUAUGUGUGAGAUAUAUCUGAUUAGUAUAUUAAGGUUGUUGGUUCAAAGCUUGCCUACCAUGCCACCUUAAUUAACUUUGAUGUGUUGUCACUAAGUGAAGGUUCAAGUCCAAAAGACACCUUCAUCUGUGCAUAAAUUUUCCAAGCAUGUGCGAGAUAAUUUUUCAAAAUUCAUUUAUUUUGAAAAUUGUGGGGGAUUAUUGGAAAAAAUUUCAAAAUAAAUGGUGUUUUAUUGUAAAGACAUGUCUAAAUAAAAAAAAAUGUCUUACUGUAAAGACAUGUCUAAAUGAAUGAUGUCUUAUUGUAAGGACAUGUCCAAUUAAUUGUGCCUUAUAGAAAAUAUAUCUUUUCACUUAAAGAUAUAACUUUUCACAGUGAUAUUUCACUUAGAUAUGCAUCAUUUCAUGGUGACAUUUCAUUUGAAAUGGUGAUGGUUUAUUUUGAACCAUUGAUUAAAAUUAAAUCUUGAUCCAAUGACCCAGAAUAAAGGGGUAUCAUGAAAGAUGACAACCCGAAUGAAGAGACACAAGUAUGUUUAUAAAUAGAGGUCAUGCUUAAACCAUUUAGACAUAAAAAUAAUGAUCACACACCAUUCUUUUCUUAGCCCUCUUUUCUAGAACGAAUUUCAACAUAAAAUUCAUAUUUUUGUGCAUUAAAAAUCUAAUAUAUUGUAUUCUGCACGAAUAAUAUAUUGUUUCUUGGCAAACUUGCAACAUUCAAGAGUAUUCUGCUUUGCUUUCGUCGAUGCACAACGCAAGUAAACAAACAAGUGCUUCAUUGUAUCCUGGAGGCGUAUUUGCUUAACCCAUGUGCAUCACUCAGUUGGUGGGGGCAAAUAACGUCUUAAGGAAAGUAACAUUUGUAACAUGCCUUGAAGUAUAUAAUAUUUUCUACAGUUUACCAAUUAUUAUUAUUUUAUUCCUACAUAAAGAGUUGUAAACACAUUACUUUAUAUAAUAAAAUUCUACUAUUAUUAUUAUAUUUAUCUACAUUUUCCAUUCCCCACAAUUGCAUACCACCAACAAUCCAUAAAGAAUAACACAGAGUCAUUAGAAGAACCAAAAAACUUUACUACUAGACAAAAAAAUUUUGUCUUUUUUAGUAAAUUUUGUGCUAUUGUUGGUACAUAUAGCAUUAUUCAAAACAUAUAUGCACGUGAUGUUGCAUCAUUAUACAUCACUGAUGCAACAUAACAUAUUGACCAAUCUACCGCUUUUUUAUAUUAAAAUAACAGCACUAUAUUUGCCAUUAGGGGUGUUCGUGGAUCGAAUUUUACGGAUUGGAUAUCAAUCCAUAUCCGAUCCAUGAUUUUGCAGAUUAUAAUUUUUCAAUCUAAUCCAAUCCACGGAUUGAUAAAAUUCAAUCCAAAUCCAAUCCAUACAUCUGCGGAUUGGAUACGGAUUUGACUCAAUCCAUAUCCAAUCCAUACGUCUGCGGAUCGGAUGCGGAUUUGACUCAAUCCAUAUCCAAUCCACCAUUUUAUGCAUUAGUUUUUGAAUUAAAAAUUUUUAGUUCUCUCCAACUAAUGAAAUAAAAAAAAUUAAUAUAAAAAUAAUUUUGCUACCAAUUAAAUUUAAAAUUGAAUAAAAUUUAAAUAAAUUAAUUAUUUAAAUAAAGCUAAAAUAAUACAUUUAAAGUUUCAAAAUAUAACACAUCAAGACUAAUUAUUCAAAUAAAGCUACAAUAAUAUGUUCAAAGUUUCAAAAUAUAACACACCAAGCUUAAUUGUUCAAAUAAAGUUACAAUAAUACGUUAAUAUAACACCAAAAUUAAUUGUUCAAAUAAAGCCACAAUUAAUUGAAAUGACGAAGUUUCGGAAAUCAAACACAGUCUGAUCCUUUACCAGGGCUGUUGUGCCUGUCGAAAAGUGGUGAUUAUGGAGCCGUCCACGAUGGGAACCAGGAGAAGCCGUACGGGUGGCGAUCUUGAAGGUUGUGAUAGUGAAAUUGUUCAACUGGAACCAGUGAAUGUGAAGUGGCUCGGUGGACUUGGGAAAGAAGAUGGCUUGCUCUCGCCGGAAUCGCACGGCCGAUGUCCUUAAAAUCCGUGUCAAGAGUGUAUCCAACCAGUAUUGAGUGUUGCUAGUGUGUGUGACGGCGGGGAAGUUUAUGGUUUUUUGUUUGCAAAUUGUUGGUGACUUGACGUCAUGUUACUUUUCUUUUGGGUGACUUUGCAAAUUGUUGGUGACUUGGCGUUAUGUUACUUUGCUUUUACCAGUGCGUGUGACUUUGCUUUUAUUUUGUUUUACAAUUUUUACAAGUUAUAUUUGUAUAUUUGAUUAUUUAAUUAUUUUUCAUUUUAUAUUAUUAUUGGGUAAUGACUAAGAUAUGUUAUAGUGCUUAUGUAAUCAUGUAAUGUCACAUUUAUAAUUUUUUUAAUUAAAUUUAUAAUAAUUUUUUUAAUUUUAUAUAUAUAUAUUUUUUUUUUAUUUUUUUUUUUUUUGCGGAUUCACGGAUUUCUGCGGAUUUACAGAAGUAAAUCCAUAUCCAAUCCAUCGACUGCGGAUUUUUAAAUUUUCAAUCCAUAUUCAAUCCACCAAUCCACGGAUCGGAUUUAAACGGAUCGGAUUGAACGGAUCGGACGGAUUGAACGGAUCGGAUUGGAUUCUGAAUACCCUUAUUUGCCAUGGGUCAAACCCUAAAACCUUACAAAAAACGACGCAUUUUGUGAAUUUUUUUUUGUUUAAAUUUUAACCAAUAUGACGUCGUUUUGCUUCAAGCCUCCCCCACGAAUGGUUUUCCCUUCCUCUUCAUUUCACCACUCAACCCCAACGAUAUAACCGGCCUGCAGAACCCUUAAAUUGUUAUUCUUUCCUUCAAUCCGAUGGGAUUUGGUUUAGAUUAAGCAAAAGCAAAAGCUUGAACAAGGUAAGGUACUAUCUUCUUUGGCUACGAAGAUGUACAUAAACAAAAAGAAUUGAGUUGCAGCAUCUACCCUUGAAAAUUGAGUUUUAAUUCUACGUGGCUUCUUUGGCAACGGAUUAUUUUCAAAGCUUGAAUUUUGCUUGAAUUUUGUUGUUUUAAUUUGCGAAGCCAUUGCCGUUGCUGUUAAAUUGGGUUAAUAUAAUGGGUAAUAAGCUUAUGCUGCGAUGUUUUUUGCUUGAACCCUAAGCUGUUUCAAAUUGAAUCUUGAGUUGUGAGUUGCGGAUUACGAAUGGCAAUUUCAGGUGCGGAUUGUGGAUUGCAAAUGGAAAUUUCAAGCUGUGGCUGGAGCUAGAUUGAAGAAGGAAAGGGGAAAUAUUUGGCUGUGGCUGGAGCUGGUGGUUGGAGCUCGAUCAAUGAAGGAAAGGGGAAAUAUUUGGCUAUGGCUGGAGCUUGUGGCUAGAGCUCGAUCGACGAAGGAAAUGAAAGAGAAAAUAUUUGGCUGCGGCUGGACCUCAAUCAACGAAGGAAAGGCAAGGGAAAAUACUUGGGUGGAGCUCCAUCGACAAAGAAUAAGAGAAAUAUUUGGCAAGCGAAAACGGCAUUGUUUUUGGCUUUAAUAAAACGCUACGUUUAAAUUUUGGGGUUUGACCCGGGGCAAGUAUCAUUUUCGUUAAAAUAAACCAGCCUACGAAGACUUUGAUGUUACCACAGAAAAAUGUGAAAGAAAGCGAGGGUUCGGAAAAUUAAUAUUGAUAAAAUAAUAAUAUAGAGCGGAUCUGAACAUGGAAAGCAUGCAUAUUAAACAACAAAAGGAGAGCCAGAUCCAACGGUGGCUACAAUAAUAACUCCUGUUUUAGGCACACAGGCCAUUCAUAUGCAAUCCCAAGUUGGUCGAGUACUCAAGUUCUUGACUGGUCUCAAUUUCUUCUUAAGCAAGAUCUGGGUUCUCACGAAUUUGCUUCCUCAACUUCUUCAUCCAGGUCACUGUGUGUUGAUACUUGAACAUUGCCCAUGUGUUUGUUUGAAAAAUUUUAUUCUACGUAUUUGUUUUAGGUUUGUUUGUAUUGCCAUCUAACGGUACUGAGCAAUGAAAUUUAGACCGAAAUUUUUGACGAAAAACUGGAAAAUAUAUAUAUUAGAAGUUCUCCGAAGAAUAAACUAUGCACGAACAUUAAAAAAAAUUGUAAAAUUAUGUUUCUUAGAGGUUUUAAACUUCGGUUAUGUGCCACGAGUCAUGGACCACAAGAAGCUGAUUCUUGGCUGCUUUUUGUUUAUUUUUAUUUUACUUGAAUAGACUAAAAGCGUCUGAAGAAUUUUUAACAAAAUAAAAUCAACAAUAAUCGAUUUUAUUUUUGAAUUUGCUUCUUUAUCUUCUUCAUCCAGGUCACUGUGUAGAAAUCAAUAAUGAAAAUGUUCAAUUUCUUGAAAUAUAUGUUCUAAUGUUGUUCGAUAUUUUAUUUCCCGAUAAACAUAAUAUGGUCACAGGGUCCAGCUACAUUGCUUCGGGGGUUUGGUGCCCCAUUUUUUGUCUUUUUCAAAUUCACCGUUGGAUGCAACGCAAGACUUGCAUAAUGGCUUAGAUAUGAUUUUAGGUUAUUAACAUUAAAGGCCCCUCUUGUUCAUGAAAAAAAAAAAUCAAACGUUUUAUAAUUAUGACAUAAAAGUCCAUAAUAUAUAUAUAUAUAUAUUACACUAUUGAACUAGAUUUCCAACUAAAUGACUUAUUCUUACAUGUAUUAAUAUCUAUUAAAUUAAAAAAUUUACUUAUUAAUUAACAAAUUAACUAGUUUAUUAUAUAGUUAAACUAUGUAUAUUAUUUACGAACCAUAAUUAAUGAUAAAUAUAAAUUUAUUUUUUUUAAUUUAACAUAACGACAACCGAUUUCCUCUCACCCAUAUGACCAAGGUUCAAACCCCAUAAUCUUUUUUAUUUCAACACAAGAGAUUUUACUAGCUCAAGUAAAUGUAAUAUACAAAAUAUGAAAAUAAAUUUAAUUUGAUAUUCUAUGUAGUUAAUUUUUUUUGGUAACAUAAGAUUUAUUUAACAUACUAUCAAUUAUUUAAUUAUGUAGUAUAAAUAUGUUAAUUUACUAAUAAUAAUAAAGUUUUAGUUUAUGAAUUUUUAAAAUAAUUUUUGUUUGUUUGAUCAAUAUGUUUGUAUUUUUGGUUGAUUUUUUGUCCUUAAAUAAAAGAAUAAAUUUAAUUGCACACUUAAAUAAAUUAAUAUUUGUUACUCCACACCAACAAUUUAAAUAGUUAUUAGCACAUGUCCAUAUAGUUGAGAUCUUUCAUUAACUUAACUAAGAGAAGGGUAAAAAAAUUCUAAACAAUUACUCUAUUUGAAAAUAAUUUAAAUACUUCCUUAGUUUUCUUUUAUUUAAAAUAAUUUAAAUAUUUCAAAAAAUUUUCUUUUAAUUUACUAGUGUUUGUGUGUAUAAAGAGAAUAAGUGUUUGAAUUCUAAAUAAAUCAUGGCUUCCAAAAGCAUUAAUGUAAUUGAAAAUCUUUAGGUGCAUGAUUAAUGUGUGAAAAUUUAAAAGCUUUUAGUUUUUUUGUUUUUAUAACUAAUAACAGGACUUCAUUGUAAUUGACCUUGAAAAAGACAAAAGAAAGAGGUAUCAAACCAAUUUUGCAACGUAGCUACGCCCUAUGGUCACAACGUUUCCGGUAAGCAUAAGGUUCGCCCAGCAACUGAAAAAAAUAAUUAAUAAUCAAAUUUUAAAUAAAGAAACACUUCAAAAAAUAGAAUAGAAGAAACACAUAAUUUUUGUCAUUAAACACUUUCAAGCACUUCCUCCGUCCUUGAUAAAACAAGUAUAUAACAUUUUUAUGUGUAAGAUUAAUUAGUAUAAAGAAGAUCAAUUUACAAUUUAAAGGAAAUAAAUUAAAGUUGAAUGAGUUCAAAGACUAAAAUCAGAACUCAUUUAUCUAGAUUCUAGGGCUCCAACUACCGUGCACCUAGUGCAUGGUGCUCCUAUUUUGUCCAUAUGUGAGUUGGCCAUUAGAUCUAAUACCGAACUUGCUUCAAGGGAAUGAAUGUGUUUUCUUUUAUUUUUAACAUUGAUGUCCUUAUAGUUUUUUAAAAAAGUAAAAUAAUCAAUGAUUGGACACAUAAUUUUAAAUUGUUUUAAAUUUUUAUAUUUUUAUCAAUUGAUUUAAUUUUAUUAUUAAAAAUUAAUGAUAGUAUAAGGACAAUAACUUGCAAAACCUUUUAAUACAUAUAAUCUUUUUUUAUUUUUUUGAAAACAACAUAAAAUCUAUUCAAUCGAUAAUAAAUAAUUUAAAUAUAUAAUUAAAAUUUAACUUAAUAAUAAUAUGACUAAAUAACAAUUUAAAAAAUUCAAAAUAAUUAACUAUAGUUUAGUAUUCAAAUAUAAAUAAUAGGAAUGACUCUAAAUGUAAAUAUUAGAAACAUAUUGGACUUAGGUGUUAAAAUCUUAAAGCUUCUAUUUUUUUUUUACUUUUCAAAAAAUAAGAGGGACCUAAAAUAAUUUACUAAAAAUUAGGGGUUCCAAUAACCAUGCCCUCGGGGCACCAUAGCUUCGUCCACAUUUCUAGUAUCUAUAAUAUAAUAAUAAUUUUGAAGGAUAUUUUAAUAAUUAAAAAAAUUAAAUUUGGUGGAUAAUUUAGUGGGUCUAAAUACCAACCCUUUUCUCUUAGGGGUAUAUUCAUCUGUGUACCUGCUACUAGCGCAAAGCAAUUCCCCAAAAGCUUGAGGACCUUUGAACAAAAUUUCUGUAGAUCCGCUGAUUCUAAGUACUAGAAGAAUUUCCAGGAUGCCUUUUAUUGCCUUUUUAGGCAGGUGCAUUUUAGUCAAUCACAAGUACUUGUUUGAUAAUUCCCUGCAUUUAAAUAAGGAAGAAGAAGCCACCAGACCGAUCGAUCGACCGAGAAAAAGAUGCCAAAGUUCACUCUCGGAAAUUCCUUUCGUUUUGGCAGCAAAAGGGAAACCGUCUGUAACUUUCAUUCCGAAAAUAUUGAGACGAUACUAAAAAAGUUGACUAAAGAUUGGCUUGAGCAGUUUGCUCGAGAUGCGCAGAUCCAGGCCGAUCUGAUUGGGUGGAAGAAGAUGAUGGUGAAGAUUAAUAAGGUGCUAGAUGAUGCCAUAGAGAAGCAGACGGAGGAGGAGUCAGUGAUGAUAUGGCUAGGCAAACUUCAGCACUUGGCUUGCGAUGUUGACUACUUGUUGGAUGAGUUCCAAACGGAAGCUUUCCAGACGAUGUUGCUGCAAGAUGCUGAUGCGAUGUCUAAAGUAAAGGAGGUCAAUGCUCGAUUGCAAGAUAUUGCAUGGCAAAUAAACGUACUAGGUUUGAAAGAAAUUUCCGGUGGGAAGUCCAGAAAUGUCAGGCUAAGAUUUCUCACAACCCCUUCGGUGAGUGAAGCUGGCUUAUAAGUAUUGAUAUUCAAACAGAAAAUUUUUACAUAAAACUGACAGAAACAGUGAUAAAUCGAUAUCAAUUUGCUCACUUAAUUAAAAAAUUAGGACAUUAGAUACUGAUUUGUCACUGUCUUUAUCAAUAUCUCGAUCUCCUUAGCAAUUUUUCACCAAUGCAAAUGGUAGAGAAAAUGAUAAAGAAUAGAUACUGAAUCGCCCAUGCUACAAAUAUAAAGACUAAUUACUAAUGCUAAUUCAAAGUGUUUUCUUUUGUUUUGAAAGCUACUCUUAGCGGCAGUAAGAGGCGGAGGUCGAGAUCGUGGUCCUACAGUCUUUAGUCCCUUAAUCGAGAAAGAGGACUUGGCUUUUUUGGAGAAAGAGGAUUGCUCUGCUCCUUUGGAGAAAAUAGGAUCAGGUGGGUGUGGAGAAAUUUACAUUGCCGAGCUAACGUGUUUCUAGAGAAUUCUUUUGCACCCUAUUUUUUGCGUUAUAUAUAUAUAUAUAUAUUUAUGAGUCAAUUGUUAGAGAUCAAAUUCAGUCUUUUUUUUUUUUAGCUGAAAUUCAGGCUUAAUUGAAGAUGAUUACAGGAAAUUGAAUCUCAAGUAAAAUAAUAAAAUGAAAAUUCUUUAUUUAUAGUUAGUUCUAGCAUCAGAAUGCAUGAUGGUAUUAUUUAUUUUUUCAGUUAUUUUGGAAUUUUGUCUUAUUUACACAUCUUGGUGAAAUUGUUGUAUGUUCAUUUUGUUUGUCGUGAUUGCUUAUAAGCUAUUUUUAUGUUGAUAAGUAUGGCUUAUUAAUAAUUUUAUUAAUAAUUUUCUUUGAUUAUUGAUAGAGUUUCCUCGAAAGCACAAGGCUGGUUCUCAAAAAGAGGUGAUUGGAGUGCUUUCAUUUGAAGUUGUGAGCUUGAUGUCUAAGGUGGUUCACCUUUGGCAGUCUUUGAGUGAUAAGCAGAUUGUUAGAUUGGGAGCUGAGUUACUAAAUUCUGUGGGCAUAAAGAAGCUUGUAUCGGAGGAUGACGAGUUUAUUGCAAGUUUAAUAUGUGCUGAGAUGAUUGAGGAUUUGGCCCACGUGGCGAAAUCUGUGGCUAGGCUUGGGAAGAAGUGUAAUGAUCACGGUUUAAAGAUUUUUGAGAUUGCUCUAGAUAAAUUUGUUAAUAUUGGUGCUGACCCAUAUGGGUGGGAGUUUUCAUGGAAGAAGAUGGAAAAGAAAGUCAAGAAAAUGGAACGUUUCAUUUCAAUAAAUGCAACUUUGUACCAAGAGAUGGAAAUGCUUUCGGAUCACAUACAAACUCUGAAGAGAAUGAAGAGUAAUGAUGGUGAGAUAGAGCAUUUGAUAGAGUUUCAAAAGAAGGUUGCAUGGAAGGAGCAGGAGGUGAAGCAUCUAAGGGAGGUCUCUCUUUGGAAUAAGACUUACGAUUAUACAAUUCCGCUUUUGGCAAGAUCACUAUUUACAUUAUUUGGAAGGAUACGAUAUGUCUUUGGAAUAAACGUGAGUGUGGAUGUCGAGGAUUCAAGAGAUAUGUCUUCUGAUUAUAUUUACCGCAGCCAAUCAGUUUCUGCAUUAUUGCAAUCUUCAGUUCAUCCAUCUGAGAAUACUGGUAUAGCUAGAUUUUCUUCAGGUCCCCCUGGAAAAUUUACUGCUAACUCAGGUCCUAUUUCAAAACCAAAAAGAAUGAAUAAUUAUCAUUCAGGUCCUCUUAGUGCUAUGAGCACAAAAUCGGGUCCUAGCAUGAUGGCUGCAGAUAUUUCUCCUGUUGCCAACCGUUAUUCAAUUCCAAAUAUUUUGGGAGCUCUUAAUGAAGCCAAAGAGAGCAAUGUCAAGCAAAUUCCUCAGGCCAAUAGAGUUCAAACAAGAUCUUCAAUAUUCAGUUCCAAGGGCAAGUUGUUAGAUGCGUCACCCGAGACUCUUGGUGGUGCUGCUUUAGCGCUACACUAUUCAAAAGUCGUUAUUGUAAUUGAGAAGCUGGUGGCAUCUCCUCACUUGAUUGGUCAUGAUGCAAGGGAAGACUUGUACAAUAUGUUACCUGCAAGUGUGAGAGCCACUUUGAGAGCAAGGUUAAAGCCAUAUACAAAGAGCUUAGCUUCAUCAGUGUAUGAUACAGAGUUUGCAGGCGAGUGGACUGCAGCAAUGAGUGCGAUUUUGGAAUGGUUGGCUCCACUUGCUCAUAACAUGAUUAGAUGGCAAUCUGAGCGGAGCUUUGAGCAGCAGAGAGUAGUUUCCAGGAGCAAUGUUCUUCUUGUACAGACUCUGUACUUUGCAAAUCAAGAAAAGACAGAAGCAGCAAUUACUGAGCUUCUUGUUGGCCUUAAUUAUGUCUGGAGAUACAGCAGAGAACUCAAUGCAAAAGCUUUGCAGGAAUGUGCUAGCAGCAGAGUGUUUGAUGAAUGCUUGGAUUUGGAAGGGUAAGAUUAUUCACUGACUGUUGCGAUCAUCAUCGGAAUACCAUUGCCUCACCACUUCAUUGGCUUUGGGGGAUACAUGGUUGCAAAGGAUUUCUAUGUUCUGGCUAGUCCACAAGGCUUCUCUGUUCUAGUCAACAACAAUGACGUGGAGCAUGGGCAAAACUCCUAUCCGCUCUAUCGAAAUUCCAUAUACGUAAAUGCACUACCUUAAGUUAAAGAUAUAGGUUUGAGUAAAAACAAUAUAGUUUUGUUGAGACAUGGCGAUGCACUUCUGCGUGCCAAAUAUGAAAUUAAGCUAUCAUUCAGCGAAAUUUGUAUACUUAUUUAGGGAUAAACUUGUGUAGUAAUUGUAAAUUUUUCCACAUUAGGCUUUUCAUUCAUGUAUAUAGCCCCUCAUGAUCUGGCUUGCUUCUUUUUGAGUGGCUUACUGGUAUUGAUAUAGUUAUGUGAUUGUGAGCUUUCGGCUGCGUGGGAACUGAAAAUGUAAUUCAGGUUGCAGAAACAAGAUCUUGAAUUCAAUUUAUCAUAUUUAUAUUCGAUAGGAUGGCAUAUUCGCAAAUCAAUUGCAGCCAACUGUAUUCAGUGACAUUGCUUGAUGCCUAUUGGCGAAUGAAUCUGGUGACUCAUUUUUAUUUAUGUCCUUUCAGUUGUCGAUGGUGCUAAUGCUACUAAUAUCCUCAGUUUGUGAGUGAUGAUAUUUGACCUCUCAUUUUAUCUCGUCAGCCCUCAUUUUUUAAUUAAUUCAUUAUAAAUCUUUUAAUCUCUAAUUUAUCGUCAUUAUUAUUAUAAUUUUAUCAUACUUGCACAAUCACACUGAUAUAGGGGUGGCAAAAAAGCCUGGGCUGGCCCAGGCCCGGCCAAGCUCAGCCCAGGCCCGCAGACUUAAAGCCCGGCCCGUAAGGGUGGGCCCGGAUAUGGGCCCAAAAAUUACAAAGCCCACAUAUGUUGGGCCUGGACAAAGGCUUAGCAAAAAAGCCCGGGCUUUUUAAAUUUAUGAAUAAAAAUAAAUUUAAUUUAAAUAAAAAAAAACUCAAAGUAUUAAAUUAGUUUAAUUUUUUAUAUUAGUAUUUGUUAUUUUAUUAGGUUGUAUUACUAAUAUUUUAUGUAUUGGACUAUUAUUCUAUUUAUAUAUUAGAUAAUUAUCUUUAAUUUAAAUUUUUUUUCUUAAUUUAAAAAAUAUUUUAUAAUUAAUUUAAAAAGCCCAAGCCGGGCCCGAGCCCGGCCCAAGCCCGUCUAGGCCCGUCCAAGUUUGGACAGGCUUUUUGAAGGGCCUGGACUUCAUUUGAAUGAUGUGUGCUUGGGCCUAGGCUUUAAAAAGCCCGGCCCAAGCCCGCAAAUUGCCAUCCCUACACUGAUAUCCAAGCGAUUGACCAACUGUAGAGUUUACUUCAAUUUUUAGAGCUACUGUUAUAUUAAUCUUUUUUUUUCCUAGAAGUACUGUUACAUUAAUCUCAAUUCUUUAUUUCUUGCAAAAUGAUUAAUCAAAUACAAAGAUGACAAAAAUUUCUUAAUUAAAAAAAAGGAGAAGAAGAAGAAGAAGAAACUAAGCAUUCAUGUUGCCACUAACAUGGGUGGCCUUAAGUAUAUGCGAACAAAGCGGUUGCCUAAGGCCCCAAAUUUUAGAAAGGCCUUAUUUUUUUAGUAUUAGUAAUAAUUCUUUAGUUAAUAAAGAUUUUUAAAAAAAAAUUAUGUGUGGUGGAAAAGUCUAUUAGACAUCUCUCUAAUUAAUAAUUAUUUUUUAUAUAAAAACCUAUAAUUGGUUAUCUUAUUGUUAAAGAGAUAAUUAAUAAUAUUGUCUAACCAUUAAUUUAUUCAUUAUUAAUUUUUCCAAUAAAAAUAAGUAAUUUUUUUUUACCUUUUCAACUUCUUAAAAGAACUCAAUUAUUCAACAUUAGAAUUUUCAACUUUGAGUAUUCCUUUUAAUUUCUAUUAAAAAUCUUAUAAUCUAGAAAAUUAUAGAUGAAAAUUUUCUUGUUCUCUCUAUAAUGAAGAUUAUUACAUGCAUUAGUUCAUUCAAAAAAGAAAAAAAAAUAGUUACUUGAAAAAAAAAUAGUUCACUCAAAUAUUGCUCCUUUGCUGGCUUAUAUGGUCCGGCCUGACUGCCAUUUACUUGUCUAUGAAUUCAUGAAGAAUGGAAGUUUACAAGAGAUUCUAAACGAUGUCUCACAAGGAAGAAGAGAAUUAGAGUGGCUAGCUAGACACAGGAUUGCACGAGGUAUAGCUUCUGGGCUUGAGUAUCUGCAUAUGUACCAUAGCCUUCGUAUAAUCCAUAGAGAUAUCAAGCCAGGGAACGUGCUCAUAGACGAUGAUAUGGAAGACAGGAUUUCUGAUUUUGGUCUUGCAAAGGUAUUGCCUGAUGGUCAUACACAAAUCAGAGCUUCGAAUCCUGAUUUUGGUGUUGCAGAGGUAAUGCCUGAUGGACAUGCGCAAGUCAAAACUUCGAAUUUGGCGGGAACGGUGGGAUACAUAGCCCCAUAGCAUCACCAGACGCUAACAUUCUCGGACGAGUGUGAUAUAUACAGCUUUGGGGUGUUACUAGCUGUUUUAGUGAUGGGAAAGCUUCCAUCCGAUGAUUUUUUCCAACACACCGAAGAGAUGAGUUUCGUUAAAUGGAUGAGAAAUGUCAUGAAUUCUGCGAAUCCUAACCGGGCUAUCGAUUCGAAGCUCCUCGGCAAUGGGUACGAGGAGCAAAUGCUUCUUGUUUUGAAGAUUGCUUACUUUUGCACUUUGGAUGAUCCAAAGCAGAGACCUAACAGCAGGGAUGUUAGGUGUAUGUUGUCUCAGAUUCAGCACUAAUUAAGGAUGUGGAUUUUUUUAAAAUGUACAAGAGCAUAACAACGUCACUUGUGAUGAACAAUUUAUGCUCUUUAAUUAAGUUGUACAAUUACGAUCCCCUCUGAGUUUUCACUUGUCUAAUCGAUACAGAGCGGUUCAGGUCACUAUACAAAGUAGAAACCAUUUCUGAAAUGUGGCAUACUUGCUAUAUUUCAGCAGUCGUAUGUUUCUGGCAACAUAUCAAGCCUUUCAUUUUGCAUAAGAAAAAUAGCAAGAACGGCUCGAUGUUGGUAGUUCGUUCUAUAAGCAUAUGCUAACACACAUUGAGAGAAUCUUUCCAAAAAAAAAAAAUGAGAAAGAGAAAAGUUCCAUGCAAGUGCAUUUUAGCCAUUGUAAUUUUGAAGAGUUGCUUCUAUUUUGUAUUUUAACUUUUUCUUUUUUAUUAUACUAAAUACAUUUUCCACCAAAGAGGGACCACUUUAUAAUACUUUUUUCUUUACUUUAAUACUUUAAAUAAUCUUUGCUUUACUUUUUUUUUACUUUAUUUCAUUUACUUUUAUUUUUAACUCAUUACGUUUAAUGGCGGAUUCAUUCUUAUGAAAAGAAAUCGCACAAUCGGGUCACUCAAAAAAAUUAAAUUUUUUAUUUCUGUUCAAUUUGAUUCUAAAAGUUAGAACUACUCGUAUCUUUUCCUUUAUGUAGGUUAAGAAAAAAACUCAGACAAGGCUCCUUCAACAGCAGCUAAUCAUGUUCGUUUUUUAUCUUUUAAAUUUAUUUACCAGCUAGCCCAAGAUGUCUUUAAAUUUCAGAAUCAUAGAGAAAUAUAUAUAUAUAUAUAUAUAUAUAUAUAUUAUCAGUGGGAACACUUAAGCCGCCUCAAUCCGCACACUAUAAAGGUAAAUCAAAGGACAAUUAUGAAAGGCUCAAAUUCUCAGCGAAGAUAAGUGAUCAAAAGAGGAAAUGGGGCUAGAAACUGAAAAGCAGUAAAGUAUCUCAAAGGCAGUGUGGUACUUAUAAAUGAUUUUAGGAGUUUUAUAUUCUUAUCUAAUAAUUACUAAUUUUAUCUUUCUAAAAGAUUACCAAAAAAAUCACCUCAGCAUUCAAUCCAAAUCUCAUUAUAUGAUGUUAUAAUUUAUUUAUAUUACAGUAUUAAUAGUGACAUAAAAUUUAAUUAACUGUUCACAUAAUUAGUAUUUGUUAUGAUAAUGUUGUGAUUUUAAUUAUUUAGAAUCUGUUUUACCUGUUAUUGUACCCGUUAAACACAUUUUUUAAGAUUAUAUAAUAAAAAAAGGUAUAACUUUUUUUAAAUAUUUAUUUUAACAUUAACACAACUCAAUUUUAUUAUCAUCUUAUUCUUUUUUCUUCACCUAAAAAAAGAUUGUUAAAUUAAUAAAUACAACAACUAAGCUCUCGUGGAAAACCGAAGUCAUCUCCAAAUAUUUCGAAAAAAAAAAAAAAACUAAAAAUAUUCCCGCAUGCGCCAAUUGUUUGGAAGUCCUCAAUAGCAGUAAAAAUUUAGUGGUGCGCUUUACUCUUGAGAAAGCAGCACAAAUGAACCAUAAAACUCCACCAUAUUUAAUGAUUUUAAAAUCAGGAUCAUUAUAGUACUACAACAUAGGUCAUACAAAUAUGCGUUUUGCUUGAUUAAUUAGAAAUAGAGAACAACAUAAUAGAACAGCAUGAACCCACCACCGGACACCAGUUUUAUAAAUUUUUUUUUUAAUGUAUUGCCUUACGAUAACUCGAUUCCUUGUAGACUCAUAUGUGAACAGAUGUGAACCUCAAACAUAUAAUCUUACUUCAACAAGUUUUACCGUAAAAUUAGCUAGCACCAUUUGUAAUGUUGUUGAUAGGCUUUGAUAGUUUAAAAAAAAUAUUGAGUAAAAACUAGCUAGAUUAAUAAACUACUUAGCCACUCGGCAUACUGCAUAUUUGAUUCCAUCCAUAAAUCGAUUUUCUUCCCUAUGAGUUCGAGUCUCAAUAAGAAUGUUAGUUCUUACUGUUCAUAUGUUAUGAUAUGAAUAUACCACACCAAUUCAUUAUGUAUAGAUGAUGAGAUUCCAUUGAUACAGAGCCAAUUCAAAUCCAAGUUGGAGAGCAGCAGUUCGAACCCCCACAAUGCAUGUGGGGGUGUUUCCUUCCUCAAAUAAAAUUGAGUGAAGGCAGUCUGUUUUCUUGUCCCAGUACGAGGAGUAGACAUCCCUCGAAUAUUUGAGAGGGUUAAAAUCUGGGCAGCGCUCCAUUAGAUUUGAUGUAUGUUGGUCCCAAUUAUAGUCUGAUUUGUACAUAUCUGUUAUAUUCUCAUGUAAUAUGAGUUGUAAUCUGAGUCUCAUGUAAUCAAAAAUAAAAAAUAAAAAAUAAACUUCUUUGCCCUUAUUUUACCUUAUUGAUACAAUAAUAUUAGAAAUUCUAACAUUUAAGUCUCAGUUUUGAGUCCUAUUAUUAUGUGUCAUUCAUUUAUUAAAUGAUUUAUUUCAUAACUCAUGAACUUACUAAAACACCGUUCAAUAAAUGAAUACCACAUCACUUAAAAUUCAAAUUGAGACUGAUAUGUUAGAAUGUCUAGCACAAAGUAAUUAAUGGAGAACAAAUUGUAACUCUCUUUCUUCUAUGGUUUUGCGAAAUUUUUUAUUAUUUUACAUUUUUAUGGCUUUCAAUCUCUUUAUUUACCUUUGUGCGUCUGAUUUUCCUCUACUUCCCUUAUCUUAACCUUGACUAAAGUAAUAACGAGAAUAUAUAUAUAUACGUACGCAAUGGAUCCGUGAUCCCUUGCACAAAUUUUUACUUUUAGAUACGGAUGUAUAUAUAUAAAGAGUCAAUUUGUGUAAAACUUAGCUGAUUGUGCAAAUUAUUAGUUGUUGGGAUUUUAAACAAACGACAAGCAAUUUACUAUUUAUCUGCAAUAAUUAGGCUUGGAAAAAGUAGUAGUUAGUUAAUGGUAUUAUGAUAAUGUUUUGAUUUUAACCAACAAUUCACAUAAUUAGUAGUCAGUUAUGAUAAUGUUUUGAUUUCAAUUAUUUAAAAUUUAUUUUACCUGCUUUCUAUCGGUUAAACAAAAUUUUUAAAAUUAUAUAAUUAAAAAAAUAAAGUAUAGUCUCUCCAAAUUUUAAUAUUUUUCCUUUAAAAAAAAAGAUAUGUAUUUUAACAUUAACACAACUCAAUUUUGUUUAUCAUCAUAUUCUCCCUUCUUCACUAAAAAAAUGGAUAAAUUAAUAAAUAUUGUAACAACAGAAAAAAUCGUUUAUACCCCUUAAUGUUUCAUUAAUUUAGUAAAAUUAUAGAGUUUUAAUUUUAUUUUCAUAUAUGUCCCUAACUCAAUUACCCUUAUAUUUUCAUCAAUUUAGUAUAACAAUAGAGUUUUUAUUUUAUAUUCAAAUAUGUCCCUAACCCAAUUACCCUUGUGUUUUCAUCAAUUUUAUAUAACAAUAGAGUUUUUAUUUUAUUUACAAAUAUAUCCCUUAUUCAAUUAUAUUAUUUUCAAUUGAAAUUAGUGACUUAUUUUAUAAAAUGAUUAAAUCAUAUAUUUAUUGAAUAGAUUGAAAACAUUAGGGAGCUAAAAUUUUAUUACUACUUUAAUUUAUUUUAAAAAGCUUCUAAUUGAAAAAAAAAAUAUGUCAAUGUAAUGUAACAUUGUCACUAGUAUUAAAAGUACUUACAGAAACAACAUGCAGUAACAAUUAUCAAUAUUUUAUAAAAUUUUUAUGUGAAUUUUCAGAUUUUAUUUAUUAGUUAUAUUAACUAAGAGGGCAAGUUAGAAAAUAAAAUUUGAGUAUUUUAAGGAGCUUUUGAUAGAAGAAUUAUCAACAUCUAGUUUUUUAAAGAGAGCUAGAGCGCCUGAAAAAGAAACAACUGCACCCAAAUACAUUUUUGCUGAAUUGAGUUUAGUUUAUUAUUGAAACUUUUGACUAAUAAUACCUUUACAAUUUGAAAGGAUUAAUAAAUUUUAAUUGUUUAAUUUAUUAAGUUUAGUAAUUAAGUACUUCACCUCAAACAUAAAAGUGUUACCUGUAAUUUUUAAUUGAUUGUAAUUACAUGUAUUGAUCUAUUUUAAUUUGAAAUUCUUAAUUGAUUUUUUAAUCCUUAUAUAAUUAUAUAUUAUUAUAGGCUGCAAUGUCAGAUUCUAUAAUUGAAGAAUAGUGUUUUCAUAUUCGAGUUACCUUUUGUUUUUUACUCUUUUUCUAUAAUUAUUUUUGUUUAUAGUUCAUAUUUAGAGAGAUAAAAUUUUUGGUAUUCUUCCUUAUUUAAUAUACUUAUUUUUAUAUAUAAAUUUUUAUGUUCGCUUCAAAAUAUAAAUUUUAAAAUUUAGCCCGGGGUAAUAUUAAGUUCUGAAUCCGCCCCUGGUCUUAUGGCAGCCUCAAUAACUGGGCUUGGGGGGUAACCGAAGUCAUUUUCAAAUAUUUAGUUAAAAAAAUCCCAUAUAUACCAAUUGCUUGAAGGUCCUCAAUAGCAUUAAAAAUUUAGUAGUGUGCUUUACUCUGAGAAAGCGACACAAUGAACCACAAAAUUCCACCAUAUUUUAUGAUUUAAAAUCAGGAUAUAAGUCAUGCAAAUGUGCAUUGAGCUUGAUGAAUUAGGAGCAGAGAACGACGUAAUAGAACAGCAUGAACCCACCGCCAGUUAAAAAUAUAAUUAAUUGUGUGGGACUGUAAUUAUAUGGAGUACAUCCUUUGAUCUUCAUUGACCAACUAUUUCACGUACACAGUCCCUUUUCAGUGCACCGUGCCCAUUUGAUUUUAUUGAGAACCUUGCCCCUGUCCGUGUGUGCGCGAGUGCACGCAUGCGCGUAUGUGCAUGUGCGUUUGUGCCUGCGUGUAUGUGUGGGGCUCAACGAUGAGAGUUAAAAAAAAAAUUUACUUGGAAGCAGGCUGUGAAAGAGCUUGAUAUCCUUGGUAUUGCUAUCGUUGAGAGUGAAGGGUUCGGUGGUCAGAAUCUCGCAAAACAAUAACCCAUCAAGGGUUGCCAAGGGUAUUACUGGCAUAGACGCAUCAAUGCUUAAGUCAAAGACUGAGAGUAGCACGAUAACAAAUAAAUAAUAAAAGAAAGAAAAGAGAGUAAGCGAAAACCCUUGAAGGAAAAAGAAAACCCUUGAAGGAUUUGCACCCCUCCUCCAAUAUGCUUAUUUCUCAUGCAUUUCUUCGUGUUGUAUUGUAUAUCUUUAAGUAGUCACCUCUGCAUAUAAAAGAAAUAAUCAGAAGUAUAAUUGAGUUAGGAAAGCUUAUCUAUUAUCUUGUAAAUUUCGAGUUUGAUAAGGAUUAGAACUUGUAUUACUUUAUCUUAUUUAUAUUAGGACAUAUUAUUGGAUGUGGGUCUUCAAACUUGAGUUUGGUAAGAAUAUGGGCAUAACAGGAGCCCUCAGUUUAUAAUAUUCACAAGUUUACGAGUGAAUGCUAGAAAUUGAUAUAGUUUAUAGUAUGUUAAAUUUUUUUAUUAUCACUCAUUGAAUGUUGUGAGGACAUAUCGAGUGUCAUGAGCGAAUCUUCAAUGACGUGAGAAGAAAACAAAUGACAUGAGAAAUCUCGAAUGUCAUGAGGACAACUUGAAUAGUAUGAAAACAAUAUAAACGACAUGUGAAAAUCUCAAAUAUCAUGAGGAUAACUCAAAUGACAUGAGGAGAUCUAAAAUGUCAUGAUAUAGGCCAUGAAAUUAAGAUAAUGUCUCGUCAAGGGCCAUUAAAGUAAGAUAAUGCUGCAAUAUGAUUUUCUAAUUAGUUAAAGCAAGUUAGUUUAAGUUAAGGAUCCACAAGUGAAUCGCUUCACUAGUUGAUACAAUAAUAAUAAGCUUAUAAGAGUAAUUUUCAAUCAUUUUGACUAGUUUAAACCGCUCUCGGCAAAAGCUUUAUUGAUCUAGGGUAGGCAAAAAAACAUGGGCCAACCCAAACCUAUCCCUACUGCCUUAAGCUGCGGGCUUUUAGCCUAGUCCUCCACAUGAGGGCUUAAACAAGGGCUUAAGAAAAAAAAAAAAAAAACUAAGGCCAAGUCCAACCCUUUAUUUUUAAAAAAAUAAAUUUAUAAAUUAGAAUAAUAAAUUAAAAUUUAAAAAGAAAAAAAGAAAGUUAGUUUUUAACUGUCUUAAACCACACGGUUUUAUACUUUAUUAAAAAACUAAUUCUUUUAAACUGCACAGUUUAAAAGUGUGUCCGCAUUAAAAAAAUAUGGACAUCCGCACCUGGGAAUGAUUAUAUAUAUAUUUCUAUUAGAAAUAUUCCAAUCCAAAAUUUUAAAGUGCAGAAACAUCUAGAAAAACGCAUAAACUGUGCAGUUUAAGCCCUUUAAGUUUUAAAUCUUUAAAGCCCCGUGAUUUUAAAGAUUUCCUGAACUUUUCCCUUACUUUAAGAUCCCUGACUAUAUAUACAUACAUACAUAUAACUUUGGUAAUAAUGAGAAUCUAUAUAUGUACAUGAUGAAUCUGUAAGCCCUUAAUGAGAAUAUAUAUGUGUUUUAUUUAUUUAUUUAUUAAUAACAUUUCUAUUUUGUUAAAAUGAAGAUAUACUCAUUAACGAGUUAUUCUAUAUUCAUAUAUGAUCUGUGUAAAACUUAGUUGAUUGUGCAAAUUAUUAGUUUUUGGAAUUUCAAACAAACCACAAGUACUUUAGUAUUUACUCUGCUAAUGAUUGGCCUAGGAAAAUAUAUCGCUUUCCUUCAAAAUAUAAGGAAAAAAAUCUACAGAGACAUAGAAAAUUAUAAAAAUAUACAGAUUGAAAACAAGCUUCGGAUUAUAUUGAACUGGAAGUCAUGUAACGCCUUUUGUAAACCUUUCAUACCGCGUUUCUAAAGUUUUUGUAAAUCAGCAAUCUAAUGAUGCUAUAAAUCAAUAAUAAUGUAUUUGUUUUGUGAAUGAAAAGAGGGAGCACAAUUAAAUGUUUCGUCCACAAAAACUGGGCUCCUCUCGGUGUUAAACAAGGAAAAGCAGCAGGAAAUCUCCUCGAAGUAAGUCUAGCUCGUGCUCACUAGAAGAUUUUCUUUAAGUUAUGAAGAUUUGGACAGACAACUUGUGGAGGAAGGUGCAAGCAGGGAUUCCGCGAGCAGAUAUUCAUCUAAGUCAACCUGAAGAAUUGACUUGAUCAGAGUCAACUAGCAAAUUUUCUCCAAAAAAUAAGGGUUUGAGCUCUAUCCUCUCAACGGUUAAUAUUUAUAAAAGCUUCCAAAAAUUUGAACCAAGUAAGUGAUCGUUUCUCUCGCUACUUCAAAACUCUAUUUGAGAAAAUAGCAUUGGGAGUUCAUUCUUUCUUUCUUCCUUUCAUUUUUAAAGCCUUUCAAUUACACUAGUUAUAAUCAAUACUCAAUAACUUAAUACACAUUAAUCCAUGAAAUCCAAAGAACUGACUUAAGUAUCAAAGGGUUUAACAUCGAAAAAAUCCUCAGUUUUCCCCUAAUCGUUUAUUUUGAACACAUUUAUUUUUCUAGGAAGUACUCGUGAUCACUUGUGUUUGUUCAAGUGAGUAGAAAGUUUAUAUUCAAAAUCAUCUAUCCCACUAUUAUAAAUUUUAAGUAUUGAUGUUGGCGUCUAGUUAUUGCUCAACACGAUCAUAUUUUAGCAUCGAUAAUAUUGAUUUCAAAUAUAGUAUUGUUUUUAAAUUAUUUAUAAUAUAAUUCAAAGUCUUUACUAAUAAUUUAAUAAAUACUUAAUUUUAGGGAUCCUAAUAUUCACUUGAGUUAAUUGAUAUAUCAUAUAUCAUAGUAGAAUAAUAUUAUAUAAUAAUUAUAGAUUUAUCAUGCAAUAAAUGAGUAGAAAAUAUAAAAUAAAUUAAUUUAUAAUUCUCCCAACCUUAAUCACAUCUUACAAAGCCCUGAUAUCCUCUAAUUUUUUACAAUUUAUUUUAAUUACAUAGAAGUGAUGAGUAGAAAACAAAAAAAAAUGAAUUGAUAAUGAAUACAAAUAAUUUGUUAGAAAAAUUCUCAAACGAUUUUAAUUCUUAUUUGUUUUUAAAUAUAAUUUUAUUUAAAGUGGAAUUUUAUAAGAAUAAUGAAGGUCACCAAUAGCUUCAGUCUUUGGGUUAUUAAAUUUGGAUAUAUAUAUAUAUAAUAUUAAUUGUCAUGUAGUAACUUACCAUCGCACCCAUUACGAACCUUUUUUAAAAGAUAUGAUUUCUAGGUUCCAACUUUCAAUGAAAUGACCACAUACGAUGUAUAAUGCUAAACACUUGUUGACUUAUUUAAUUUUUUAAGUGAAUUUCUUUUCUAAAUAAAAAAAAGACUUGACGGGGAGGAGAGGCUGUCAUAUAUUAUUUGUCAUCUCGAUGACAGACGAGCUAUAGACAGAGCAAAGUAAGUUUUAUAUAUUGUCACGAGUCAUUGACCACAAGAAGCUGAUUCCUGGCUGCUUUUUGUUUAUUGUUAUUGUAGCAUGUGAAGAAUUUUUAACAAAAUAAAAUCAACAAUAAUCGAUUUUAUUUUUGAAUUUGCUUCUUUAUCUUCUUCAUCCAGGUCACUGUGUAAAAAUCAAUGAUGAAAAUGUUCAAUUUCUUGAAUUAUAUGAUCUAAUUUUGUUCGAUAUUUUAUUUCCCAAUAAACAUAAUAGGUUCACAACCUUUCCGGUAAGCAUAUGGUUCGACCAGCAACUGAAAAAAAUAAUAAAUAAUCAAAUUUUAAAUAAAGAAACACUUCAAAAAAAUAGAAUAGAAGAAAUACAUAAAUUUUUGUCAUUGAACUCUUUCAAACACUUCCUCCUUCCUUGAUAAAACAAGUAUUUAUCAUUUUUAUGUGUAAGGUUAAUUUGAAUAAAGAAUAUGAAUUUACAAUUUCAAGGAAAUAAAUUAAAGUUGAAUGAGUACCCAAAAAAAAAAAAAUAGAAACUCAUUUAUCUACAUUCUAGUAUCUAUAAUAAUUAUUUUGAGGGAUAUUUUAAUAAUUAAAAAAUUAAAUUUGGUGGAUAAUUUAGUGGGUCUAAAUGCCCCACCCUUUUCUUUUAGGGGUAUAUUCAGUUGAACCCACACCGAAGCUUCAGUACUCCAGCUUGGUAGAAAUUGCUUAUAGCAAGUCAAUUCAAAUUCAAUAAAAGACAAAUGACGUAACCGUGUUGGUUCCGCGUGUUGACUGUUGAGUUAUUCCUCACUUUCCCGUGUGGACUUCCACGCGCAUUUUGCGCAACAUACCCCCAUCUAAGUAGGGAAGCAGGGAUGGCAAUGGGGAGGAUAGGGGGAAGGGGAUGAAAGGGGACCAAUCUUUUCGUAUUUAUCUUCGAUAUUUUGCGUAUGUAUUCGUUUCCUCUCCGUUCCCGUCAGAAUUACUUGAGAGAAUUCUCAUCCCCUCCCUGAAUAAUAACAGGGGAUCUCCGAGGGUCCCCGAUACCUGAAUAACUAAUGCAUUUUUUUAUUUUUAAUUUUGAGUUAAUCAUAUUAAAAUAAAAAAUUUCAAAUAAAAGUAAAGUUCGAAAUAUAUCUUACAUUAAUAUCCAUUACAAAAGUCACAUACAUUAAAUUAGUAAGUAACGCAGCAUGCAAGGGAUAUAAACUUUUUUUACAAACUAUCAUGAACAAAUUAAUAGUUUAAUACAAAAUUGUUACAAAUAAAAUCGAAUUUAGAUUCAAAAUUAACUUUUUCAAUGGUGGCGUGGGUACUUUAUAAAUGUGGACUAUUCCCUUUACAACACAAUAGUUAAAUCAGAGCAAAUCAAGAGCAAAUAUUAAAUUAGAUUAAAUUAGAUAUUAAAAUUGUGAUUCGCUGUGGGCAAUUAUAACAUCUAAAAAUAAAUAAAAAUAGAUUUAAGUUUAAAAUAUUUAAAGAAUGUUAAAAUAAAAAAAAAAUUGGGCUAAUAGAAUUUACUCGGUCUUUUUAAUGUUCGAAAUAAAAAUUUAGGACUUUAAUUAGUUAAUUAGGCCUAAACGUUUAAUAAUAUAAAUAUUUUGAUAUUUUUACCAAUAUUUAUAAUUUUAUAAUUUAAAUUUUAUUAUUUAUUUAUUAGUAAUUUUUUAAAAAAUUAAAAUAAAAUUAAAAAUUAAAAUGGGGAAAUGGGUAGGGGAUGGGGAUUCCACCUCAUCCCUGUUCCCUCCCCGAAUAAGAAAUUGGGUAAAAAAAUUUCUCCGUCCCUUCCCCGAGUAAAAAAUUGGGUAUGAAAUUAUCCUCAUACCCUCCCCGAAUGUGAAAAAUUCCCGAAGGUACCCGUUCCCGUAAGGAUUUUUGCCAUCCCUACAUCUAAGUCAGUCAAGUCUUCUCUUUUUGUUAAUGUGGCAUAUUUUCUAUAUCAAGCCGUUCAUUUUGCAUAAGAAAAAUAGCAAUAACAGCUCAAUUAUUGGCUGUUCCUUCUAUAAGCAUUUUCUAACACAUAAUUGAGAAAGUCUAUAAAAUUUUAAAGAGUUCCAGGCAAGUGUAUUUUAGUCAAUCACAAUUACUUGUUUGCUAAUUCCCUGCAUUUAAAUAAGGAAGAAGCAGCCACCACACCGAUCGAUCGAUCGACCGAGAAAAAGAUGCCAAAGUUCACUCUCGGUAAUUCCUUUCGUUUUGGCAGCAAAAGAGAAACCGUCUCUAACUUUCAUUCCGAAAAUAUUGAGACGAUACUAAAAAAGUUGACUAAAGAUUGGCUUGAGCAGUUUGCUCGAGAUGCGCAGAUCCACGCCUAUCUGAUUGGGUGGAAGAAGAUGAUGACGAAGAUUAAUAAGGUGCUAGAUGAUGCUAUCCAGAAGCAGACGAAGGAGGAGUCAGUGAAGAUAUGGCUUGGCAAACUUCAGCACUUGGCUUGUGAUGUUGAUUACUUGUUGGAUGAGUUUCAAACGGAAACUUUCCAGAGGAUGUUGCUGCAAGAUGGUGUUGAUGAUGCAGUGCAUAAGUCCGAGGAUUCUACGGCCACGUCUAAACUAAAGGAGGUCAACGCUAGAUUGCAAGACAUUGCAUGGCAAACAAACCUCCUAGGUUUGAAAGAAAGUUCCGGUGGGAAGUCUAGAAAUGUCGGGCAAAGAUUUCCCAUGACCCCUUCGGUGAGUGAAGCUACCUUAUAAAUAUUGAUAUUCAAACAGAAAAAUUUUACAGCAAACUGACAGAAAUAGUGAUAAAUCGGUAUCAAUUUACUCACUUAAUUAAAAAUUAAGACAAUAGAUACUGAUUUGUCACUGUUUUUAUCAAUAUCUCGAUCUCUUUAGUAAUUUUUCGCCAAUGUAAACGGCAGGGAAAAAGAUAAAGAAGAGAUAUUGAAUCGCGCAUGCUACAAAAAUAAAGACUAAAUACUAAUGCUAAUUCAAAAUGUUUUCUUUUGUUUUGAAGCUAAUCUUAGCGGCAGUAAGAGGUGGAAGUCGAGAUCGUGGUCCUACGAUCUUUAGUCCAUUAGUCGAGAAAGAGGACUUGGCUUUUUUGAAAAAAGAAGAUUGUUUUGAUUCUUUGAAGGAAAUAGGUUCAGGUGGGUGGGGAGAAGUUUACAAAGCCGAGCUACCAGGAAGCAAUGGAAAGAUGAUUGCUAUUAGGAAGUUUAUUAUUGAUGCUCCAAUGAGCGCAGCAGAGUUGAUUAAACAAGAUAUCGAUGAACCUAUUUUCCUACGGCACUGGAAAAUUGGGGCAAUUCGGUCUGAGAUUAUCACUGCGAGUCAAACUAGGCACAGGAAUAUUCUUCCUCUGCUGGCUCAUAUGGUCCGGCCUAACUGCCAUUUACUUGUCUACGAAUUCAUGAAGAAUGGAAGCUUACAAGACAUUCUAUAUGAUGUCUCACAAGGAAGAAGAGAAUUAGAUUGGCCAUCUAGACACAGGAUUGCGCGAGGAAUAGCUUCUGGGCUUGAGUCUCUGCAUAUGUGCCAUAGGCCUCGUAUUAUCCAUAGAGAUAUCAAGCCAGCGAACGUGCUUAUAGACGAUGACAUGGAAGCCAGGAUUUCUGAUUUUGGUCUUGGAAAGCUAAUGCCUGAUGGUCAUGCACAAAUCACAGUUACGUGUAUGGUAGGAACGGUGGGAUACAUGGCGCCCGAGUAUCUCCAGACGGAAACAAUUUCUGAAAAGUAUGAUAUAUACAGCUUUGGGGUGUUGCUAGCUGUUUUAGUGAUGGGAAAAUUUCCAGUCGAUGACUUCUUCAGGAUUACAGAGGAGAAGGAUAUGGUUAGAUGGAUGAGAAAUGUCAUCUUCUCUGAGAAUCCUAACAGGGCUAUCGAUUCAAAGCUACUCGGCAAUGGGUAUGAGGAGCAAAUGCUUCUUGUUUUGAAGCUCGCUUGCUUUUGCACUUUGGAAGAUCCAGAUGAGAGACCUAACAGCAAGGAUGUUAGGUCCAUGUUGUCAGAUACAGAAUUAAUUAAGGAUUUUAUGAAAAAGCACAAGAGAAUGGAUUUUGACAGUGAUGAUUAUGAUGAACUCAUCCAACAAGAAAUCUAUACAGAGUGGCUCAGCUCAUUGGACAGUUAUAAUCCCCUCUGAGUUUUUACUUCAAAUAAUCUAUACAGAGCGGCUCAGCUCAUUGUACAAAGUAGAAACCAUUUCUGAAAUGUGGCAUAUUUUCUAUAUGCCAGCAAUCAUAUGUUUCUGGCAACACAUCAAGCCUUUCAUUUUGCAUAAGAAAAAUAGCAAGAACAACUCGCUAUCGGUACGUAGUCCCUUCCAUAAGCAUAUUCCAACACUUAUUGUGAGAAAAGGGAAAGUUCCAGGCAAGUACGUUUUAUUUUUUUAAAAAAAUGUUCCUUUAAAAAGCAACUAACCGUGUUUUACAUUUCGAUUCCGACUGUGUCUCCAUAUUUUAUUUACAAACCAGUUCAAAAGAGCUGUCAAAAUUUCAGAAUCAUGAAAAAAAAAAAAAAAUAUAUAUAUAUAUAUAUAUCGUCUGGCGAGUGGAAACACUAAAAGGCCUUUCAACCCGCACAUUAUAAAAAGUAAAUCAAAGCAUAAGCACGGAAGGCUAGAAUGUUGGAAACCAUGUUUAAGUUGGGAUAAAGGAGAUCAGAGACAUCAAAAGCGGGCCUUGAAAUUUAAAAGCAGAAAAGUAUCUCACAGGGAGUGGGACAUUAUGUUUUGAAUGUUGCAGCUAGAGGAUUCAUAUAGAGCAAAGUUCACUACGGAGGCGUGACAGCAGCCCAACAAAGAGGAAAUGUAAAAUGAUGGCCAGGAAAAAACUAUUAGCAGACGGGGAGCAAGAGAGGUUAUGUUAAUGCCUUAAUGGACUUUUGAUGCAGAGCAAGAAAUUGAAGAAAUCCUAAUUAUAUUUAAAUGUAUAAUAUUUAGGAAUAUUUUAAUUAAUUUGUAUUCUAGUUUAAUUUGGUUUCCUAUUUAGAGUCUUAUUGUUUAGGUAUUGCUUAUUUGGGUAAUAUUUCUAAUUUAGGCAUAAGUCUUAUUAAAAUAGGUUUUCUAAUCAUAUUAGGAUAAGUCUUACUUAGUAUAAAUAAGUGUCUUUUGUAGCUUUUACAAGCAGAGAAUUUUGAGUUCAAUAAUAUUUCAAUUUUCAAAUCUCUUUGUGAGUAUUUGAAUAGUUAAUUCUCGGUAUUCUGAAUCAACGAGUCUUAACCCCUAAGUUCGCGGUAUUCUUUUGAAUCAACGUGAAUUUAGUUGUUCUUUUAUUCCGGUAUUCUCUAGAAUCAACGGAAUAUUUUGAACAUUAAACUUCCGCUGCAUCAACUUUGGAAAACCAAAUGCACUCUAUUGUUAGACAUACAAACCUAAUUCUCUUAAAAUGGCUAAUAAAUGCGGAAUACUCCAAAGCUAGAUUUUUUCCCACACUGUAGCUUAAAGGACUGCAAGUUGGGAAGCAACAGUUCCUUUAAUUUACUGGAGAAGUAUUGCCAUAUUUUAUCCAAAAAAAUGCAACUCUAGUGUGAUUAAUAAUAUUUGUCCUUCUCUUCAAAAAAAAAAAAACAUGAAGUAGAGGUCUAGCAGCACCCUGUUCAAAUCAAACAAGUUAUGGGCUUAUGGGCUUAUGGCUCAGUGAGGAAAACGGAAAGCCGAUGUCAUUUUCAAAUACAUAGAAAAAGAAAGUUGGUCUCAUACCAAAUUUUUUUUUUUUUACUAAUAAAUUACAAUCAGGACUCCAAGGAUGUUUACAAUCAGAAAUCAAUUGUGACUCUUUUUCAUAAUUCUAGUAGUCUCAUACCAAAUAUUUGAAAGUCCUCAACAACAUUAAAAAUGUAGUAGUGUGUUUUACUCGGAAAAAAGCCACACAAUGAACCAUGAAACCCCACCAUACUCUAUGAUUUUAAUAUCAUGAUCAUUAUAGUAUUGCAACAUAAGUCAAACAAAAAUAUAUUUAGGUAGUGUCUACUUCACGGAUUAAAGAAUUGAAAUUCGAAAUCAAAAUAAUUGACUGCAUUUUCUUCUCAAAAUAGAGGCAGGAAUCGAAAUCGAAAUCCUUGGCCCACUCAAAUUUAGAAAUGGGGAAUGGGAGAUUGAUUCCCAAGCCCCUGAGGAUUUGACCCGAGUAAAUGAUCUUUUCUCUUGCUACCUCAAAACUCCCUUUGAGAAAAUAGCAUUAGGAGUUCAUUCUUUCUUUGUUGUUUUCAUUUUUAAAGCUUUUUAACUAAACUAGCUAUAAUCAAGGCUCAAUGACUUAAUACACAUUAAUCCAUUAAACCCAAACAACUUACUUGAGCAUCGAAGGAUUUAACACUGAAAAAAUUCUCAACUUUCUCUUAAUCGUUUAUUGUGAACGUAGAUAUUUUUAUGGGAAGUACUUGUGAUCGCUUGUGUUUGCUCGAGUGAGUAGAAAGUUUAUGGUCAAGAUCAUAUGUCCCACCAUUAUAAAUUUUAAGUGUUGACGUUGGCGUCUAAUUAUUGCUCAACACGAUCAUAUUUCAACAUCAACAGUAUUGAUUUCAAAUAUAGUAUUUUUUUAUAUUUUUUAUAAUAUAAUAAAAAAUCUUUACUAAUAAUUUAAUAAAUAUUUAAUUUUAGGGAUCCUAAUAUCUACUUGAGUUAAUUGAUGUAUCAUUCAUCAAUUAGAUAGUAGAAUAAUAUUAUAUAAUAAUUAUGCAUUUAUCAUCCAAUAAAUGAGUAGAAAAUAUAUUUUAAAAAAAUAGUUGUUAGCCAAAUCUCUACCCGAUAAGCCAUGAUUUCGUGGUAUCUUAUAAAUCUUAAAGAUUAGGGGUUGCACCCUAGAUGGCUCUUCCCCUAGGCAACUUAGGCAAUUGCCUAGGGCCCACUAUAGAUGAAGUCCCUUAAAUUUAUUCCUAAAUUAUAGUUAUUAAUUAUUGAUUUAUAUUUAUUAUUAUUUUAUAAUUAUAUUUUCCAUAAACAAAGUAUUAAAUCCUUAUAAAGUCUCCUUUUAAUAUUAUAAUUAACAAUUUUAACGCCAUUUAUUUCCUUAAUAUAUUUCAUCUAAAACUCUAUAAAGGCCACAUAUUUUUUAAAUUAUUAUCAUUAAUAUCUUUUUCCAAUUAUAAAAAGUACAUGAAACCUUCAUUGCUUUAGUGAAAAAAACUACUUUCUCUACCCUACUUUUCACUUAAGAAAAAAAAAAUCAAUUGUUUUACUUUCCAUUGAUCACUGCUACUCAAAGUCUCAAUCCAUUAAAGUUAAAGUUUUCAAAUUUCUAGAUUCUAUUUGUCCAUUCUCUUAUUAGUUAAUUAUGCUAUUUAGUUGUUUUUGUUUCUUUUUAAAAAUAUUAUUGUGUUUAUAGGUUGUUUUCCUGUAAUUAUCUAGUAUAAUUGUUUGCUUAAUUAAACUUGUUUCACUAGAAAAAAAAAUGCUACUAAAAAUUAAAUGGAUUAGGGUACAAAAAACUUCAAAAACAAUAGAAGAAUAGUAAAGUUAGUUUAAUCUAAAAAAGAAGCCAUUGAUAAAAACAUAUUUAAGAUCAACUAUGUCAUAGGAAAGAUUAAACAAGUUGACUAUAUUGUCUAUUGAAAAAGAUCUAUUAAAAAAAUUAGAGUAUAAAAAUUUGAUUAAUAAUUUUACAUCUCAAGCUAGAGAAAUUAAUUUUAAAUAAAUAAAAUUAAUACAUACAUUUUACCUUAAACUUUUUGAAAGGUCUAAUUAAAACAAUUUGCUUAAGCCUUAAAAAAUUAUUAAGCCGCCCCUGGUUAGCACCCCUUCAACCAAUGCAUAGGGGGACUCCCCAUCCCCACCACGAACCAUUUGACCAGUGAAUUUUCAUCAAUUACCACUCUAUAAACAAGCGUAAAGGCAAGGGCGGCGCUGCUACAUAUAAAUCUCAGUCAAAUAGAGGAACGUUAUUCAUAUGAUGUACCCCACCCCACAUGUUUGAACCCUUAGAUCUGGAUAUAAAGGCAAGGGCGACGCCACUUAAAUGCAUAAAUCUCAAUCAAAUGGAGAUGCAUUAAGAGUUCCGAAUAGAUAUUUAUUUUUCCCAUCAUAUACCCCACGUACGUUUUAAACCCUUGAUCUAGAAAGUCCUUCCUACAAACACCACAUAUUUCAUAGAGAUCACCAUAGGGUUCCGGAAUAGUUGAAUUGGCACCGUAUAAUACCGUGCCGAUCAAUUAAGUCUUAAAUUUCCAUUUUUUUCUCCUCUCUCGACAACCCUAAUCACAUCUUACAAAGCUUUGUCAUCCUCUAAUUUUUUGCAAUUUAUUUUAGCUAUAUAGAAGUGAUGCGUAAAAAACAAUGAAUUGAUAAUGAAUAUAAAUAAUUUAUUAAAAAAAUUAUCAAGUGUGUUUAAUUCUUAUUUAUCUUUAAAUAUAAUUUUAUAAAAAUAAUGAAGGCGCACCAAUAGCUUCAGUCUUUGGAUUAUUAAAUUUGGAUACUUUUUUUUUUAAUUGUCGUGUCGUAAGUUACCAUCCCACGCAUUACGAACCUUUUUUAAAAGAUAUGAUUUCUAGGUUCUAACUUCCAAUGAAAUGACCACAUACGAUGUAUAAUGUUGAACACUUGUUGACUUAUUUAAUUUUUUAAGUGAAUUUCUUUUCUAAAAAAAAAAAAAAACUUGACGGGGAGGAGAGGCUGUCAUAUAUUAUUUGUCAUCUCGAUGACUGACAAGCUAUAGACACAAACUUGGUUGUGGGUCUCACACGGGACCACAGCCAAGCACUAUUCAUGUGAGGGCUGUUACUUACAGUAAGGUAGUCCUCUCUUCUUCUCUUUAAUUUUUGCAUUUCGAACUUUGAUCAUUUCAGAAACAUAUCUUGUUGACUUUUGUGUUUUUAGUUAUAUUUUGUAUUACAUUUUCUGUUAUAUUGAGCUUUGAAUUUUUUUAAUUUGUAUCUAAUAAAAUCAAUAAAAUAUCUCUAAAUUUAGUUGUUCUGUAAUUAUUCUUAAAUGAAUUGUGAACUUCUUUUGAAAAUUAAUUUUGUAAUUAGAAUGCAUUAUUUAUAUAUUGAUUCAAGUCCAUUAAAAAUAUUUACGUAUUUAUUAGAAUUUCCUUUUUUUGGGGUUAAACUUGACAAAUCGAAUAGUACAAAGAGACGAAAGCCAUUUCGUGUAGUUAACUAUUAUUGAUUGCAUGUAGGUUAGAUAUAUGAUACGUAGUACCCUUUGUUGACCUCAUUACCAUAAAAUGUCGGCUGAUUUAAUAAGAAAAAAUAAUAAAUUAAAAAAAGAAUAAUAUUGUCGAAUGUAAAGGUUAGUUUUGAUAUAUUCAACAUGAUAUGUUGGGUUUAUUUGCACAAUCAUGCAAAAUAUAACUAAAAUGCACUAAAAAUACAUCAUUCACUCUCUAAGUAAUCUUAAUUAAAACUCAAAAGUGUCAUGAUAACUCUUAUUUCAUAGAUUUAUCAGCCAACCCAGCCAACCAAUAAGGAAUUUAAACAUUUGCUUGCCAAUUAAAAAGCCAUUGACAAGCAAAUGAGUAAGAUCUCAAUAAAGAAUGACGAGGAAGUACUUUUUAUUAAUAAGAAGAUACAUCUAUUUAGACGACAUAGUGAUAGAGGAUUUAAAGGAGAUGUUCCACCACUACGUCAUCUGAAUCGAUGUCUCUUCUUAUCAGUUAAGAGUGUCUUCUAGUCAUUCUUUAUUGAUGCCCCACUCAUUUGCUUGUAAAUCUCUUUUGAUCCGCAAGCAAAUUUGUAAAUUCGUCAAUGGUUGGUUGGAAACCUUGAACAGGUAUAACAAAGCUUUUAAAUUCAAGUCUCGAACCAUAGUCAAUAAUUUUUUUCAUUCUAGAUUUAGAAAUUACAGCAGUAGUACUAACCCAAAAAUUUCACGGUAUAAAAGGCUUUACCCUGUUGAAUUACUUGUCUAUUGUCAUGUUUUGUUGUGAAAUUAAUAGUAACUCAUUCUCCAGAAGUUGUAACUGCGUGUUAUUCUUCUUUAAAAAAAUAGUUGCAAACGUGUCAUGAGUUUUAGCCUUUCUUUUGUGUUGUAACAUCUCUUCUUCAAUUACACUAUUGAUAAUCAAUAUGGCCUUCUCAGCUUUAAUGUUCUACUUUUUCAAAGUGGCAUCCUCAGUUGGUGAUUUUACUUCGUUAUCGCAAACGUUCUCCUAGAGGUCCUGGCCUUGUAAGUAGGACUCUAUCAAUGUUGCUGAUGUAUUGUAAUUUUUGUUAUUGAGUUCCUUAACUCUUCCAACUAUUUGAAGGUUAUCGAUCGUGUUUGUAAAACUUUGACAAUGCCAACCAAGCUCGAUCUUCACAAAUGAACUUGCAUAAUUUCGAACUACUCAUAAUUCAACGAAGCCCCAUCGAGGAUCGUCCUUGCUGUACUCUCGUAGCUUCUCCACGAAAGUCUUUGACUAUUGUGAAAUUCCGACAACAUUGCUACAGUGGUCUCCGACCAACCACACUCUAAUAUUAAUUGUUGAAAACUGUGGAAGACUAAACUGCACGAAAAUAAAACUAUUUGGGAAAUUUUAUAAUCUCGUUAAUCUAAAUGACUUUAUUAAUAUUUUCCAAGAGAGAUACUACAACACUCAUGAUUUACUUUUCUUUCUCUCUUUUAAUUCUUCACUCUCACUUCAUACUUAAGCAAAUAAUACAAGGGAGUAUUUAUAGUACAUAAAAACAAAUAUAAACCAUUCAAAUAAAAAAUUACAAAAAAUUAAUAAUCAUACAUUUCAUCUGCCAUACUUAUCACCAAUAAUAUCACCUACCACUAAAUUUUUUUUUUAAUGCUCAUAAAACCUUUUCUGAGUUAGGCUUAUUAAGCUGGGCUUUGGAAGAUGGUGAUGGGCUUAUUUUAACAUCUCACUUAAUAAACUCAGAACUCAACAAUUCCCGAUGUUCUGAUCUUGUCCAAGAAACUUCAUAUUCUGCCAACGAUUUCCAAUCUUCAAAUAAAAAUUGAAAAUCUCAAGGCCUAUGGCGAACAUAAUUGGCAUAGGUGGAAGGCAAUCUUGAAACAAGAUUAAUUCAACAAUCCUUCGACAUCUAUCUCUGAUGUUGCAGCAAUUAUUCUCCUUGAACUCACUGCCAUACAAGCAAUUUGUUCUAUUGUCGAAUUAUGGGGCUCGUAAAAUGGUUUGUUGGAUUUUCAUGUUUCAAGUGGGUAAUGUAUGUUUAUUAUAUCCACCGUAUUAUGUAAUCAUUUUUUUGCUUUAUGCUAUAUAUCAACAAUUUGUAAAGACUUUUGUAAAUACCUUGCGAAUGAAGCUCUCAAACGAAGAAGAAUGAUCAAAUUCAAUUAAUUUUUUUCUUUAUAUCUUCGUGAGAAAGAGAGAGAGAAAAAUGAAAACAAAGAAAUUGUAAAAAAAAUGCCGAGAAUCAAAAGAUAAUGAUUCAAUAUUGAGCACUGAAUCAACAAUUAGUAGAUAAGAGAAAUAACACACAACCAUUACAAGAACAAAAAAAGAAUUUUACUACUAGACAAAAAAAAUUUGUGUCUUCGUAGGAAAUUUUGUGCUAUUGUCGAUACAUACAGCAUUAUUCGAAACAUAUAUGCAGGUAAUGUUGCAUAAUUAUACACCACUCAUGCAACAUUACGUAUUGAGCAAUCUACCGCUUUUUAAUAUUAAAAUAAACAAGGCCUACGAAGAAGACUUUGAUUUUACCAUAGAAAAAUCUCAACGAAAGCGAGGGCCCACAAAAUUAAUAUUGAUAAAAUAAUAAUAUAGAACUGAUCUGAACAGAGAAAGCAUGCAUAUUAAACAACAAAAGGAGGACAGCCAGUAGGGAUGGCAAUGGGGAGGGGAGGGGAGGGGACCAAUCUCCCCAUACCCAUCCCCGAUAUUUUACAUAUGUCCCCGUCCCCUCCCCGUCCCCGUCAGAAUUGCUUGAGAGAAUCCCCAUCCCCUCCCCGAAUAAUAACAGGGGAUUCCCGAGGGUCCCCGGUCCCCGAAUAACUAAUAGUCUAAUACAUUUUUUUUUAUUUUCGAUUUUAAAUUAAUCAUAUUAAAAUAAACUCAUACCGCUAUUGUAAGCUCGUAACCAACUUUGACAGCACAUUAAGGCCUCCAAUGUGCUUGGAUGAAGUCUGUUAUGGUAUGGGCUCACAACUCUACCACUAGUGUUAAAAGCUGAUUCAUAAGCAACUGUUGUAAUUGGAAUUGCCAAAAUAUCUCUAGCAAUUCGAGCUAAUGUAGGAUACCUAUUAGCAUUUGUCUUCCACCAACUCAAAAUAUUAAAAUCUUCCAUCCGAGGUAUAACUUUCUCAUCCAAAUAUGAAUCUAAUUCAUCUGCAACAACUGCACAAUCUCCAUUGUUUACAUAAUCAUCAAAACCUAUCAUCCAUUUGGUUGCUUUCUUAUAAGAAUCCCCUGUAGAUCUAGUAGAAGAACUACUACCAGUAUAAUCAAAGCAAUAAACAGUUGGUGAAAACUUCAAUUAAUACUCUUCAACUAAUUCCCGGCAAAAGGUGACCACUUUCCCAACAUACAACUAUUUUGAUAUUUAUUAUUUUUAACAAUAUUUAUAAUUUUGUUAUUUAUUUAUUAGUAAUUUUAAAAAUAAAAAUAAAAUUAAAAAUUAAAAUGGGGAAAUGGGUAGGGGAUGGGGAUUCCACCUCAUCCCCGUCCCCUCCCCGAAUAAAAAAUUGGGUAAAAAAUUUUCCCCGUCCCCUCCCCGAAAAAAAAAUUGGGUAUAAAAUUAUCCCCGUACCCUCCCCGAAUGGGGAAAAUCCCCGAGGGUACCCGUCCCCGUGGGGAUUUUUGCCAUCCCUAACAGCCAGAUCCAACGGUGGCUGCAACAAAAACUCCUGUUUUAGGCACACAGGCCAUUCAUAUGCAAUACCAAGUUGGUCAAGUACUCAAGUUCUUGACUGGUCUCAAUUUCUUCACAAGCAAGAUCUGGUUCUCAUGAAUUUGCUUCCCCAUCUUCUUCAUCCAGGUCACUGUGCCUUGUUACUUUAUCAUUGCCCUUGUGUUUGUUUGAAAAAUAUUAUUCCACGUAUUUGUUUUAGGUUUGUUUGUAUUGCCAUCUAAUUUAGACCGAAAAUUUUGACAAAAAACUGUAUAUAUAUUUGAAGUUCUGCCAAGAAUAAACUAUGCACCAACAUUAAAAAUAAAAAAGGAUUUUUUUGUAAAAAUCUGUUUCUUAGAGGUUUUUAAACUUCGGUUUAUGUGACCACAAGAAGCUGAUUCUUGGCUGCUUUUUGUUUUUUUUUAUUGUACUUGAAUAGACUAAAAGCAUGUGAAGAAUUUUUAACAAAAUAAAAUCAACAAUAAUCGAUUUUAUUUUUGAAUUUGCUUCUUUAUCUCCUUCAUCCGGGUCACUGUAGAAAUCAAUAAUGAAAAUGUUCAAUUUCUUGCAAUAUAUGUUCUAAUGUUGUUCGAUAUUUUAUUUCCCGAUAAACAUAAUAUGGUCACAACGUUUCCGGCAAGCAUAUGGUUCGGCCAGCAACUGAAAAAAAUAAUUUAUAAUCAAAUUUUAAAUAAAGAAACACUUCAAAAAAUAGAAUAGAAGAAACACAUAAAUUUGUGUUUUCUUUGGUUUUUAAUAUUAAUGUGCUUAUAGUUUUAAAAAAAAGCAAAAUAGUCAAUGAUUUGACACAUAAUUUUAAAUUGUUUUAAAUUUUUAUAUUUUUAUCAAUUGAUUUAAUUUUAUUAUUAAAAAUUAAUGAUAGUAUAAGGACAAUAACUUGCAAAACCUUUUAAUACAUAUAAUCUUUUUUAUUUUUUUGAAAACAACAUAAAAUCUAUUCAAUCAAUAAUAAAUAAUUUAAAUAUAUGAUUAAAUUUUAACUUAAUAAUAAUAUGACUAAAUAACAAUUUAAAAAAUUCAAAAUAAUUAACUAUAGUUUAGUAUUCAAAUAUAAAUAAUAGAAAUAUACUCUAAAUGUAAAUAUUAGAAACAUAUUGGAUUUAUGUGUUAAAAUCUUAAAGCUUCUUUUUUUUUUUUUUACUUUUCAACAAAUAAGAGGGAUCUAAAGUAAUUUACCAAAAAUUAAGGGUACCAUGCCCUCGGGGCACCAUAGCUUCGUCCACAUUUCUAGUAUCUAUAAUAUUAUAAUAAUUUUGAAGGAUAUUUUAAUAAUUAAAAAAAUUAAAUUUGGUGGAUAAUUUAGUGGGUCUAAAUGCCCCACCCUUUUCUCUUAGGGGUAUAUUCAUCUGUGUACCUGCUACUAGCGCAAUGCAAUUCCCGAAAAGCUUGAGGACCUUUGAACAAAAUUUUUGUAGAUCCGCUGAUUCUAAAUACUAUUUUACAUUCCUUUUCACACAAACUUAAAGGAUAGAAAUGGCUUUUUCAAAGAUUCAACAUCAAACCCUAGAAUGGGAAAUAAGUCGGCCUAAAUUUGACAAAUUUGAUUUGAUCAAUCAAUCAAAAGACUUUAAACCCACUUUCAAAAUUGUAGGAUGAUACCGUACGGCAAUGCAAUUGUUAUUCAAAUUUCUUCCCUUCUUAAACGUUAACCUAACUGGUGGGCACGACUUAGAGAAUUCAUCAGUGCAUGACUACGGCCUGUGCCUGGCAUUUUCUUAUUUAAAAAUAAAAAAUAAAUAAAUAGAUAAAGAAAAAGUAUAUUGUUCAAACUUACGGCGCCCAAAGAAAGGGAAAAAAAAAGGAUAAAAUUAAUGAGAAUUAAAGAUAUUCUCCAAUAAGAUCCAUUUUUUCAUUCAAAAGGUUACAAGAAAAGUUGUGUUUUGUUCACAAGUUUAUAUUAAACAACAGGUUUUACAACGUGGCAUACACUAGAGUUUCAACACUGCAAGUGCAAUAUUUCUUUCCUUAAUUUUUCAAAAUAAACAUGCUUCUUGGUUGAAAGAAAUUGAGGGUUCAAUUUGAUUUUCUCAAUGAAUGAUGAAAGCUACAUACUGGUUGGCAGAUUGUUGUUUUAUAUCAAACUCAACGUAAUGGAAAAAGUAUGAUGAAUAUAAAUUAAUAUAUAGAUACAUAAAACAACGAAGAAAAGUACUAAACCCAAUCUCCCGAACAUGCAUGAAAAAAACUUCUAAAACCACCGACUUGUUAUAAUGUAAAAUAGUCAAUAGCUUACACUUCUAAUUUCAUUGGAUGUGAAAGUAAUGCCAAAUAGAUUUUUGCUUGGACAGUUGAACCCACACCGAAGCUUCAGUAAAUUGCAGUUCCACCAGCGGCCGGCUCAACUUAACUGAAAAAAAAUGAAAGAAAAAUGACAUAACCGUGUUGGUCCCACGUGUUGAGUUCGUGUGGACUUCCGUGCGCAUUUCGCGUAACAUACCCACAUGUAUGUAAGUCAGUCAAGUCUUCUUCUCUUUGUUAAUGUGGCAUAUUUUCUAUAUUUCAGCAUUCAUGUGUUUCUGGGAAGUGGGAACAUAUGAAGCCUUUCAUUUUGCACAAGAAAAAUAGGAAUAACAGCUCAAAUAUUGGCAGUUCCUUCUAUAAGCAUUUUCUAACACAUAAUUGAGAAAGUCUAUAAAAUUUAAAAGAGUUCCAGGCAAGUGUAUUUUAGUCAAUCACAAUGACUUGUUUGUUAAUUCCCUGCAUUUAAAUAAGGAAGAAGAAGCCACCAGACCGAUCGAUCGACCGAGAAAAAGAUGCCAAAGUUCACUCUCGGAAAUUCCUUUCGUUUUGGCAGCAAAAGGGAAACCGUCUGUAACUUUCAUUCCGAAAGUAUUGAGACGAUACUAAAAAAGUUGACUAAAGAUUGGCUUGAGCAGUUUGCUCGAGAUGCGUAGAUCCAGGCCGAUCUGAUUGGGUGGAAGAAGAUGAUGGUGGAGAUUAAUAAGGUGCUAGAUGAUGCCAUAGAGAAGCAGACGGAGGAGGAGUCAGUGAUGAUAUGGCUAGGCAAACUUCAGCACUUGGCUUGCGAUGUUGACUACUUGUUGGAUGAGUUCCAAACGGAAGCUUUCCAGACGAUGUUGCUGCAAGAUGCUGAUGCGAUGUCUAAAGUAAAGGAGGUCAAUGCUCGAUUGCAAGAUAUUGCAUGGCAAAUAAACGUACUAGGUUUGAAAGAAAUUUCCGGUGGGAAGUCCAGAAAUGUCAGGCUAAGAUUUCUCACAACCCCUUCGGUGAGUGAAGCUGGCUUAUAAGUAUUGAUAUUCAAACAGAAAAUUUUUACAUAAAACUGACAGAAACAGUGAUAAAUCGAUAUCAAUUUGCUCACUUAAUUAAAAAAUUAGGACAUUAGAUACUGAUUUGUCACUGUCUUUAUCAAUAUCUCGAUCUCCCUAGCAAUUUUUCACCAAUGCAAAUGGUAGAGAAAAUGAUAAAGAAUAGAUACUGAAUCGCCCAUGCUACAAAUAUAAAGACUAAUUACUAAUGCUAAUUCAAAGUGUUUUCUUUUGUUUUGAAAGCUACUCUUAGCGGCAGUAAGAGGCGGAGGUCGAGAUCGUGGUCCUACAGUCUUUAGUCCCUUAAUCGAGAAAGAGGACUUGGCUUUGUUGGAGAAAGAGGAUUGCUCUGCUUCUUUGGAGAAAAUAGGAUCAGGUGGGUGUGGAGAAAUUUACAUUGCCGAGCUAACGUGUUUCUAGAGAAUUCUUUUGCACCCUAUUUUUUGCGUUAUAUAUAUAUUUUUGAGUCAAUUGUUAGAGAUCAAAUUCAGUCUUUUUUUUUAUAGCUGAAAUUCAGGCUUAAUUUAAGAUGAUUACAGGAAAUUGAAUCUCAAGUAAAAUAAUAAAAUGAAAAUUCUUUAUUUAUAGUUAGUUCUAGCAUCAGAAUGCAUGAUGGUAUUAUUUGUUUUUUCAGUUAUUUUGGAAUUUUGUCUUAUUUAUACAUCUUGGUGAAAUUGUUGUAUGUUCAUUUUGUUUGUCGUGAUUGCUUAUAAGCUAUUGUUAUGUUGAUAAGUAUGGCUUAUUAAUAAUUUUCUUUGAUUAUUGAUAGAGUUUCCUCCAAAGCACAAGGCUGGUUCUCAAAAAGAGGUGAUGGGAGUGCUUUCAUUUGAAGUUUUGAGCUUGAUGUCUAAGGUGGUUCACCUUUGGCAGUCUUUGAGUGAUGAGCAGAUUGUUAGAUUGAGAGCUGAGUUACUAAAUUCUGUGGGCAUAAAGAAGCUUGUAUCGGAGGAUGACGAGUUUAUUGCAAGUUUAAUAUGUGCUGAGAUGAUUGACGAUUUGGCCCACGUGGCGAAAUCUGUGGCUAGGCUUGGGAAGAAGUGUAAUGAUCAGGGUUUAAAGAGUUUUGAGAUUGCUCUAGAAAAAUUUGUUAAUAUUGGUUCUGACCCAUAUGGGUUGGAGUUUUCAUGGAAGAAGAUGGAAAAGAAAGUCAAGAAAAUGGAACGUUUCAUUUCAAUAAAUGCAACUUGGUACCAAGAGUUUGAAAUGCUUUCGGAUCACAUACAAACUCUGAAGAGAAUGAAGAUUAAUGAUGGUGAGAUAGAGUUUCAAAAGAAGGUUGCAUGGAAGGAGCAGGAGGUGAAGAAUCUAUGGAAGGUCUCUCUUUGGAAAAAGACUUAUGAUUAUACAAUUCCGCUUUUGGGAAGAUCACUAUUUACAGUAUUUGGAAGGAUACGAUAUGUCUUUGGAAUAAAUGUGAGUGUGGAUGUCGAGGAUUCAAGAGAUAUGUCUUCUGAUUAUAUUUACCGCAGCCAAUCAGUUUCUGCAUUAUUGCAAUCUCCAGUUCAUCCAUCUGAGAAUACUGGUAUACCUAGAUUUUCUUCAGGUCCCCCUGGAAAAUUUACUGCUAACUCAGGUCCUAUUUCAAAACCAAAAAGAAUGAAUAAUUAUCAUUCAGGUCCUCUUAGUGCUAUGAGCACAAAAUCGGGUCCUAGCAUGAUGGCUGCAGAUAUUUCUCCUGUUGCCAACCGUUAUUCAAUUCCAAAUAUUUUGGGAGCUCUUAAUGAAGCCAAAGAGAGCAAUGUCAAGCAAAUUCCUCAGGCCCAUAGAGUUCAAACAAGAUCUUCAAUAUUCAGUUCCAAGGGCAAGUUGGUAGAUGCUUCACCCGAGACUCUUGGUGGUGCUGCUUUAGCGCUACACUAUUCAAAAGUCGUUAUUGUAAUUGAGAAGCUGGUGGCAUCUCCUCACUUGAUUGGUCAUGAUGCAAGGGAAGACUUGUACAAUAUGUUACCUGCAAGUGUGAGAGCCACUUUGAGAGCAAGGUUAAAGCCAUAUACAAAGAGCUUAGCUUCAUCAGUGUAUGAUACAGAGUUUGCAGGCGAGUGGACUGCAGCAAUGAGUGCGAUUUUGGAAUGGUUGGCUCCACUUGCUCAUAACAUGAUUAGAUGGCAAUCUGAGCGGAGCUUUGAGCAGCAGAGAGUAGUUUCCAGGAGCAAUGUUCUUCUUGUACAGACUCUGUACUUUGCAAAUCAAGAAAAGACAGAAGCAGCAAUUACUGAGCUUCUUGUUGGCCUUAAUUAUGUCUGGACAUACAGCAGAGAACUCAAUGCAAAAGCUUUGCAGGAAUGUGCUAGCAGCAGAGUGUUUGAUGAAUGCUUGGAUUUGGAAGGGUAAGAUUAUUCACUGACUGUUGCGAUCAUCAUCAGAAUACCAUUGCCUCACCACUUCAUUGGCUUUCGGGGAUACAUGGUUGCAAAGGAUUUCUAUGUUCUGGCUAGUCCACAAGGCUUCUCUGUUCUAGUCAACAACAAUGACGUGGAGCAUGGGCAAAACUCCUAUCCGCUCUAUCGAAAUUCCAUAUACGUAAAUGCACUACCUUAAGUUAAAGAUAUAGGUUUGAGUAAUAACAAUAUAGUUUUGUUGAGAAAUGGCAAUGCACUUCUGCGUGCCAAAUAUGAAAUUAAGCUAUCAUUCAGUGAAAUUUGUAUACUUAUUUAGGGAUAAACUUGUGUAGUAAUUGUAAAUUUUUCCACAUUAGGCUUUUCAUUCAUGUAUAUAGCCCCUCAUGAUCUGGCUUGCUUCUUUUUGAGUGGCAUACUGGUAUUGAUAUAGUUAUGUGAUUGUGAGCUUUCGGCUGUGUGGGAACUGAAAAUGUAAUUCAGGUUGCAGAAACAAGAUCUUGAAUUCAAUUUAUCAUAUUUAUAUUCGAUAGGAUGGCAUAUUCGCAAAUCAAUUGCAGCCAAUUGUAUUCAGUGACAUUGCUUGAUGCCUAUUGGCGAAUGAAUCUGGUGACUCAUUUUUAUUUACGUUCUUUCAGUUGUCGAUGGUGCUAAUGGUACUAAUAUACUCAGUUUGUGAGUGAUGAUUGUUGAUGCUGAGAUCUGCUCGUCCUUGGACCGACCAGAUUCUUUCAUCAACGCUUAAGUUAUCGACUGUUGCUCGAACCACUAAGGCCGGGAUCACCCUCCUUUCUCUCACUAGACCUGCGUUCACCAAAAAUGGAUCAGAGACGCCGGUGGUUUUGCCGGCGUAAACCCUCCGAUGCUUAAGUUAGCACAAGGUGUUUACGGGAAAACAAUAUAAUUUGGGUUCAAGAAGUUUGUUCGAGAUCUGUAAGAAAAUAGUCUCGUUGCAAUUUGGCAGCGUUUUCCCUCUCUUAAUUUUUUUCUGUCCUGUCUUCUUCGAUGUCUUUCUCUUUUAUAGCCGCCCUUUGUCCCACGUUUUUCGUUUGCCCCUUAUCCCUCCUUUUUCGGGUGGUGGUAGCCCCUCAUGGGACUCUAACUGUUAGAUUGUGGACAAACGUGGAUCUCGCGUGUCCUUCAACCGUUCUAGGAGAAGCGCAACUACCGCGAUUUUGUGAGAUCGUGUUCCCGCUUUCCUGGGGAUGAGUAUCGGCUCGGCGUAUACUUCUGGUCGGUAUGUUUUCCUGGUCGCAUUCAUCUCGGGUCGGCUCCUGUUUAAUCCCGUGUUCUGCUCGUACCAUAUAGCUGAAACGAUUCGUGCUGGGGCGGAACCAGUAGCAUGGCCGACCUGGUGCCUUUAUGUACUCAACACCAGUCCCCCAGUUUCUGGUCUGGCGAGUGAAAUGAGUUAAGAGUAGAAACUGAUGGUCAAAUCUCACCAGCCCGGGGAGCUUCUCAUCUGAUCCUCUUUUUAUUGAGACGGGCCUGACCUGAUGUACCAUUUCUCUACUGAGGAGACUCCGACCUGAGCGUGGGCCUAAGUGAACCUGCCCAUAGCAUAUCUGGGCUUACUUCUAACCUGGCCUCUUGUAACGGUUGGUGACGUGGCAUCUCCAGACUCUUCGUAUUUGAAAUUUGAAACGACGGGCUAUCCGUUCUCGAUAUAUGGGGGGGGGUGAGCUGGCAUAUCCCAUCACUUAAAUGCUUCCAUUUCCCCCUUUUCGUUUCAAAUCCCUAGACUGGAGUCAUCAUUAUCUUGCUAUUCGUUUCUCCGCCGUCAACCAAAUUUUCUCUGAACUUUGCUCACACUUCCAGCGUCCGGAGUAUCCAUUCGCCGGGUGUUUUCUCUGUCACGGCAGCGCUAUCAGUGUCAGUCUAUUCCAGGUAUAGUCUUUAACCCUUUCCUCUGGUUGUUGUUGAUUGGGUUCUGUGUUGCCUUCUUUGUGUCCAUAUACUCGAGUUUUCUCUGUUUUCUUUUGGGGAUUUCGGUAUGUCAAAUCGGAAGAGGAAGUUAAUUGUUGAUGAGGGUGAUGAAGAGUCAGGGGACUCAGGCCUCAAUGUGCCAAUACCCACUGAUUACUUAGGCCCCUCCAGUAGUGUAGGUCCUUCCCAUGGCAGGGAUACCCUUGAAUACCCACGCCCUUUGGUUAUCUCUCCUUCCCCCGAACUAGAGCUUGUAGGGAAUAGAGGUGGACCUGCGUCGGGCUCUGGUGAGAAUCACAGUUCUGGUGGGGUUGGGAUCCCUGAAGGAGUUAGUGAUGGUAAAGGGAGCAGUUCCGGACCGAGCAGACCUGCUCAGAAAAGGAACCUAGGCCAUAUGGUGGAGGCUGAUUCCUACCCUAUUGAUUUCAUGGCUUGUGCCACCACCCCCACCGAUCUAUUUAAACUUAGGAAUCUCUACAACAUCCCCAACGAUGUUCUUCUUGUAGUCCCUGGGAAGGGUGACGUUCCUAGUCGGCCUCCGCGGGGGUAUGUGACGAUGCACCUAGAGAGUUUUAAACUAGGAGCUCGGCUGCCCCUUCAGCGUUAUUUUGCCAAGAUAUUGGAAGGUAUGCACCUGGCCCCAGGUCAGCUACACCCGAACGGGUGGAGGGUUCUAUCGGCUAUGUUUGUGUUGUGGGAGAGGUGCGGGUUGGAGGAGCCUUCCCUUGUUGAAGUGAAGCAUUUGUAUCAGCUGCGGAGCAGCCCAAGGGAGGCGGGCUGGUACUACUUCAUGUCCAGUUCUGCAAAGAAAAAGCCAAUCAUCGGUUUCCCCUCAUCGUGCAAGAAUUGGAAGAACAAAUUCUUCUUUGCUGGGGGAAAAUGGUGUUCAGCACUUCGUUCGUUGAGUGGUGAUCUUUACCUACCAACGCAGUUUGUCACCCCAGGUCGUUCAUUUUUUGCCUGUAUUCUCUUUCGAAUUGCCACUUAUUGGGUUCUUUAACCUUGUUUGUUAUUUCAGAGUCAUGGGGUUUGAUCGGGGGGCUUGAAGAUCGUCCCUUGCUUCAGGUGGAAACUGCUCUGGUGAAUGCUUCUACUUGCCAAGACCUCCUGUCUCCAACAAACUUGGUCGGUUCGGGCCUAGUGGAUAUAGCCGAUGGAAUGGAUAACAAGAUCCUCAGCGCGAUGAGCAGGAAGCGUGGUCGGGCCCCGAGCAGCUCCAGCAACCCUCCUCCUCCUCCGAAGAAACCUACCGUCGGUCCUUCCAAGGCGCCUGUUCCUGCUCUGCCUCCUCCUCCACCUCGUAAGAGUGGUGGGGAGAAAACCUCUGACAAGAGUCCUGAGGUCAGCUUGCAAUCUGGGGACCGAUCUUCUCCUCUCCCAUCUCGGGAUCAAGGUGAUUACCUGAGUCCAUAUCAGAAGGAUUAUAAAAAAUCGGUUGGGCCUAAGAUGGUGAAGGACAUCGAGAGCAUGAGCCUCUCCGAGUUGGCUGCUUCUGUUCAGAGAGUCUCAUUCAGGCUGGCCACAAUGGUCUCGUGCUACAAGAUCGGGUCCGCGCGUCAUGAGAAGAAGCUCCAGGCUGAUAACCAAGAGUUGAAAAAGAAAGUUGAAUCUGCUGACCGCUCCAAGGAGAAAUUGGCCGAGCUGAACAAACAGCUUACGGAGCUUGAGGAGAAAGUUGCUGUUGCUGAGUCCACUUCCUCCAAGCUUGAGGGCGAGUUGGGUGACCUGAGAUCUGAUCUUCAGGCUACUCAAAUUGAAAGGGAUACUCUGAGGGCUGCCCUUGAGAGGGAAAUCAAAUCCUUGGGUGAGCAGCUGGCUGAGGAGAAAGGCAAAUCUGCUGAUGUGGACGAUCGGCUGGAUGCCGAGUAUGACUCUGGGGUUGCCUUCUCCUAUAAGUGCAUCAUGUCUGUGCUUAAGGAAGAAUAUCCCGAGCUGGACAUGAGCAAGCUGGAGGCUGGAGUGGAGAGGUACAUGGCUGGGGUCGGCCAGGGAGAUAAGGAGCAAGGUGAGCAGAAUCAGGUGGAGGCUCCUUUAUAUGAGGUGCAAAAGGGGGGAGCUGGGGGACGUGCUUUUGAAAUUAGACAAGGAUCCAUGCCGCCUCCUCCCAGUAUUGCUGAUCCUCCACCUCCUGGGACAACUGAUCCUUCACCUGCUGAAGCCGUUGACCCUUCUAAUCCUUAGGUCUAUUUUUGUAUAGACUUUAGAUUUUCAUUAGUUUUGUAACCAACUGAACAUUAAUAAAUUUUCAGAUGCUCUUUAUUGGCUCCCUUGUCUAAUGUCUACUCAUAGACUGUUUCUGCAAAAUAAUUGCACAACUUAUCUGAUCUUGCCUGCUGGUUCCUUAGUGGACCGAGUAGGUGUAGGUAUUUACUUGCCUUAGUAAACUUCUCGUAGAAUUAGCUGCUGGUCUUUCGUUGACCGAGCAGAAACAGGCACUUUGUUGCCUUAGUAGAAAUUUUGAAGCUUUAGCUGCUGGUCUUCGUUGACCGAGCAGAAGUGGGCACUUGCCUUAGUGAACUUUCGAGAAUUUAGCUGCUGGUCUUCGUUGACCGAGCAGAAGUAGGCACUUGCCCUAGGAGAGUGUUCGUAGCUUUAGCUGCUGGUCAUUCGUUGACCGAGCAGAAACAGGCACUUUGUUGCCUUAGUAGAAAUUUUGAAACUUUAGCUGCUGGUCUUCGUUGACCGAGCAGAAGUGGCACUUGUCUUAGUGAAAUUUUUAUUGAUCUUGCUAGCAGGGGGAUUUCAUGCUGAAUUCAUCUUUAUUGAAAUUUGAAUGUAUUACAAAAACAUAGAAUAUAUGCAUGUGCGACAGGCCAUCAGGCAUUGUAACAGAAAUAACUUGCCAGAAUGAGGAUUUAAUAGAGCAUUUUGCUUACUGGAAAUACUUCUUCAGGUGUUCGGCGUUCCAUGACCUCUUCACAGCUCGUCCGUCUUGGCACGCUAAUUUAUAUGCUCCUGGUCCAGUGGCUCGUAUCACUCGGUAUGGGCCUUCCCACUUUGGGCCAAGAGCGCCAUGGUUAGGAUUCCUGGUGUUCUGGUUCACCUUCCUAAGUACCCAAUCUCCUGCUCGGAACUGCCUCACGCGUACAUUCUUGUUGUAAUAACGCAUGACCCUUUGCUGACAUUGGGCCACUUUCUGCGAGGCCCCUUCCCUUUUCUCCUCCAGUAGGUCUAGGCUUAAGCAGAUCUGCUCGUCAUUUUGCUCCUCAACGAAAUGUUCCGUUCUAUGUGUCCCCACUCCAAUCUCUGCUGGGAUUACUGCCUCAUGACCAAAAGCUAAAGCGAACGGUGUUUCUCCUGUGGCGGUUUUGUGAGUUGUCCUGUAGGCCCACAGUACCCCUGGUAGCUCGUCAACCCAAGCUCCCUUCUUCUCCCCCAAUCUAGUCUUUAUGAGCUUCUUUAUCACCUUGUUGGCUGCUUCCACUUGCCAGUUUGCCUGGGGGUGUGCGGGGGUGCAGAACUUCAGGUCCACCCCCAGGUUUCGGCAAAAUUCCCUGAAGUUGCCGUUGUCAAAUUGCCUCCCAUUGUCUGUUAUGAUGGCGUAGGGGAUCCCAUAUCUGCAGAUGAUGUUUUUCCAAAUAAAAUCUGUUAUCUUCCUCUCUGUGAUCUGGCUGAGGAUUCCUACUUCCACCCACUUGGUGAAGUAGUCUAUUGGCACGAUUGCAUGUGUCGCCGCUCCUCGUCCCUUUGGUAAUGGACCAAUCAAGUCGAUUCCCCAUUGAGCGAAAGGCCAUGGGGAUGUCAUAGCCGUCAGUUUCUCCGGUGGUUGUGCAGGAACCUCGGAGAAGCUUUGGCAUGUUUUACAAUUCUUGGCCAUCCUUUUGGCAUCCUGGUGCAUGGUUGGCCAGAAGUAUCCUUGCCGGAGUGCCUUGAAGGCUAAAGUUCUUGCUCCCGAGUGAUUGCCGCAUAUUCCCUCAUGAAUCUCUCUCAGCACAUAAUCCGCCUCCUCAUCAUCCAAACAUCUCAAAAGGGGUAAGGUGAACCCUCGGCGGUAUAGCACUCCAUCUAGUAGCGUGUACCUCGCUGCUCGGCAUUUUAACUUUCUUGCUUGCCUUUUGUCUUCCGGUAAAACUCCAUUGCGGACAUAUGCGCGAAUCGGGUCCAUCCAGGAUUCUCCAAUAUUUACACUCAUCACCUCUGCUUCUUUCUCAAUACUUGGUGAGGUCCUUACCUCUAGUGGAACUGACUUCGGUAAUUUUGGAUCUGCGAUGGCUGCCAUCCUAGCCAGCAUAUCGGCUCGGAAAUUCUCAUUCCGGGAUAUCUGUUUUACCUCCACUGCUUGGAAAAGCCCAACCAUCUGCUUCGCCUUCUUCAAAUAAAGACCCAUCUUCUCUCCCUUCGCUUGAAACUGAUCAUUGAGCUGAUUACACACCAAUUGGGAAUCUGCUCGAAUUUCUACUCUCUCUGCUCUGAGAGCGUGUGCAAGUCCGAGCCCGGUGAUAAAGGCUUCAUACUCAGCUUGGUUGUUUGUGAGUUGAAAUUCGAACUUCACCGCGUAUGUUACCUCGGUUCCCUCUGGGCUCCGUAUUACAGCUCCUGCUCCGGAUCCUUGCUCACUACAUGAUCCGUCAACCAUUACCAGCCAUAUCUCCUUUGAAUCCUCGUGCUCUACCGGUUGUUCCUCUUGGACCUCUUCCCCCGGUUCAACACGGUCCACCAUAAAAUCUACCAAGGCUUGGGCCUUGAUUGCUCCUCGGGGCCUGUAGGACAGGUCAAAUUCGCUCAGCUCUACGGACCAUUUUACUAACCGACCAGACGUAUCUGGUUUUUGAAGUACUUGCCGAAGUGGCUGGUCAGUCAUCACAACGAUCUGGUGGGCUUGGAAGUAUGGUCGGAGUUUGCGUGCUGCCGUUAUCAAUGCCAGCGCCCACUUCUCCAUUAGUGGAUAUCUGGUUUCUGCGUCCACCAGGGCCUUGCUUGUGUAGUAUACCGGGUGUUGCUUCCCUUCUACUUCCCUGACUAAGACCGAGCUGGUAGCCUGCUUAGAGAUUGCCAAGUAUAAGAGCAGCUGGUCACCCUCUCUCGGAGUUGAUAGUAACGGGGCGUGGGCUAGAUAUUCCUUCAGCUGUCCAAAUGCCCCCUCGCAUUCCGGUGUCCAUUCCAUCUUCUUCCCUUUCUUUAUGACUUGGAAGAAAGGGUGACAUUUAUCAGUGGCUCGCGAAAUGAAUCGGUUCAAUGCUGCCAACUUCCCCGUAAGGCUCUGCACCUCCUUAACUGUUCGUGGGGACCUCAUUUCUAUCACCGCCCGUAUCUUUUCUGGGUUGGCUUCAAUACCUCGAUGGCUCACCAGGUAUCCCAAAAAUUUACCCGAACUGACCCCAAAUGCACAUUUCUCCGGGUUCAGCUUCAUUUUGUACCUCCUCAGCAAUUCGAAAGUCUCUUCCAAGUGCUUCACAUGGUCUUUCGGUUCUCUUGACUUGGUGAUCAUAUCGUCCACAUAUACUUCCAUGGUGCGACCGAUCAAUGGUUUGAAGACCUUGUUCACUAACCUUUGAUAGGUAGCUCCUGCAUUUUUCAGGCCAAAGGGCAUCACCCUGUAACAAAACAAACCCAUGUUAGUUAUAAAUGUGGUGUUUUCCUCAUCCUGCUCGUUCAUGGGUAUCUGGUUGUAUCCGGAGAAGGCAUCCAUGAAACUGAGCAGACUAUGACCCGCGGUUGAGUCCACCAGCUGAUCUAUUUUGGGCAGGGGAAAGCUGUCCUUCGGGCAUGCCUUAUUGAGGUCCGUGAAGUCUACACACAUUCUCCACUUCCCAUUGGCCUUCUUUACCAAUACCACAUUGGAAAUCCAUUCCGGGUACUUAACUUCCCUUAUAAAUCCUACUUUCAGCAGCUUUUCCACCUCGACAUUUAUGGCUUCGUACCUUUCAUGGUUGAAGCAUCUCCUUUUCUGCCUCACCGGCUUUGCCCCUCUCUUGACCGCCAGCUUGUGACAAGCUAUCCCGUGGUCAAUACCUGGCAUAUCCUCAUGAGACUAAGCAAAUAUGUCUGCAUGGGACUGUAGACACUUCACCAGCUCUGUCUUUAUUUCUCUACCCAAUUCUGAUCCGACCUUAACAACUCUGCUAGGGUCACUCCUGCUUACAACAACUUCCUCCAGCUUCUCAACCGGUUCCUGACGACCAUUUUUUGAAUCCCCUCGGUUAUCUAGAGAGGUAACUUGCAGCGUUUCCUUGGCCGCUGUAGCAUAGCAGCUCCUGGCCAUUCUCUGGUCGCCCUUUACUACACCCACAACUCCAUUUAUUCUGUACUUCAGCGCCAGAUAAUGCGUUGACAUUACACAUUGGCUUAUCCUCAUGAACGGUCUCCCCAAUAUCAUCUGGUAAGGAUUUCUUUCCUCUACCACUACAAAGUCCAGCAUCAUCGUUCUUUCAAGUGGCUUUGUCCUUACAGUAACCGGGAGUUCAAUGACCCCCAUGGGAGUUAACCGUCCCCCUCCAAAUCCCUUCAAGGAUGUAUUCGUUCGCUCCAGCUUUAAAUCUGAAAUCCCCAUAUCAUCUAAGACCGACUUAAACAGAAUGUCUACUGAGCUGCCCGUAUCUACCAGUAUUCGCCGCAAUUCUGUACUGACCACCAAUGCUUUAAUCACCAGCGCAUCCUCGUGAGGGUAUAAAAUGCCUUCUUCGUCGUCCUCUGUCAACAUAAUAGGAACUUGCCGCACUUUUGCCCUCUUGGCUGCUGGCAAAUUGAAAAGCACUUCUUUGCUAGUCAGGGCGUAUCUCCCAUAGUUCUUCCGUGCCCUGUUUGAAUCCCCGGCCAAUGUUGGCCCUCCUGCUAUAACUUGGAUAGUCAGCUGUUCUUGUUCCAAACCCCUUUCAACUCCUUCAUCCUGUGCAUAUUGCGACUCACUGACGGGGAACACUCCAUCUACGUACUCAUCCAAGUAUUGGUUCCUCACCAAAUCCUCCACCUGAAUCCUUAGGUCACGGCAUUGGCUGAUAGUAUGACCGUGAGUGUUGUGGAAUUUGCAGAACCUGCUCUUAUCACGCCGGUGAGCGGGUUUCGNNNNNNNNNNNNNNNNNNNNNNNNNNNNNNNNNNNNNNNNNNNNNNNNNNNNNNNNNNNNNNNNNNNNNNNNNNNNNNNNNNNNNNNNNNNNNNNNNNNNCCUUUCGUAUAGUUCCUCCAUGGAGAUUUUUAAAGGAGUAUAUCGUCUAUAUACCGCACUCUGGUCAACCAACUGAACUGCUCGGCUAUCAUGGACGUCACUUCGGGCUGGUAUAGCCGGUAACUGCUCUGGUCGGCCAGACCUGUAAUUGGUCGCGUUUACCUCUCUGGGAGUGCGGUGGUAAGGGUGGGCAGUCACCUGCCUGAAUUCUCGCUGCCGCUCUGGGAUCGGGGGGCGCGGAGGUUGAGCCCGGCUGUGUUGGAACUGUUGUGCUCUCUGAGCUAUGGGGUAAGGGCGAGACCGAGCUGAUAUUCCGCCCAUCCCCGAAGAUUCUCCAGUUCGCUUUCCCGACCCGCUCCCUUUCGGGGCUCUCCGUUCUCUUCGCCUCAGCUCUUCCAGCUAUUCAUUUUUAAUUCUUGCUGAUUUUUCCUCUUCGAUUUCUAUAUCUCGUUUCGCUUGCUCAUACCCCGACGAGUAAUUCUGUACGAGGGGGCUUCUUAAGUUAUACCACAAUCGGCCGAUUCUUACACCUUCUUUUAAUCCCCUCAACGCCUGCGGGUGAUUAAAAGCUCCCAAAUCCAGCACGGCUCGGUGAUAUCGUUUUACGAAAUCGCGAAGGGAUUCAUGCUCCUCCUGCUUCAUCCCCAUCAGCUCCAUCAUGUCAUCCUCUGGGGCCACCGCCCCUCGGAACUGCUCGGCCAACUCCUGGCACAUCUGCUCAUACCCCUUUAUUCCUCCUCGGGGCAGCUUGCGGUACCAUUCUCGGGCUCGUCCCUCUAGUGUCAACGGGAACACCCUGCAUCUCUGAGCUGGUGUCAGCCCCUGCACACCCGUCAUGUCGUUGAAACGCUCAAUGUGCACCAACGGGUCACUUCGCCCGGAGUAUUUGAGGUCAGGGAAGCGGAAAUCUCUUGGGAUUACGGUGCUCAUGAUCUCAAUUGAUAACGGAGAUUCUUCAUCUAGCAUUAUCCUCCAGCUCGGGGGCUUUCUCUUGCCCUGCAUCUCCUCUAUCACCUGCGCCAAUCUGCGCACCUCCCCCUCCAAUUCUAUAGCGCGAUCAGGAUCACGUGCAGCUGUCUGGUCUCGCUCCUGCUCGACGUUCUGCAACCGCUGUCUGAGCUCUCCUUCAUCAACACUGGCCCCUCGGCCAUUUAUUUCCAGUACCCGUCCGGGGCGAGGUUGGUCUCUCCCUUCAUCCACGUGUUCCCCUGGGACCCGGCCAGUACUUCGGUGGGGAUGCACUCCGUUAGGUUGGUCUGCGGGUGGAGGGAUUUCCCCGACCCUACGCCCCCGGAGACUGGGUUCUGCUCCAACUCCAUCUCUUCCCACGGGGGUUUCAUAAUCCCUUCUCCGCUCGUCCCUCAGCUCAAACACUACGGUCGCGAGAGUCUCCAUUUGUUUCUCCAUCCGCUCCAGUCUAUCUUGCAUCAUCCUCUCUCGGGCUUCAUUUGCAAUCUCCCGUAGAGUGAUUGUCUCCACCGUUUCAUUAUCCUCCCUUAAAGUAUCCUUUCUUGACGCAUCCAUAUCCAAUCGUUCGCUACUUCUCAGGUAAAUACUAACUUGGUGGUAGCUUUUUAUUCAGCUCCCCACAGACGGCGCCAAAAUGUUGAUGCUGAGAUCUGCUCGUCCUUGGACCGACCAGAUUCUUUCACCAACGCUUAAGUUAUCGACUGUUGCUCGAACCACUAAGGCCGGGAUCACCCUCCUUUCUCUCACUAGACCUGCGUUCACCAAAAAUGGAUCAGAGACGCCGGUGGUUUUGCCGGCGUAAACCCUCCGAUGCCUAAGUUAGCACAAGGUGUUUACGGGAAAACAAUAUAAUUUGGGUUCAAGAAGUUUGUUCGAGAUCUGUAAGAAAAUAGUCUCGUUGCAAUUUGGCAGCGUUUUCCCUCUCUUAAUUUUUUUCUGUCCUGUCUUCUUCGAUGUCUUUCUCUUUUAUAGCCGCCCUUUGUCCCACGUUUUUCGUUUGCCCCUUAUCCCUCCUUUUUCGGGUGGUGGUAGCCCCUCAUGGGACUCUAACUGUUAGAUUGUGGACAAACGUGGAUCUCGCGUGUCCUUCAACCGUUCUGGGAGAAGCGCAACUACCGCGAUUUUGUGAGAUCGUGUUCCCGCUUUCCUGGGGAUGAGUAUCGGCUCGGCGUAUACUUCUGGUCGGUAUGUUUUCCUGGUCGCAUUCAUCUCGGGUCGGCUCCUGUUUAAUCCCGUGUUCUGCUCGUACCAUAUAGCUGAAACGAUCCGUGCUGGGGCGGAACCAGUAGCAUGGCCGACCUGGUGCCUUUAUGUACUCAACAAUGAUAUUUGACCUCUUUUUAUCUCGUCAGUCCUCAUUUUUUAAUUAAUUCAUUAUAAAUCUUUUAAUCUCUAAUUUAUCAUCAUUAUUAUUAUAAUUUUAUCAUACUUGCACAAUCACACUGAUAUCCAAGCGAUCGACCAACUGUAGAGUUACUUCAAUUUUUAGAGCUAUUGUUACAUUAAUCUCGAUUCUUUAUUUCUUGAAAAAUUUCUUGCAAAAUGAUUAAUCAAAUACAAAGAUGACAAAAAUUUCUUAAUUAAAAAAAAGUAGAAAAAGAAGAAGAAGAAGAAACUAAGCAUUCAUGUUGCCACUAACAUGGUGGUCUUAAGUAUAUGUGAACAAAGUGGUUGUUUAAGGCCCCAAAUUUUAGAAAGACCUUAUUUUUUUAGUAUUAAUAAUAAUUUUUUAGUUAAUAAAGAUUUUUUACCUUUUCAACUUCUUAAAAGAACUCAAUUAUUCAAUGUUAGAACUUUCAACUUUGAGUAUUCCUUUUAAUUUCUAUUAAAAAUCUUAUAAUCUAGAAAAUAGAUGAAAAAUUUCUUGUUCUCUCUAUAAUGAGGAUUAUUACAUGCAUUAGUUCAUUCAAAAAAGAAAAAAAAAAUAGUUCACUCAAAUAUUGCUCCUUUGCUGGCUUAUAUGGUCCGGCCUGACUGCCAUUUACUUGUCUAUGAAUUCAUGAAGAAUGGAAGUUUACAAGAGAUUCUAAACGAUGUCUCACAAGGAAGAAGAGAAUUAGAGUGGCUAGCUAGACACAGGAUUUCACGAGGAAUAGCUUCUGGGCUUGAGUAUCUUUAUAUGUACCAUAGGCCUCGUAUAAUCCAUAGAGAUAUCAAGCCAGGGAACGUGCUUAUAGACGAUGAUAUGGAAGACAGGAUUUCUGAUUUUGGUCUUGCAAAGGUAUUGUACUGCCUGAUGGUCAUACACAAAUCAGAGCUUCGAAUACUGAUUUUGGUGUUGCAGAGGUAAUGCCUGCUGGACAUGCGCAAGUCAAAACUUCGAAUUUGGCGGGAACGGUGGGAUACAUAGCCCCAUAGUAUCACCGGACACUAACAUUCUCUGACGAGUGUGAUAUAUACAGCUUUGGGGUGUUGCUAGCUGUUUUAGUGAUGGGAAAGCUUCCAUCCGAUGAUUUUUUCCAACACACCGAAGAGAUGAGUUUCGUUAAAUGGAUGAGAAAUGUCAUGAAUUCUGCGAAUCCUAACCGGGCUAUCGAUUCGAAGCUCCUCGGCAAUGGGUAUGAGGAGCAAAUGCUUCUUGUUUUGAAGAUUGCUUACUUUUGCACUUUGGAUGAUCCAAAGCAGAGACCUAAUAGCAGGGAUGUUAGGUAUAUGUUUGUCUCAGAUUCAGCACUAAUUAAGGAUUUGGAUUUUUUUAAAAUGUACAAGAGCAUAACAACGUCACUUGUGAUGAACAAUUUAUGCUCUUGAAUUAAGUUGUACAAUUACGAUCCCCUCUGAGUUUUCACUUGUCUAAUCGAUACAGAGCGGUUCAGGUUAUUAUACAAAGUAGAAACCAUUUCUGAAAUGUGGCAUACUUGCUAUAUUUCGGCAGUCGUAUGUUUCUGGCAACAUAUCAAGCCUUUCAUUUUGCAUAAGAAAAAUAGCAAGAACAGCUCGAUGUUGCUAGUUCGUUCUAUAAGCAUAUGCUAACACACAUUGAGAGAAUCUUUCCAAAAAAAAAAAAAAUGAGAAAGAGAAAAGUUCCAUGCAAGUGCAUUUUAGCCAUUGUAAUUUUGAAGAGUCGCUUCUAUUUUGUAUUUUAACUUUUUCUUUUUUAUUAUAAUAAAUACAUUUUCCACCAAAGAGGGACCACUUUAUAAUACUUUUUUCUUUACUUUAAUACUUUAAAUAAUCUUUGGUUUACUUUUUUUUUAACUUUAUUUCAUUUACUUUUAUUUUUAACUCAUUACGUUUAAUGGCGGAUUCAUUCUGAUGAAAAGAAAUCGCACAAUCGGGUCACUCAAAAAAAUCAAAUUUUUAUUUAUGUUCAAUUUGAUUCUAAAAGUUAGUUAGAGCUACUCGUAUCUUUUCCUUUAUGUAGGUUAAGAAAAAAACUCAGAAAAGGCUCCUUCAACAGCAGCUAAUCAUGUUCGUUUUUGAUCUUUUAAAUUUAUUUACCAACUAGCCCAAGAUGUCUUUAAAUUUGAGAAUCAUAGGGGAAAAUAUAUAUAUAUAUUAUCAGUGGGAACACUUAAGCCGCCUCAACCUGCACACUAUAAAGGUAAAUCAAAAGACAAUUAUGAAAGGCUCAAAUUCUCAGCGAAGAUAAGUGAUCAAAAGAGGAAAUGGGGCUAGAAACCGAAAGGCAGUAAAGUAUCUCAAAGGCAGUGCGGUACUUAUAAAUGAUUUUAGGAGUUUUAUAUUUUUAUCUAAUAAUUACUAAUUUUAUCUUUCUAAAAGAUUACCAAAAAAAUCACUUCAGCAUUCAAUCCAAAUCUCAUUAUAUGAUGUUAUAAUUUAUUUAUAUUACAGUAUUAAUAGUGACAUAAAAUUUAAUUAACUGUUCACAUAAUUAGUAUUUGUUAUGAUAAUGUUGUGAUUUUAAUUAUUUAGAAUCUGUUUUACCUGUUAUUGUAACGGUUAAACACAUUUUUUAAGAUUAUAUAAUAAAAAAAGGUAUAAUUUUUUUUUAAUAUUUAUUUUAACAUUACCACAACUCAAUUUUAUUAUCAUCUUAUUCUUUUUUCUUCACCUAAAAAAAGAUUGUUAAAUUAAUAAAUAUUACGACUAAGCUCUCGUGGAAAACCGAAGUCAUUUCCAAAUAUUUAGAAAAAAGUAAAAAUAUUCCCGUAUACACCAAUUGUUUGGAAGUCCUCAAUAGCGGUAAAAAUUUAGUGGUGCGCUUUACUCUUGAGAAAGCAGCACAAAUGAACCAUAAAACUCCACCAUAUUUAAUGAUUUUAAAAUCAGGAUCAUUAUAGUACUACAACAUAGGUCAUACAAAUAUGUGUUUUGCUUGAUUAAUUAGAAAUAGAGAACAACAUAAUAGAACAGCAUGAACCCACCACCGGACACCAGUUUUAUAUAUAUUUUUUUAAUGUAUUGCCUUACGUACGAUAACUCGAUUUCUUGUAGACUCAUAUGUGAACAGAUUUGAACCUCAAACAUAUAAUCUUACUUCAACAAGUUUUACCGUAAAAUUAGCUAGCACCAUUUGUAAUGUUGUUGAUAGGCUUUGAUAUUUAAAAAAGAUAAAAAAAAAAUUGAGUAAAAACUAGCUAGAUUAAUCAAUUAGUUUGCCCUUUCUUUUAUCUUAUUGAUACAAUAAUAUUAGAAAUUCUAACAUUUGAGUUUCAGUUUGAGUCCUAUUAUUAUGUGUCAUUUAUUUAUCGAAUGAUUAUUUCAUAACUUAUAAAAUUACUUAACUACCAUCUAAUACAUAAAUACUACAUCACUUAAAAUUCAAAUUGAGACUUGUAUGGUAUGGUAGAAUGUCUAGCACAAAGUAGAUACAGUAAUUAAUGGAGAACAAAUUGUAACUCUCUUUCUUUUAUGGCUAUUUGAAUUUUUUACUUAUUUUACAUUUUUAUGGCUUUCAAUCUCUUUAUUUACCUUUGUGCGUCUGAUUUUCCUCUACUUCCCUUAUCUGAACCUUGACUUAAGUAAUAACGAGAAUAAAUAAAUACGUACGGAAUGGAUCCGUGAUCCCUUGCACAAAUUUUUACUUUUAGAUACGGAUGUAUAUAUAUAAAGAGUCAAUUUGUGUAAAACUUAGCUGAUUGUGCAAAUUAUUAGUUGUUGGGAUUUUAAACAAACGACAAGCAAUUUACGAUUUAUCUGCAAUAAUUAGGCUUGGAAAAAUUAGUAGUUAGUUAAUGUUAUUAUGAUAAUGUUUUGAUUUUAACCAACAAUUCACAUAAUUAGUAGUCAGUUAUGAUAAUGUUUUGAUUUUAAUUAUUUAAAAUUUAUUUUACCUGCUUUCUAUCGGUUAAACAAAAUUUUUAAAAUUAUAUAAUUAAAAAAAUAAGUAUAGUCUCUACAAACUUCAAUAUUUUUUCUUUUUUAAAAAAAGAUAUGUAUUUUAACAUUAACGCAACUCAAUUUUGUUUAUCAUCUUAUUCUCUCUUCUUCACUAAAAAAUGGCUAAAUUAAUAAAUAUUGUAACAACUGAUAGUGUCUUAUGGCAGCCUCAAUAACUAGGCUCGGGGGGUAACCGAAGUCAUUUUCAAAUAUUUAGUUAAAAAAAAUCCCAUAUAUACUAAUUGCUUAAAAGUCCUCAAUAGCAUUAAAAAUUUAGUAGUGUGCUUUACUCUGAGAAAGCGACACAAUGAACCACAAAAUUCCACCAUAUUUUAUUAUUUUAAUAUCAGGAUAUAAGUCAUGCAAAUGUGCAUUGAGCUUCAUGAAUUAGGAGCAGAGAACGACGUAAUAGAGCAGCAUGAACCCACCGCCAGUUAAAAAUAUAAUUAAUGGUGUGGGACUGUAAUUAUAUGGAGUACAUCCUUUGAUCUUCAUUGACCAACUAUUUCACCUACACAGUCCCUUUUCAGUGCACCGUGCCCGUUUGAUUUUAUUGAGAACCUUGCCUCUGUCUGUGUGUGCGCGUGCGUGCAUGUGUGGGGCUCAACCAUGAGAGUUAAAAAAAAAAUUAUUUGGAAGCAGGAUGUGAAAGAGCUUGAUGUUCUUGGCAUUGCUAUUGUUGAGAGUGAAGGGUUCGGUGGUCAGAAUUUCGCAAAACAAUAACCCAUCAAGGGUUGCCAAGGGUGUUACUGACAUAGACGCAUCAAUGCUUAAGUCAAAGACUGAGAGCAGCACGAUAACAAAUAAAUAAUAAAAGAAAGAAAAGAGAGUAAGAGAAAACCCUUGAAGGAUAUGCACCCCUCCUCCAAUAUGCCUAUUUCUCAUGCAUUUCUUCGUGUUGUAUUAUAUAUCUUUAAGUAGUGACCUUUUUUAUAUAAAAGAAAUAAUCAGAAGUAUAAUUGAGUUAGGAAAACCUAUCUAUUAUCUUGUAAAAUUCGAGUUUGACAAGAAUUAGAACUUGUAUUACUUUAUCCUAUUUAUAUUAGGACAUAUUAUUGGAUGUGGGUCCUCGGACUUGAGUUUGGUAGAAAUAUGGGCAUAACAGGAGCCCUCAGUUUAUAAUAUUCACGAGUUUACGAGUGAAUGCUAGAAAUUGAUAUAGUUUAUAGUAUGUAAAAAAAAUUUAUUAUCACUCAUUGAAUGUUGUGAGGACAUCUUGAGUGUCAUGAGCAAAUCUUCAAUGAAGUGAGAAGAAAACAAAUGACAUGAGAAAUCUCGAAUGUCAUGAGGACAACUUGAAUAGUAUGAAGACAAUAUAAACGACACGUGAAAAUCUCAAAUAUCAUUAGGAUAACUCGAAUGACAUGAGGAGAUCUAAAAUGUCAUGAUAUAGGCCAUGAAAUUAAGAUAAUGUCUCGUCAAGGGCCAUUAAAGUAAGAUAAUGUCACGAUAGGGGCCAUAAAAUUAAAAUAAAGCUGCGCCAAGGGCCAUUAAAGUAAGAUAAUGCUGCGAUAUGGGUAAUAAAAUUAAGAUAAUGUUGCGAUAAGGGCUAUUAAAGUAAGAUGAUGUCGCAAUAUGGACAAUAAAAUAAGACCGCGACAACGGCCAUGAUAACUAGACUCAGGCCGCAGUAAGGACCAAAAUAAUUGAACUUGGGCCAUGACAAGAGCAAAAAAUAAUUGAACUCGGGCCAUGACAAGAGCAAAAAAUAAUUGAACUCGGGCCAUGACAAGAGCAAAAAAUAAUUGAACUCAUGCUACAAUAAGGGCCGAAAAAAUAGCUGAACUCAGGUUGCGUAGUGCUUCCAAGUGUAUGAGGCUGAGUUUAGUACUACGAGAUUGAGGCCCAAGAGCAAGAUCUGAGGCCUAUGAGCAAGAGGUCGAGCUACGGGUGAUGAGAUUGAGGCCUAGAGUAUGAGAUCGAGAUACAUAUUAUAAGAAAUUUCUUUUUAUAAUUUUGUGUGGGAAUAGAGAAUUUGGGACAAAGUCGAUGAAGUUGAAGAAUAUGAUGAAUUAGAGGAGACUGAUUUUGAAGAAAAUAUUGAGGAACUAGAGGAGAUUGAAUUCAAUAACAGUGAAAAUAUGCAGAUAAAGAAUUGAGGAGCCAAAGUUUGGGAUGUUUUUUCCGUAAUCGUGAGUUUCUAGUUAUAACUUUGUGAAUUGUGGUGGAUGUGGCUACAAUGUUGCUUUAGGAGUUGUCGAGGUUGUGGCUGUAGCAUGUUUAUUUUUCAGGAGUCUUUUAAGUCCCGCCCACACCCCCUCCUUUGUUUCUUUUUUUCCGUUUAAGAGACCUUUUAGUUCAUUUGUUAUUUUUCAUUUGGAUAUUCUCAAGAUCCCACACAUUCGACAUUGAUUUCGCUUUAUUCACUUGUUUUUGAAAUUUUUGGUAGAUUGCUUGUACUCUUCUAUUAGGAGAUUUUGGUUUUUGUCCCCCUCCUUAUAUUUUCUUCAUUAUAUGAUUUAUAUAAUAAGUAAGAGUUCAAUCGAACUGCCACAUGUGGUUUUUUUUUUUUUUUUAAAGUUAAGUCAGGAUUUGACUCAAUGUAAAUAUGAUUUUCUAAUUAGUUAAAGCAAGCUAGUUUAAGUCAAGGAUCCACAAGUGAAUCGCUUCACUAGUUGAUACAAUAAUAAUAAGCUCAUAAGAGUAAUUUUCAAUCAUUUUGACUAGUUUAAACUGCUCUCGGACAAAAGCUUUAUUGAUUUAGGGUAGGCAAAAAUUCCCGGGUCAACCCAAGCGUAGCCCAACCGCCUUAAGCUGCGGGCUUUUAGCCUAGUCAUCCACAUGAGGGCUUAGACAAGGGCUUAAGAAAAAAAAAAAGCUCAGGCCAAGUCCAACCCUCUAUUUUAAAAAAAAUAAUUAUAAAUUAGAAUAAUAAAUUAAAAUUUAAAAAGGAAAAAAGGAAACUCAAAUUCCUAAUUCCUAAUUCAUAAAUCAAUAAUGAUUCAAAAAAUCUAAAAUUAUAAUAUUAAACUCUCUCUUAAGCAUUGAUUAAUUAAGAGGUUGCUUGAACAAAACAUUCCAGUAUUAAAAAAAUAAAUCUCUAAACUUUUAUUUGUUUUAUUUUCUUAAUUUACUAUUUUAUUUUAAAAUAUUUAUUUUAUGUAAUUCAUUAUUAAUUAUAACAACUUGUUGAUUAUCAAUUCAUUUUAAGAUUAUAAUAAUUUUAAAAAAUAGUAAAGGUCCAAGCUUAGCCCAAAUCUGAUCUAACCCUUCCGCUUUCUCUUUUCAAGCCCAAGCCCAAACUCGCAUUUUGCUAACGCCGCCAGAGUUCGACCUCCAAUAAUAAUAACGAGUAAUGUUUGGCUAAAAUCAAUGAGAUUUAAAUGCUGAUUAUUUUUGCUUCAAUGAAUUUAAAUAUUAAUUUUUUUCUUUCGAUGAGUUCACAGUUGGCUAAUUAUUUGUUUUAUAAAAAUAAAACAGUGAAGAAAUAGAAAAAUAACCUUUUAGGAAAAAAAAAACGAAAAAGACAAAACCGUGUUGAUCCCAGAUGAUGACUUUAUUCUUCUCUUUCCCCAAUGGAUUUUCAGGCGCAUGGCCUCACUUAUCUGAAAGAAUCUCGUGUAGGCAAUUCUUAUUAAGGUGAGAUGGUUGGGACAUAUCACCUAUCCUUUGUAAUUUAUACAAAAAAUCCGAAUAUAUCGACUAUUAAACUUGAAAAUAUUAAUGAGAAAGCAACAUGUGACGAUUAAAUAAAGGAAAAAAUGAUAAAUACACCCCCAACGUUUAGGCAAAGGGAUAAAAAUUCUCCUAAUGUUUCAAAAAAGAUAUUUACACCCAAUUUAUUAUAAUUUUACUAUUAUACUUUUCUAGCAUAUAAAAAAAAUUAUUAGAUUAUCCAAUUUGUCUAUAUAUUGUUAAUAAAAUUAUAAAUAUACCCUCAUUGCCUCAUUCUUCUAUUUAAAUUUUUAUCAAUAAUCAAUUUUCAAAAAAGACAUCUACACACUUAAAAAAAAUUGUGAAUAAAUUAUAAUUUUAAGAAUAAAAUUGGUUAUUAAUACCAUAAUAAAUAACAUAGAAAAUUGGUUAUAAAUAUACCAGUUUAAAUGAUUGACAUGUGGAGAAUUGUUAAAUAUACAAGUUUAAAGUUUAAUAAAUAACAUAAAAAAUUAGUUACAAGUUUAAAUGAUUGACAUGUGGAGAAUUGUUAAAUAUACAAGUUUAAAGUUUAAAUAAAAUUAUAAUUUAUUUACAAUUUUUUUAGGUGUAUAGAUUUUUUUUUUUUUAAAUUGGUUAUUGAUAAAAAUUUGAAUAGAGGAAUUGGACAGUGAGGGUUAGGGUUGGGCAAAAUCAAGUUCGGGUCGAGUUCAGAUCAACCCGAUCGGGUUUCGGGUUAGACAAAAAUCAAUCCGAACAUAGCCCGAAUUAUUGAUCCGACCAGAACAUAGUUUGGGUCGGGUCAAUAAUUCGGGUUACGUUCGGGUUGGAUCGAGUUGGAUUUAAAACGGAUAGGACUUGGGAAACUUGAAAAAAGUUGAAGCUUGAAACUUGAAAGUGGAAGGUGGAAACCGGAAAGCUUCAAAAUCAGGUUCGGGUGGAGAGGAUUCGGCCUUCAAGCAGCAGAUCGGUGGCCACGGCUCACGGCUGGACGGACGGGAUUUUACUUGGCAGCAGAUUGCGGCUUCACUUGGGAGUUGACAACAGCAGAUCGCGGAGAUGCGGACGGCUCACAGCUCACAGCUGGUCGCGACUUCACUUGGCAGCAACAGAUCAUGAUUUCAGCAGUUGGCAGCAACAGAGCGCGUCUUGUGGUGGCUGGUUGCAGACUUGCGGGUUGUGGCUGCCUUGUUCAGUUGUUUGUGUUUGUUUAGUUGUUCAGAUAAUUAUCGGCUAUUAAACGUGGAAAUAUUAAUGAACAAGCAGCAUGUGACGAUUAUUUAAACCACGUACUGGGAGUACUGAUACAGAUAAAAACACUUAUAAUCUAAGCGCGUAAAAUCAAAUGAUUAAGUAAGUACUGAUCACCAUAAAUUUACUAAAAUUCUAGCCGUUUAAUACCUUGCUUUUAAUCCGGCAUCCAACGGUUGUUGUUUGGCGAAAAAGAUCAAAAGGGUAAGCGCGUGGGAUGUGAAGAGAAGUGGAGGCUCAAUCACCUGUUUGUUAGCCUUCGUUUAAAUAACGAAGAAGAAACCACCAGGCCGAUCGACAGAGGAAAAGUAAAAGACAAAUGACAAGCGACCAAACCGUGUUGGUCCCACAUGAUGAGUCAUUCCUCUCUUUCCCUUGUGGACUUUCGUGCGCAUGGCUGCGUAACAUACCCACGACCAAGUCAGUCGAAUCUUUUUGUCUUCGUUAAUGUGGGAUAUUUUCUAUAUUUCAGCAGUCGUGUUUCUGGAAACACAUCGAGCCUUUCAUUUUGCAUAAGCAAAAUAGCAAUAGAAGCUCAAUAAUGGUAGUUCCUUCUAUAAGCAUUUUCUAACACAUAUAUUGAGAAAGUCUGCAAAAUUUAAGAGAAUUCUAGGCAAGUGCAUUUUAGUCAAUCACAGUUACUUGUUUGUUAUUUCCCUCCAUUGAAAUAAGGAAGAAGAAGCCACCAGCCCGAUCGAUCGACAGAAGGAAAAAAAAAAAAAUGCCAAAGUUCACUCUUGGUAAUUCCUUUCGUUUUGGCAGCAAAAGAGAAACCGUCUCUAACUUUCAUUCUGAAUCUAUUGAGACGAUACUACAGAAGUUGACUAAAGAUUGGCUUGGGCAGUUUGCUCGACAAGCGCAGAUCCAGGCCGAUCUGAUUGGGUGGAAGACGAUGAUGGUGAAGAUUAAUAAGGUGCUAGAUGAUGCCAUCGAGAAGCAGACGAAGGAGGAGCCAGUGAAGAUAUGGCUAGGCAAACUUCAGCACUUGGCUUGUGAUGUUGAUUACUUGUUGGAUGAGUUCCAAACGGAAGCUUUCCAGACGAUGUUGCUGCAAGAUGCUGAUGCGAUGUCUAAAGUAAAGGAGGUCAAUGCUCGAUUGCAAGAUAUUGCAUGGCAAAUAAACGUACUAGGUUU
rnacentral:lncRNA from 1 species